rnacentral:lncRNA from 1 species
GGCUAAAUGCAUGCUUAACACCUAGGGUGUUACAGCGGUCCUCUGCAUCCCCAUGUCGACGGCGAUGAUACUCGUUGAUGUUGUGCCGUGCGUCGUGUCGCCGUUGAUUAUCGACGGGGUGGUUUUGGACAAGCGCUGCCUUCUUUCCUCGAGGGGGUGGUUGCUGAUGGACUGACACCUCCUUCUCAUUUUGGAUCGGCUCAUCACGCUUCUCCGUGGCUGCUCCUCUGCUUUCUCCCCGUGGCUUCUGGAGUCUUCUAGAUGGUAGAAAAUUGUGCGGUGCGUUGAUAUCUCUAUGUAAUCCCGACAUGUGGGCCUUUCUUCCUUAUUUCCUGAUAACCCCCUGCAGAAAUAGACAAACACCAAAACUCGUGGAAUUCUGUCAGAUAAAACCCUAAGUCUGGGUGUUGGUUGCAUUUGGAUCCUUUUCUUUAUUUAUUUCAUGAUUAUAUUUGGUACUUAAGGACCGUCAACAACUCCCCCAAGCUUACCUCUUGCUCGUCCCUGAGCAAGGAUGAACUCAAGAGUUUCUGCAGUGGUUUCAUGCCUUAAAAGUACACACGCAUUCAAGCAAGAUCUCAUCUCUGACUUAGAAUAAACUGUUAAGACUUAAAACUUACUCAUUUUACCUUUCACCAUGGGGCUUGUAACCGUUACCUGUGUCUUGAGCAGUUAAAAGAUAGAAUGGUCUAGUCAAGCGCCAUGUUUCUUAUUCUUGAUCAGCUAUAGCUCUGGAGUUUUUACAGAUUUUCAAACAAAACUCAGAGAUUCCUUAUAUGAUUCUCUCAAAUCUCUCUUUUGUGGUGUUUCUGGAUCCUUGCCAAGGCAGUAAUGGUAUAUGCCUUCUCUCAAAGUAUGUAGUAUUUGUGGUAUGAGGCAUAGUGAUAUUGCUUUCUCUCUUACCCUACUCUAAUAAGGUUUUGAUAUCUAGAGCUCAUAGGUGGGAGACAGCUAAUACAUACUUACAAGACAUUUAUUGCAUAGUCAAACCAUGGAUCCAAAAGAACAAAUCAAUAAGUCAAAUCAAGAUAUGCAUGUGUGGCGAAUGAAUGAUGUAUGGUAAUGAUUGUGAUAACAAUGGUGAAAGACUAAUUCUACUUGUGCUCUUUUGAGGGGAUACAUACCUUUCUUGCUCUUUUGAAACUUUUUGAGGAGAAUGAGAUGCUCUAUAUUUUCUUUUUCUUUUCUGUCAGGUGGGUAUCUUGUACCCCUAGUUCUACUGUCGGACACUUAUCCAUUUUUACCUCUCGUCUCACUUUUUCUUUUCUUCGAGGUUCCGGGCACUUGCCCCUUUUUAUUUCCUCGUAUUAUAUUUAUUAUUUUUUUAUUUUUUUUAGAGCACUCAUCUCCUAAAAGAAUGUAGCAAGUGGUAGUAACCAAAAUAACUGGAGCAUUUAUUUCACAGGGAAUAACAGGGAUAGGAAAAUGUUUCUGGCUAUUCUCUCCCAGAUUAGGAGUAGAAUAAUUUUGAGUGAAUCUGGAGAUGGAAAUGAGUGGAUGUAUGUGGAUGUGUACUUCCGGAGUAGAAGCAGCAUAUACGAGUGAACAUACAAGUGAAUCUUGAUUUUAACCACAUGACAAGCUCCUAAGGGUCUACACAGCUUGACCACACUCAAUGCUUAUAAGCAGUAAAAAGUAAAUGUUUGGCUCAAAGUCUAAUAACCAUGUAUAUGUGGCUGUGGUAGGAUUUUAAACUCUCAUCAUACAGGAACUCAUCAUGUGAUAUUUUAAAGAUUUUUCAAAGAUAAAAUUCUCCAGAAUUCUAGCAUCUCUAGGAACAGAUAAACAGCAGCUCAACCUUCCCAUAUCGUAUCCGUUAACAACUUAGACUUUAGAUCAAGUACUCUUCCCACAAGUUCAGGUUUAGAGCAAAUCUUACUUCAUAACAGUCAUGCCUAAACUUGAGAGAGAUUUCAAUUUUAAGAACUAGUCAUGGCAGUGCAACUAUUCAUCAUUUCCAUGUGAGAGUUUAUCAUGAGGGUUCAUAGCAAACUUUAUUUAUUUAUUUAUUUAGCAAACUAAGAAAAGAUAUAUAUAUAUAAAAGCACAAAAUCAUUAUUUGGAUUUCCAUGAUUAUGCAUCUUUUAUUAUUUGAGUAAAGUAUAAACGCGAGUAGAAACACUUAGCUGGAUAAAUGGGGGUGCUCUCCCCCAAGCUAGAUUUUGAUGUAAUUUCUUCUGAUGUAGCUAGCAGGUGGCGGAGGUGUAUUUGAAUGUCGGCAGCACCCUAACAGCGAUUAGAAUGUCCUCCGUCUGCUAGUCUUCUUUGAUCCUUGAAUUAUGUGGAGCUCAAAUAGACAACAAAGCUUUGUGGAACUGAUUAGGUGUCAGCAUAAAAUCUCUUUGCCUUUAUCAUGUUGAGCCUCUUCAAUAAAUAUUACUUAUUUAGCAGGAUCAUGCACUUAUUAUUUUUAUAUUUUUAUUAUAAGAUGAAAACUUAUUUAUUUUAUUUUUAUGCCACCACAGUGAAUGUACUUAUGGGUUUUAUGCCAUGAGCAUACUCGCAUGGGGCUUACUAUUUUUUUAACAUUUUUAUUUUCUUUUCAAGAUAGCAUGAACCGGAUUAACUAAGCAAACUAUUGAAUGGAAAAGGAUAACUACCAAGUUUACCUCUUGGCAAGGCGUUCGGUAUUUUUAAAUCCUCCGAACGGGACUCUCCGUUUUCUCAAUCGUCCUGGGAUUCGCUGGAUGGCGUAGUCGGUGGUUCCGGCGGCGCCUCUUCUUCGUGUAUAACUAUCUUCUCUCUCCACACCUGACUCGGUGCUACGGUCUCCUCAGGACAGUUCUGUUCAAGCUAUAUGUCUUCAGACCUUAUCACUUCUCCUUCAUAGUCCACCCAUCCGUCCUUGAUGAUUUGCCUCCUCUGGUUGCGGUUGCGUUGUCUUCUUCUUGUCCUGACCUGCUUAGAGUCUUCAACUAUAUAGUUAGGGUCAGUAAAAUAGCGGCAUACCUUCUCAGAGGGGAAGUACAUGUGGACUUCUCCGAUUCCAAUGUAGAUGAUAACUUUGAUAGUGUUGAGGAAUGGUCUUCCAAAGAUGAUGGGUGGAUCGUACUCGUCUUCUCCCAUGUCAAUGAUCUGAAAAUCAUCUGGAGCUGAAUAUAUAUUGGUUGUUGGGGCAUGGUUCCAUGCAGGAGCUGAUAAGUGACUGUGGCCAUUAUGUUGUCAUCAGAUCCGGUGUCGUAGAGUGUCUUCUGAAAAGAGUAUCCAUUGACUGUGCACUCGAUGCUUGGAACACCAGGGUCAUCCUUCUUAAUCCGGAAAGGCGACUUGAGUCGACGAUCUUGACCUCCUCCGACAAGGAUCCAAUGUUUUAAGUCUUCUGGUCAAGACUUCUCACCGUCUUCAUCCUUUAGGUGCAUCAUUUGAUUAGGAGUGGACCUUGACGUCUGCACCUCUUGAUACGGUGUCACCCAUGUUCUUCGUUUGCCCAGCAGUUCGAAGUGCGGUGUGGGCAGUAUCUUGCUCAGUGUGUUUGUGCUCGUAGAUGUAGGUCCUUCACUUGGUGGAGUCUGGGAGUUGUAAAAUUCCUCCAUGUUUUGCUUGAAGUGUACCUAUUCAUAGAGACAAGGCAGAGAUCAAGUGCAUGGGCCCUGUUGGUGGAAAACACCAACAGAACCAGAAGUGUAAUUGUUCUUCUCUAACCUUAAGCAUAGUGAGCAAGACAAAGUUGAUGGAUCAUGAGUGUAGCAUUUAAAACACUUGCCAGAUCAGAUUGCUUGACCUAAUGGAAAGAUAAUCUAUAUAUAUAUAUAUUUUGUUUAUAUCUUCUAAAGAUUGAAUGUGCAACAUAUUAGCUUACAUGAUUAGGAGCGUGGGAUCACGAAGGUAGUACUAAGAACAAAGAUUAAAGGACUAAACAUGUCGAAUUAAUUGAGUUGGUUAAUUUGGAGUUACAGAUCAUACAUUUUUGUCUCUUUAUUUUGUGUGAAUGCCAGAACCAAGGAGAAGUUUAUAAAAGUGAUAGUCAAGUAACUUAAGGUGUUACCUUACUUGAAGAGUGAUGGUAUAGUAUCACCUUGUGGAAGCUUUCCUUUCUUAGCGGUUGUGCAUCGUGUUUGUGGCACCCUCCAUGAAUCAUCUCUUAUGAGCUACGUCUUUCUUGUGCAAAUUGUUAAACUUCAUGUGUCACUUUCUUCAUCUCCAAUGUGAGUUUAUCUCAGGACUUCCUGUUGAUAUUUGGGAAUGCAAUAAGGAAUUGAUCCGCAAGCGCACGGAUAUCGGUGAGCACUUCACUCGGGAGGUUAUCCAGAGUAUCGUAUUUAUUUUUUUACCACUAGGAGAAAGAGUGCAUCUGACUAACCGGUCUAUUACUACUAACCCGUUAGGCAACAAAGAAUGUCUCUCGAUGUGAGUGAUAAAUAGAGAAGACUGCAACUAUAGUCUUCUUCUAACCUUGGUAAGGAUGAUCUACUGUUCUAUUGGGGAGCCUAACGGAAUCUAGACACCACAAAGGAUGUUCAACCUGCACCUUAAACCCUAUCCUUCCUGUUAACGAGAUAUGCUCUGCAAAGGUAACUCGGAAUUGUCACGUUCCUCACUACUACCACAGUCUAGCUAGUCAGGGAAUAUCUAUGAGUACCCCAGCCCAAACACCAUGUUUACGCCAACAAUGAAUACUCUAAACUCUACGCGAAGAGAUUAAAGUAAACUCAUAAACCAGAAGAACAAUAAAACAAGAACUACUAGAAUUUAGAAGUCAAAAUACUGAAGAAUCCUAGGAGCAAGCUUCGUGUUAGGAGAACUUGAUCCCACAGGUACAAGCUUGGAGUAGACACCGACAGGCCGGGCUUCCUCCAAUCUACACCUCCACUCUAUUUCUCUCAAUCUAGUAGAAACUAGAAGAUCUAUUUCUACUUUACAUUGGUUGCUAAGCCUAAAAAGAAAUAUUAAUUAGAGAAGAGGUUUUCCUUCGAGGGCACCCCUCAAUCUCUAUGAUAAUUUAUUGUCUCCUCCAGGGGCCAGGGGGGUCUCCUUAUAUAGUCCUCCUCCUCUAUGCGUUUUUGGGUCGGUAGGCGAGGUGGUACUACGUUAUUCUUGAUCCAAUAGGUCGGUGGAACAUCAUGUGCGAAGAGAGUCCUGAACGGAAUCCAGCAGGGGGCGGGCGCCCUGGGCCUGGCCCCUUUCGGCCUCUACUUUCUUCCCGUGGCUUCUGGAGUCUUCUAGAUGGUAGAAAAUCGCGUGGUGCGUUGAUAUCUCUAUGUAAUCCCGACAUGUGGGCUUUUCUUCCUUAUUUCCUGAUAACCCCUGCAGAAACAGAUAAACAACAAAACUCAUGGAAUUGUAUCAGAUCAAACCCUAAUUCUAGGAGUUGGUUGCAUAUUGGUCCUUUCUCUUGUUUAUUUGAUAAUUAAAAUUGAUACUUAAGAACCGUCAACACUUCCUAGGUUGAUAUUGAAAGUUUUCCUGCAGCGGUUAGUCCCACAAAAUAUACCAAUAUCUACUCAAGCAGUUUUCAAUUCAGUAACCAAACUAGACUCCAUGUCUAAUCAGAUUAAGGAAGGCUAUUUAACCUAAGCACCAUGCUUAAUUUAAAUGCCAAUGGAAGUAUGUCGAGUACUUCCAAACCAACACUUGCUAGUAAAUAGAUAAAGGUAGCAUGACAGCUUUUAUAGAGAUCUACUCAAGUGGAGAUGAAGUAGUGUGAUUAGUACUUAACAAAUUGAGCAUCUCUCAAAGGUGGGGACAACCAACAUAGCAACAUGGCAAAGGAUGUUUUUAUGUAAAGUACUCCCCCAAGCUUGAAUUUUGCGAAAUUCAAGUUUGGAUGAAUUUAAUUCAAUGUUGUAUGAUGGUUGGUUGGACAUACCUUGUGCUUGUCAUUCAUCCGAUCUUCUUGCUCCAAUCCUGGAAAGGUUAGUGGCAAGAAUACCCAAAGGAAUAUUUCUACAAUUAUCUCAAUAUGCUCAAUACACGAGGCAAUGUUGCAAAUUCAUGUUACGAUCUGAUAAGUGCUUGUUUAAGGACGCUAAGCUUAUCCUUGGGAAACCAUGAAAUUAUGUCGGCGAAGUGGUUUCCCCACCAACGCUGACGUAUAUCAAGAUCAACUCAACGAGAUCUGCAAUAUUUAUUAUAGACAUAUGCAUCGACAACCGCCCUUUUAAAGUUUUUAUAAAUAGAAAAGAAGAGGGGGUUGGAGAUCUCAAAUGUGGUAAGGUUGGAGAGACCAAUUGAUUGGGGAGAUGUUUUAUAUGAGCAAGGACUUGGUGAGGUAUUUAUGAAAUAACUUCCAUGCUCACUGUUGUUUCUCUCAUUCUCAAACUCCAAGGAUGAUUCUUCAUGAAUGCUGAAAAUUCCUCUAGGAUUGUUUCUCAAGUUUGUUUUAUCUAUCCAUUCAAUGGUGAUAGCACAUGGAUUUUUAAUGCCCUCUAGCCAUUGAUGUUGCUCUUCUCGAUCCUCCUUCUUAUGCAUGGGAUGUCUAGAGAUAUUCAUAGGAUUAUCGGGAGGUUCAAGAGAAAGAGCAUAGCAGAAACUAUUAAGCUCAAGGAUGGGAUGGAUAGCCGAAUCAUGGGAUUGAAAUGUUUGGAAAUUGGCUAUUGAAACUUCCUUUCCUCGUCUGGGAGAUGAUUCCUUCUCUAUCUCUAAGAUUUUUCUAUGAAGACUAGUAUAAGAAGGAUGUCCAAGAAUGAAGACAUACCUUCCUUUACUAAUAGAUAAAGAAAGAAAGACUCUACCAAUGGUUAUAUAAUUAAGACCAAUGUGAAAAUAUCGAGAAAAAAACAUGGUCUUGUAGGGCUAGGUCUAAACCAGAAUUUAUAGAAAGAUUAACAAAUUCCCUAGGUGUAGCUAAAAGUGCAUUAUCUUUUUGAUUAAAAGAUAGGACCUCAGCUAUAGAAAAGGGUUGGUUUUGACCUAUUGCAAUCAACUCCGGACACAGAUCAUAAUUAGGAGCAGGACUUGUUGACUCCCAUGGUCUAUGGCUGGUCUCCGAAGGUGCAAAGAAUUCAAUAAUAGGUAUGGAAUUUAAGUUGUCCAUAAAGAUAAAAAAAUAAAGGAAUAAAAGUAUAAAAGUAUAAUACAAGAUAAUAGCAAGACUCAAAGUUAUCUCAGCAAACCGUAUUUCUCCCCGGCAACGGCGCCAGAAAUGGUUGUUGAUAUUUGGUAACACAAUAAGGAAAUGAUCCGCAAGCGCACGGAUAUCGGUGAGCAAUUCACCCGGGAGGUUAUCCAGAGUUAUCGUAUUUAUAUUUUUACCACUGGCAGAAAGGGUGCAUUUGACUAACCAAAUCUAUUGCUACUAUCCCUUUAGGCUACAAAGAAUGUUUCUCGAUGUGAGUGAUGUAUAGAGAAGACUGCAACCGUAGUCUCGUUCUAACAUUGGUAAGGAUGAUCUGCUGUUCUAUUGGGGAAGCUUACGGAUCUAGACACCACAAAGGAUGUUCGACCCGCACCUAUAAACCUACACAUCCUGCUAACAAGAUAUGGGAUACAAAGGUAACUCGGAAAUGUCGCGUUCCUCGCUACUACCACGGUCCAGCUAGUCAGGGUGUACCUAUGAGUACCCUAGCCUAAACACCACGUUUACGCUAGCAAUGAUUACUCUAAUACUCAACCGGAAGAGGAUUAAAGUAAACUCAUAAACCAAAGAACAAUAAAACAAUAACUUACUAGAAUUAGAAGUCGAAUUACUGAAGAAUCUUAGGAGCAAGCCUCGGGUUAGAAGACUUGAUCCUGCAGGUACAACUCGGAGUAGACACAGAUAGGCCAGCCUUCCUCCGAUCUACACCUCCACUCUAUCUCUCUCAAUCUAGUAGAAACUAGAAGAUCUAUUUCUACUAACAUUGGUUGCUAAGCCUAAAAAGAAAUUUUAUUUAGAGGUUUUCCUUCGAGGGCACCCCUCAACUCUAUGAUAACUUCUUGUCUUCUCCAGGGGCCAGGGGGGUCUCCUUAUAUAGUCCUCCUCCUCUAUGCGUUUUUGGGUCGGUAGGCGAUGUGGUACUAUGUUAUCCUUGAUCCUUUAGGUCGGUGGAACAUCGUGUGCGAAGAGAGUCCCAAAUAGAGUCCAGGACAGGGCGGGCGCCCAGGGAAGGAGGGCGGGCGCCCUGGGCCUGGCCCCUUUCGGCCUCUGCUUUCUCCCCGUGGCUUCCGGAGUCUUCUAGAUGGUAGAAAAUUGUGCGGUGCGUUGAUAUCUCUAUGUAAUCCCGACAUGUGGGCCUUUCUUCCUUAUUUCUUGAUAACCCCCUGCAGAAAUAGACAAACACCAAAACUCAUGGAAUUCUGUCAGAUAAAACCGUAAGUCUGGGUGUUGGUUGCAUUUGGAUCCUUUUCUUUAUUUAUUUGAUGAUUAUAUUUGGUACUUAAGGACCGUCAAGAGGCGCGUCGUCACCCAACGUCGUCGCGCGAUCCUCGUGACGUCGGGCCGUCGCACCCACGGCUCGGGCGCGCGGGGUUGUCGGCUCCUACAUCACCACCCUCCUGGCACGAGCUGGCGACCGUGAGGAGGUGGAGGAGUGGUGGCAGCGCUGUCCACGCCUCUUCUUGGGCGGGGAGGCAUGGUGGCGAGGCCGUCUCGGAGCCCUCAAUCGCGAGGGCGCAACGCGAGCUCCUCCCGGUCCUUUGACCGAGAGCAGGAUCAUGUCGUAGCCGAAACUGGUAGACAUGAACAUGAGGCUCCCAAACCAAAUUGCCGUGGAGCGCAGAUUCGGCGAAACGAGAGUGUCCAUCUGGAAAGAGAUCGGAAGUUGGUGAAAAACACGCAGGACCCCUACGUGGCACGCCAACUGUCGGUGUUUUCCCCCCGGGGGGUCACACCAACGAGUAAAACUAGUGCGUGCUCCCCUUCCCAGAUGGUGAUGCAAUAAAAGACACAAAGAUUUAUCCUAGUUCGGGCAAGAGAAGGCCCUACAUCCAGCGGGGGGGAGUUUCUAUUAUCUUGCACCUAAGUGCUUGUACAGGGGUGAAUACAAGUGUGGUAUGGAUGGAGGUGGAGUAUGGUCGCUCUUCUACCUAUAUCUAGUGUUGUGUAUCCGCUCCUGAGCCUCCCCUUUUAUAGUUCCAAGGGGAGGCCUAGGUUACAUGCAGAGGCAACAGAGUAGGGGUCGAUAGGGGUGUGGCGCGCUGACCUGCUCGAGGCCUCCGUACCGGCGUGGCCUCGAACCGUCUUGUCUCGGUACCUUGAUGAUGAUUACACGUGCCCCUGAAUCCUGCUCCUGUGCGCCGUCUUGGACCAGUUUAUCCGUUGCACGCUUGUAUGUCGUGGCUGCAGCCGCAUCAGAGUGGUUGAGGUGCCGCCCUUCGCCGCCUGACCCUUCUCUGGGAAGGAACAUGCCUGCUCGAGGGUCAGGUGCUGCACAAAGCCUUGCUGAGCAGAGCGCUGACUUUGGGCGUCUCGAGGGGGUCUUGACGGGACGUUCCGACCACCUCGCUGCACCCUGCCAUGCUCUGGCUCGUUUGGUGGGCAAGGAUGCAAAAAAGAACGAUUGGACGGGUGCUUGUUCCCUAUCACGCUUCCCGUGACUGACGGCUUAGGUGAGAACGCAGCAGGCGCAUUAAAUGCCCUGGUUCCCGUGCCCGCGUCAGGCGGCGGGUGGCGUCCUUGCGCUUGAGACCUUUUGAUUCGCACGAGCCUCUUUCCGUAUUCGACGGUCGCCGUUUGGUCGAGCCCUAGUUGGUUCGCACGACGCUCUUUCCGUGUUUGAGGCUGUGGACGUUGAUACCCGUGCAUGCGGCUGGGGGGCGUCGAGUCGGGGACCUUGAUUUACGUAUGGGUGCUUUCGUCAUGUGCGUCAGUUAGGGUACCCCUUACUGAUACCCUCGACAAUGAUUGACUGGGGGGGCAGACUCAGAGUGCACAACAGGCUUGGUGAGCAUGUCGACUAUUUUCCCAGAAACCAAGAGGAGCUUGAGGAGAUGGCAGAUGCGCGUGUCCCCGAUGAGUUUAUAUUUUGUAGGGAUGCUAAUACUUAUCGGAUGGAAUCAAGGGAAAAUCGUCGUCAUUCGGUGAGGCAGCCACAACUUCCCCCAUGUUGCCUAGAGGGGUUGACCAGGACACAGAAAAGAAGGUUGCAGCGAGAGCGACAAGAAGAACUUAGUAGGGGAGAGAAUUCUGCUAAGUCUGGAGAUCGGCAGCAAUCAGAUCCUAAGGGAAAAGGCCCAUCAGCAGAUGUUAAUAUGCUGUUUAUGUUGCCGAUGGAAUUCCUUGCACCUUUUAGUGAUGAUGAGAAAAUAGAUUUCCACGAUCAGAUAGCUCAGUUGGCUCUGGACCCGAUGGCAACACCUUAAAGCUUUAUUCGUCAAAGAUAGGGUUGAUCGGCAGCCGAUGACCAAGAUACUCGUUGAUGGUGGGGCUGCUAUCAAUAUUAUGUCAUAUGCAGUCUAUCGGAAGCUGUGAAAAGGAGAUCAAGAUUUGACCAAGUCUGAUAUGAUGUUAAAGGAUUUUGAAGGAAAUGUGUCUCCAGUCAAGGGCUAUAUGCGUUGAGUAGAUCAUCGGCAGCAAGACCUUGCCGACAACUUUCUUUGUCAUCAGUGGAAAGGGUGCUUAUAUUUUAAUUUUAGGGAGAGAUUGGAUUCAUGACAAUUGUUGCAUCCCAUCUACAAUGCACCAAUGCUUGGUUCAGUGGGUAGGUGACAAGAUUGAAAUUGUCCUAGGAGAUUCUUCAUAUGUCGUUGCAUCGGCAGAGGCAGAUACUUAUGAGAGGACCAGAUGCAUUUCACGAGAGGUUUGGGAGAAGGAUUUUCUCAAAGUUGCCGAUUAUGAGAUUCCACCGAUCCAAGCAGUUGGUUCUGAUGAAGGGUUUUAAUGUAUAAGUUCGCCGAUGACGGAAAACUAGGCCAGGGGUUUACAUCGGCCGAUGAUUUAGUAGAAGUAGGUAUAGGUAAUGGUGAUAGGCCAAGGCCUACUUUUAUUAGUGCUAAGUUAGAUUAUGAGUGUAAGCAACAAUUAACCGAUUUGUUAAAGCAAUAUAAAGAUUGAUUUGCUUGGAAUUAUACCGAGAUGUCUGGUUUACACCGAUCGAUUGUUGAACAUCGGUUGCCUAUCAAAUCUGGAUUUCGGUCGCAUCAGCAGCCAGCACGCCAAUGCAAUCAUAAUAUUCUCCCUGAUAUUAAGGCCGAAAUAACUAAACUUAUUGAAGCCAAAUUUAUUCGGCAGUGUCGGUAUGCCGAAUGGAUUUCCAAUGUUGUCCCUGUUUAUAAAAAGAAUGGGAAACUCCGUGUCUGCAUUGAUUUCACGAAUCUUAAUAAAGCUACGCCAAUGGAUGGAUAUCCAAUGCCAGUUGCCGAUUUAUUGGUUGAUGCUGCAGCUGGAUAUCGGAUUAUUAGUUUUAUGGAUGGUAAUGCAGGUUACAAACAAAUAUUCAUGGCUGAAGAAGAUAUUUCCAAGACAGCAUUUAGGUGUCCUGGUCAUGUUGGAUUGUUUGAAUGGAUAGUCAUGACCUUUGGCUUGAAGAAUGCUGGUGCCACUUAUCAGAUAGCUAUGAAUUUUAUCUUUCACGAAUUCAUCGGCAAGGUAGUUUUAAUUUAUAUUGAUGACGUGGUGGUUAAGUCUGGAGAUUUCAUAAAGCAUCUGGCCGAUCUGCGAAAGGUGUUGGAAUGCACAAGGAAGCACGACUUAAAGAUGAAUGCUAAUAAAUGUGCAUUUGGUGUAUCGGCAGGUCAGUUUCUUGGUUUCAUGGUGCAUCAAAGAGGGAUUGAAAUUAGUAGGAGAUCUAUUGAUGCCAUCAACAAGAUAGUUGCUCCCACCAAUAAGACUGAACUUCAAUCACUAAUCGACAAGAUAAAUUUCAUCACACGAUUUAUAUCUAAUUUGUCUGGUGAGAUUCAUGCUUUUAGUCCGUUGCUUAAGUUGAAAGUCGAUCAUGAGUUUGUAUGAGGGAGAGAGCAACAGUUAGCAUUAGACGAAAUCAAGAAUUAUUUGACAAAUCCUCCAGUUUUGAUUCCAGCUCAACAAGGAAAGCCUUUCAGAUUGUAUUUAUCUACCGAUAGGAUGGUCAUCGGUUCGGCUGUGAUUCAGGAAUUUGAAGGGAAAGAACGUGUGAUUUAUUAUCUAAGUAGAAGACUGGUGGAUGCUGAAACAAGGUUUUCGGCAAUUAAAAAACUAUGCUUAUGCUUAUACUUUUCAUAUAUCAAAUUGAGACAUUAUUUGUUUUCGGUCGAAUGCACUAUUAUAUGCAAAGAUGAUGUAGUCCGGUACAUGUUAUCGAGGCCUAUUAUGAGUGGUAGAGUCGGCAAAUGGAUUUUGGAAUUGUCGGAAUUUGAUCUGCGUUAUGAAUCGGCUAAGGCAGUUAAAGGGUAGAUUAUGGCCGCUUUUGUCACUCAACAUUGCGGUGUAGUGAAUACUUUGGAAAUCGUUCCUUGGACGCUCUUCUUUGAUGGAUCUACAUGUGACCGGGGGGCAGGAGUCGGCAUAGUACUAAUUUCUCCUCGAGGAAAGAAAUAUGAAUUUUCUCUGUCGAUUAUUGCUACAUCAACAAAUAAUCAAGCUGAGUAUGAAGCUCUAGUCAAAGGGUUGGAAUUAUUAAAGGAGCUUGAUGCUGAUGCUGUUGAGAUCUUCGGCGAUUCUAUGCUUGUUAUAAAUCAGUUGGUUGGAAUUUAUGAAUGCCGAAGUGAGGUUUUGAUAACCUAUUAUGAAAGGAGUAUACAACUGUUAAGGGAAUUCAAGGAUUUCCGAUUGGAGCAUGUUCCUCGAUUACAUAAUGAAAAAGCUAAUCGGUUGGCUCAGCAUACUUCGGGAUAUCAACCCAUCUUGAGUAUAUUAUCGGCAAUCAGUGCCGAUGAUUGGAGAAAGGAAAUUGUUGACUAUCUAAAAGAUCCAUCCAAGAAGGUUGAGAUGCGUGUUAGGUUUCAGACUGCAAAGUAUGUAUUCCUUGAAGAAGAGUUGUAUUAUCGGACGGUGGAUGGAGUUUUGCUCAGAUGUUUAGGUGAUGAUGAAGCUAGAAGUUUGAUGGGCGAAAUUCAUGAAGGAGUAUGUGGAGCUCAUCAAUCGGCUUUUAAUAUGAAAUGAAUGAUUAGAAGGAAUAGAUAUUAUUGGCCGACUAUACUUGAAGAUUGCUUUAAAUAGUUCAAAGGGUGUUAAGGAUGUCAGAAGUUUGGCAAUAUUCAAAGGGCACCUGCAUCAGCCAUGAAUCCUAUUAUUAAGCCUUGGCCGUUCCGAGGAUGGGCUAUUGAUCUCAUUGGCCAGAUUUAUCCGCCAUCAAGCAAGGGGCAUAAGUUCAUCUUAGUUGCCACUGAUUAUUUUACUAAAUGGGUUGAAACUAUUCCUUUGAAGAAAGUGACAUCGGCUAACAUGAUUGAUUUUGUAAAGGAACAUAUUAUUUACCGAUUCGGUAUUCCUCAAACAAUCACUACCGAUUAGGGUACUAUGUUCACAUCAGGAGAGUUUGAUGAGUUUGCAAUCGGUAUGGGGAUUAAUGUGUUGAAUUCUUCUCCUUAUUAUGCUCAAGCAAAUGGACAGGCCGAAGCUUCCAACAAAGGGAUUUUUAAGCACAUCAAGCAAAAAAUUGAAGAGAAUCCUAGGAGAUGGCACACAUUGUUAAAUGAAGCUUUGUUGUCAUAUCAGAUGGCAUGCCAUGUAUCAACCAAAGUUUCGCCCUAUCAAUUGGUGUAUGGGCACGAUGCGGUGUUGCCAUGGGAAAUGAAGACUAGAUCUAGGCGGGUAUCCUUCCAAGACCAAUUGGCUGCCAAUGACUAUGCUACUUUGAUGAAAGAUGAGUUGGAUGAUUUGGCAGAGCAUCGGUUUAGAGCUUUGAUGAGUAUAGAAGAAAAUAAAAAGAGGGCUGCUAAAUGGUAUGAUAAAAAGGUAAAAGCUAAGGAGUUUGCCGAUGGAGAUUUGGUAUGGAAAUUAAUUCUACCGAUCAGGACUAAAAGUUCAAAGUUUGGAAAAUAGUCUCCUAAUUGGGAAGGUCCUUAUCGGAUAAAUCGGUCUGCCCCUGGUAAUGCUUAUAUUUUAGAAACUCUCGAAGGAGUUGAAUUUCCCAUAGCAUUAAAUGGAAAAUAUUUAAAGAAUUAUUACCCAAGUAUCUCGGUUGAUGCAUAGAAGUUCAAGUGCCGAUAACACUCCUAUCGGCUGGAUGAAAUAUAUCUGAGAACAUGCAUAAUGUUUUAAAAAGUGCCGAUAACAGUCCCAUCGGCUGGACCAGAAUGAUCAAAAGUUUCUAAGGGCAGAAUGAAAAAAAUUGCCGAUGAAGAGCUCACAGAUUCAACAAGGCUUGAAUAGUCGAUAUGGCGCGCAGACGGAUCUGGUUGGCCUCUUCUAUCUCUCAGAUAUCUUCAUCGGCAGAACCCUCUAUUGGUUUCAGCUUCUUCUUCAUCUGCUGUGCUUUACGAGCCUGGAUGUUUCGUUCUUGCUUUGAGCAUCUCAGGUAGCUGGCUCUCUUCUUGCUGAGCUUGGGUCAGGGACUCUUCUACUUGUUUGAGCUCAGCUAGCAGGGCUUCUCUUCUUGCUGAUAGGUCAGAAAUCUUUUGCUUCAGUUCAUCCCCUGAGGAUUGCAGAAUGCCGAUGCUUUUGUGUUUCUCAUCGGCAAUGCGCUUUACUUGCAUUACUUCCUCUAUUAGUUGGGCGUAAGCGGCUCUGUCUGCAAGACGCUGAGUAGCCUUCUAGUAUUAUGCAUCUGUUGGUAUCUGACAAAGCUUUGGCUUGAUCAAAAUCAUCGACCAGCUGGGCAGUAUCUUGAUGUAGCAAAGCCAACAAGUCUUCCAGCUUAGCUUUGAUUUCUGCCGAUGAGAUCCCUACUGUCGACGAAAGCUGGUCGGCAGUCUACCUUGGGGUAUACCCACGGUAGUAGUUUAUCGGUAGACGGUGCGCAAACUACGAACUCGAUGGUGACGCAAGACACGGACAAGCUUUUUAUCGAGGUUCGGCCGCCGAGUUGGCGUAAUACCUAUGUCCUGCGUCUGAUUGCAUUGAUUUGUGUUGAGAGAAUAAUAUGUCCUAGGGGGGUCCCUUGCUCCUCCUUAUAUAGUCCGGAAGGCAAGGGUUACAGAUCUAGAAACUGAUCCUAGUCGGUUACAAUUGCCAUAGAUAGUCAAUAUCGAUUCCUAUUCCAACCGACUAGAAUCCUGCUUGAUCUUCACGUCUUGUUUCCUUGCGCAAAACUCCAAGCUGUCGGAUCAAACCUUGAGCUUGUUUCGUAAUGGGCCAAGCCGCCUGGCCCAAGUCUAGCCGUAAGGGUAUAGGGGUUUAUACCCCCACAGCUAGUCCCCGAGCACCAUGUAUUGUGAAGUAACGCGCCAUCUUGAGCUUCUUCGACCAAUGAAACUUUGACAUCUUCAAUCAGCAUGAAAAUUGCCCUGACAAUUGCGAUGGUAUUUUGACCAAACCUGAACAUAUUUGAUCAACAUUAUCACAGAAGAAGCCAAUUGUUCGAAGAAUACAUGGUGCUCUUGAGAAAAAAUAUUUCUUUUCCGGUGAAGUGUGCCCACUUUUACUUUUAUGAAAAGUAUGGAUCCUUAAAAAAGCAAGCAUAUUCACCGCAAGGUGAAGUGUGCCCACUUAGUAUAACACUCCAAGAUUUUUAAUUUUGGAUUGUUAUUAUAAAACACUAAAUAAAAUGAAUGAUUUUUUUUAAUAUAUGGAUAAAUUUGCCGAUAAUAGUUUAGAUUUUCAUAUAUUUUUAUCGAAGAAAAAUGGUGCUUUCCAAAUAUUUUGGAAUUAACUAGACGAGCUUUAGUUGAUGUGAUGCUUGCUUAUUACUUGAGUUUAUUAUUUUUAUGUGUGCUAAGAUUUUAAAAACACGUUUAGACGUCGUCCGAUGCUUCCCGAGAAUUUUUUCGGACCUUUUCAAGACUUUUCCCCAUUUUUCUAAAAUAAAAAUCUAAUUUUUGGAUGCUCUGUUCUUUUCCAUAGACACUAAAAACUUUAUUUGGAUUGAUCAACUCUCAAUAUAUCUCUAAAAGUUUUCCUUUAAUUUUUAGAAUUUUGGAAAUAUUUUUCAGGGAUUUAAAAUGAUUUCAGCUUUUCUGGAAUUAUUUUUAAACUGAAAAUGAUUUUUAUAAAAUCCCGAAAUUAAGAAAUUUUGAAAAGUCUCCAAACCCUAGACCUAUAUAUAUGCCGGUGUUCCUCUCGUCACGCUGAUCGUAGAUCUAAAAACGUCAUCCCGAGCCGCCACCUGUAGCUCCCUCCAUCCCUCGCCGAAGUUCGCAAAAGCUAGGUUUCCGGCGAACUCUCCGAUGAGCUUUUCCGGCAAAACCAUCGCGUUCCGGUAUCAACUAGUACCACCAAGAGGUAGCCCUCGUCGUUCUCUUCGCCGUGGUAUACUUGUUUAUACAAAUCCAUCACCGUUUGACGUGAUUCCCAUCUCAUCUUCCUUAUCUCCGGCGAGGUUCCACCAUGGCUGAACUUUCUGUUUUCUUCUUCCGGCCAACCUCGCUGUCCUUUCUCCUCCAGGCCCGCGGUGCCCACCCACGCGAUCUCACCUCGCCCAGCGCCCUUCCUCGGCCUCCCCUUAGUGUGCGCCUGCAGCAUGGGCAGUAGCGCCGCCGGCAUUUUUGCCAUGGCCGACGACCACUUUUGGCGAGCUGAGCACCUCACCCCGGCCCCACGCGUGGGACCGCGCCACGCCCUUGCUAUCCGGCCGAGCCGCUCAGGCUCCUGGCCGAGGCCCCUCCCCUGCGUGCGAGCUGCAGCUGCAACAAAUUUUCCUCCAUGGCCAGAACACGUUCGAGAGGAUGCAGACGACCCAAGGUACAAGAUGCACUUAUUUACGGUUUUGCCACUGUUCGUUAAAUCACCAUCUUUCCAUCGUUUUAAUUCCGAUUCAAGUCAUUCUUUUUGCGAUAGAUUCAUGUCCUACGUAGUAGUAUAAACGUGUAAUAUAUAACUUAUUAAUAGAUUUAUUUAUUUAAAUACAAUUUGUUUACUAUUUAUUUAAUGGCUUUCUAAUGAAAACUAAUCAAGGAUUAUAAUUCCGUAUUUAUUAUGUUGCGACCGUGCCGACGUUACCAUGUUAUGUGUUUAAAAAUUUAAUUAUAUGAAUUUGGUGAAUGAUUAGUGAAUGCCCUUUACUUAGGUUUAUAGUUUCAACCUUUACAAAUAAAUAAAUGCUAACCCGAUUAAUAUUAGCUUAAAUGUUUCUUAAGUACAAUUUAUUUAGAUAAACUUGAAACAUAUAAUUAAUUUGUGUUAAUAUUUAACUAUUGUUCUUUUAAAUUAAAAGCAAUAAAGGUUUAUAUACUGGUCUUUCAUAAAUUAAUUAUAAUAUGAUUAAUAUCAACUUAAAUGGUUCUUUAUUAGUUAUAACUUGUUUAAUAUAAAUGCGACGCAUGUUAGGAUUUGAUUAGUUGCUCUCACUUGCUUUAUGUUUCUAAAAUUACAAAGACGUAAAUGGCUUAAAUGAUAUAUAACCAUCUACAAUUAAAAUAUAACUAAAAUUUAACUCCGGCUUUUAUAAUUCAACACAAUUUGGUUAAUCUAAUUACGAUAGUUCUAUUAAAUGUCUGUCAUAUUAUUUCAUCUAAUAAAAUACGACCAACGUAUAGUCUGUCUUCUCUCUGUUUUUUGCAAGCCCCAAUAGUCGUGUCUGUUUAACGAUAGCUCCGUUCUCAAUCGUUCUUGUGUUGUCACGAUUAUAACAUUAAGCCGUGUCGUUUAUUGCGCUCUUCUUUUUCAAAGCUUUUCUUUUGAUUGACGCUUGUUCUUAGUCGUGAUUGUUUGUUUGUCUAUUUGUGUUGCUUGGUUGCUACGAGUAGAAGAAGCGUGGUUCGUCAACAGUGAAGAUCAGGAGCUAAGGACCGACAGUCGAAGCAGAAGAUAGAUAUCAGAGGAUAGAAGCCAAAGAAUUCUGAGCAGUUAUACACUGGGAAUAAAGGCAAGUGCAGACACCAUUUGAUCAUUUUGAACCUACUCAUUAAUGUCAUUUACUUUAUAUGCAUGUGUCCAAUGAAUGCAAACCCUAAGGACAUGACUAGCUUUACUUAUUAUUCCUUGCUCACCUGGGUUAUGUAUAUGGGUAGUCUAGGCUAUACUAGGUGUGCUUAGCUGCUCUACUCAUCUUAUACACAUGCUUAAACAAGAAUUACUCUCUACUUAACUUGAUGCUUAAACUGUGCUGAACCUUUGGUCACUGCAGUGGUGGCGAUGUUGGAUGCUUACAAGCAUCGUGAUGAUGGUGGCGACAGGGGGAGCGGGUACUGUUGGUGGUUCGGUUUGCCGGGCGUACCCGUCUGUGCUCUCCGUAAGGACUUAGUCAGGGAGGGGCCCCCUGGGACAUACAGUGCAGCUCCAAGCUAUAUGGCUCUGGCUUGACUAAUUAGCAGGACCUCCACUAGUAGGGUGUUACUUUCCGGGUAGGCGUGAGGAAGUAACUUGGGUAAUGAAUAUUAAGUUGUCGGUUGAUCGGUACGCCAUGGCUAUGGGUAUCGACUGCCGAGCGCCCCGGUAAAAACUUGCGAGUGGCAUCCUAUUAGUUGGACCCUGUGAAAGGUCUCGUAGUGAGACCCUGCCUGCUCACCUUGGCAGUGUUUUGGGGAGUCAUGACCCCGGGCAAAUGGGAAUCACGACUUGGAGUGAACGUGCACACCUCUGCAGAGUGUAAAACUGAUAUAUCAGCCGUGCUCACGGUCACGAGCGGCCUAGACCCUCACUUGAUGAGCAAAUUGGAUUCACUGGAUACUUGGAGAUGGAACUUGGUGAGGUUGCUACCUCGUGUUUUGGCGGAAUGGCUAUUCCGCGUUGGCAGGAUUGCUAUCCUGUGUUAAUAAUUGGGGUUAAUCCCUAGACUACUACAAUUAUUAGGAUAGUCAUUUAAAAGAUGCUAAUUACUACUUGCACUAAUUAAGGGUUGGGUUUAUGCUACUCAUAAUUAGUAAUAGGUUGUUCUAAUAAUAGUCAUAAUUAAAAGUGAUCAACUAAAAUGCUACCGCAGUCAAACCAAGUCAGAUUUACCUUGUUUUAAGCCUUGCAUGUCAUUACUUUCCGUCUGUGCUUGCUGAGUUCGACAUGAACUCACCCUUGCUAUUUCCCCACACCCCAGUGUGUAGUAAAGUGUUGCUCAGAAGGACAUAAAUGCUAUGGAGUUUUCUAGAAGCUUAUGAGAAGUGCUUGGCGUACGGAGCCUCCAGUCAACCGUCCCUGAGAAGAAUGGAGCCUAAGAAGUUUAGCUACUCUUUCCGCGUACUCUGAUGUUUGUAAGUGAUAAUAUAAAUAUGUUUUCCGCUAUAUAUAACAUUGUUUUCUGAUAUUUCUAUUCUUUUGUUGUAUGUGUGGACUUCCUGGGCACACAUAUGACGACUCUGGUCUUAUUUUAAAAGCCAGGGUGUGACAGGAAUGGUAUCAGAGCAAUGUUGACUGUAGGACGUAUGCCUAGAUAGCACUGGUCGAUUUCUAAAGCUUAUUUUAAUAUAAAACUAUUUUCUCAUCCCUUGGCUCUUUGACUCUGACUAUUUUCUCAUCCUUGUCAUGUUGUAUCCCCUCCUUGAAUAGCUUCCUUUGAGCUAUUUCUAUUAAUCUCCUUGGCUUUUGUUUAGUUAUUUUACUUAAGUUUUCAAAACUUAUUUUAUUCCAAAAUUCGAUGGCCCUUCAUCAUCUCAGACUUACCUUUUAGGAUGACCACCAUUAUUGAAGAAGCACGUGUAGUUCGAUGAUGUAUUGCAUGCUUGUCUUGUUUGUUGUGUUGCUUUUGUGUUGUCCUUGUUCUCAUGUUUUGAAGGAGGCUCAGAAUAUGACUUCUCGAGGCUUAGUUUGAUCUAUGUUAAGUGGGGUAGCGUCCGCUACCAUCAUAUAUCUCAAGUAUCCCCAGUUUCAAGACACGAAGAACUAAAGAUCAAUCUUUAUCUUUCAUCUCUAUUAUUUUUGUCAUCAAUUUUUAUCUUUCUUGUCAAUCUCUCUUUAUCAUUUUAGAUAUCGUUCUACAUCUCUCUUAUCACCCUUUGCGAUCUUUGAUGGUUAUUGCAUUUCAUAAAAUCUCAAAACAAUCUUAAAGAACAACCUUUAUCCUUCCUACCAACCCCUGUCAGUCUACGAUCCUUUCAUCAUCUCACACCAAAGAUCUUGAAAUAACUUGGAAGAUUAAUCUCCGUCUUCUCUGUCAAGCUUGGCUAAUUCUCAAUCUUUUUAUCCUAAAUCCCAUAAAUCUUGAAUGAAGAAAAUUAUGAGCACUAAAAGAUCUAUCUUUAUCUUUUAUACCAUGUUUUGCUAGUCCUAGCUCCUUGUCUUUACACCUCAUAAUGUGAAGACCCGAUGAUCCAUCUUUAUCUAUUUUUUAACAUCAUUAUAUCUUUAUUUCCGAUAUAUGUUGACCUUCAAUCCUUUGACCACAUGUCAUAAAGCACGACAAGAAUCAUGGAGAUCAAUCCUUGUCUUUAUUAAAAUCUUUAAUCCUUUCAUCAAUCAAUCGUUAACAUCCUUCUCAACUUUUGGUAGUCUUUAGUUCUUUCAUCACAUCUCUUGUAAAUCUUGAAAUCAAGGAAAUGGUGAGCGCCAUAGAAUCAUUUUUGUCAUUUCUCUAUCAUCCCUUGUCAAUUUUUUAUCCUUUUAUCAUAUCUCAUAAAAAAAAAUUUCUCACACUCAACUUUGAUGAUCUACUUCAUCUAUCUUCCAAGUCUUUCUAAAUCUCGAGACGAGAUUCAUGUUAAGUGGGGUAGAUCUAUAACACUCCAAGAUUUUUAAUUUUGGAUUGUUAUUAUAAAACACUAAAUAAAAUGAAUGAUUUUUUUUAAUAUAUGGAUAAAUUUGCCGAUAAUAGUUUAGAUUUUCAUAUAUUUUUAUCGAAGAAAAAUGGUGCUUUCCAAAUAUUUUGGAAUUAACUAGACGAGCUUUAGUUGAUGUGAUGCUUGCUUAUUACUUGAGUUUAUUAUUUUUAUGUGUGCUAAGAUUUUAAAAACACGUUUAGACGUCGUCCGAUGCUUCCCGAGAAUUUUUUCGGACCUUUUCAAGACUUUUCCCCAUUUUUCUAAAAUAAAAAUCUAAUUUUUGGAUGCUCUGUUCUUUUCCAUAGACACUAAAAACUUUAUUUGGAUUGAUCAACUCUCAAUAUAUCUCUAAAAGUUUUCCUUUAAUUUUUAGAAUUUUGGAAAUAUUUUUCAGGGAUUUAAAAUGAUUUCAGCUUUUCUAGAAUUAUUUUUAAACUGAAAAUGAUUUUUAUAAAAUCCCGAAAUUAAGAAAUUUUGAAAAGUCUCCAAACCCUAGACCUAUAUAUAUGCCGGUGUUCCUCUCGUCACGCUGAUCGUAGAUCUAAAAACGUCAUCCCGAGCCGCCACCUGUAGCUCCCUCCAUCCCUCGCCGAAGUUCGCAAAAGCUAGGUUUCCGGCGAACUUCCCGAUGAGCUUUUCCGGCAAAACCAUCGCGUUCCGGUAUCAACUAGUACCACCAAGAGGUAGCCCUCGUCGUUCUCUUCGCCGUGGUAUACUUGUUUAUACAAAUCCAUCACCGUUUGACGUGAUUCCCAUCUCAUCUUCCUUAUCUCCGGCGAGGUUCCACCAUGGCUGAACUUUCUGUUUUCUUCUUCCGGCCAACCUCGCUGUCCUUUCUCCUCCAGGCCCGCGGUGCCCACCCACGCGAUCUCACCUCGCCCAGCGCCCUUCCUCGGCCUCCCCUUAGUGUGCGCCUGCAGCAUGGGCAGUAGCGCCGCCGGCAUUUUUGCCAUGGCCGACGACCACUUUUGGCGAGGUGAGCACCUCACCCCGGCCCCACGCGUGGGACCGCGCCACGCCCUUGCUAUCCGGCCGAGCCGCUCAGGCUCCUGGCCGAGGCCCCUCCCCUGCGUGCGAGCUGCAGCUGCAACAAAUUUUCCUCCAUGGCCAGAACACGUUCGAGAGGAUGCAGACGACCCAAGGUACAAGAUGCACUUAUUUACGGUUUUGCCACUGUUCGUUAAAUCACCAUCUUUCCAUCGUUUUAAUUCCGAUUCAAGUCAUUCUUUUUGCGAUAGAUUCAUGUCCUACGCAGUAGUAUAAACGUGUAAUAUAUAACUUAUUAAUAGAUUUAUUUAAAUACAAUUUGUUUACUAUUUAUUUAAUGGCUUUCUAAUGAAAACUAAUCAAGGAUUAUAAUUCCGUAUUUAUUAUGUUGCGACCGUGCCGACGUUACCAUGUUAUGUGUUUAAAAAUUUAAUUAUAUGAAUUUGGUGAAUGAUUAGUGAAUGCCCUUUACUUAGGUUUAUAGUUUCAACCUUUACAAAUAGUAGAGAUUAUUAGGCUCAAGGAUGGGUUGGAUAGCCAAAUCAUGGGAUUGGAAAGUUUGGAAAUCGGCUAUUGAAACUUCCUCUCCUUGUAUGGGAGAUGAUUCCUUCUCUAUCUCUAAGAUUUUUCUAUGAAGACUAGUGCAAGAAGGAUGUCUACGAAUGAAGACAUACCUUCCUUUACUAAUAGAUAAAGAAUGAAAGACUCUACCAAAGAUUAUAUGAUUAAGACCAAUGUGAAAAUAUCUAGGAAAAACAUGGUCUUGUAGGGCUAGGUCUAAACCAGAAUUUAUAGAAAGAUUAAAAGAUUCCCUAGGUGUAGCUAAAAGUGCAUUAUCUUUUUGAUUAAAAGAUAGGACCUCAGCUAUAGAAAAGGGUUGGUUUUGACCUAUUGCAAUCAACUCCGGACACAGAUCAUAAUUAGGGGCAGGACGUGUUGACUCCCAUGGUCUAUGGCUGGUCUCCGAAGGUGCAAAGAAUUUAAUAAUAGUUAUGGAAUUUGAGAUAUCCAUAAAGAUAAAAAGAUAAAAGAAUAAAAGUAUAAAAGUAUAAUACAAGAUAAUAGCAAGACUCAAAGUUAUCUCAGCAAACCGUCUUUCUCCCCGGCAACGGCGCCAGAAAUGCUUGUUGAUAUUUGGUAACGCAAUUAGAAAAUGAUCCGCAAGCGCACGGAUAUCGGUGAGCAUUUCACCCGGGAGGUUUUCCAGAGUAUCGUAUUUAUAUUUUUACCACUGGGAGAAAGGGUGCAUCUGACUAACUAAAUCUAUUGCUACUAUCCCUUUAGGCACAAAGAAUGUCUUUCGAUGUGAGUGAUAAAUAGAGAAGACUGCAACCGUAGUCUCCUUCUAACCUUGGUAAGGAUGAUCUACUGUUCUAAUGGGGAGGCUAACGGAAUCUAGACAACACAAAGGAUGUUCGACCCGCACCUAUAAACCCUAUCCUUCCUGCUAACGAGAUGUGAUCUACAAAGGUAGCUCGGAAAUGUCACGUUUCUCACUACUACCAUGGUCCAGCUAGUCAGGGAAUAUCUAUGAGUACCCCAGCCUAAACACCACGUCUACGCCAGCAAUGAUUACUCUAAACUCUACGCGAAGAGAUUAAAGUAAACUCAUAAACCAUAAGAACAAUAAAACAAGAACUUACUAGAAUUUAGAAGUUGAAUUACUGAAGAAUCCUAGGAGCAAGCUUCGGGUUAGGAGAACUUGAUCCCGCAGGUACAAGCUUGGAGUAGACACCGACAGGCCGGGCUUCCUCCACUCUACACCUCCACUCUAUCUCUCUCAAUCUAGUAGAAACUAGAAGAUCUAUUUCUACCUUACAUUGAUUGCUAAGCCUAAAAAGAAAUAUUAAUUAGAGAAGAGGUUUUCCUUCGAGGGCACCCCUCAGUCUCUAUGAUAAUUUCUUCAUGUCUUCUCCAGGGGCCAGGGGGGCCUUGCUUAUAUAGUCCUCCCCUUCUAUGCGUUUUUGGGUCGAUAGGUGAGGUGGUACUAUGUUUUUCUUGAUCCAAUAGGUCGGUGGAAUAUCCCGAGCGAAGGAGUCCUGAAUUGGCUCCAACAGGGGGCGGGCGCCCAGGCUACCAGGGCGGGCGCCCAGGCUACCAGGGCGGGCGCCCUGGGCCUGACCCCGUUUCGCCUCCGCUUCGGUCUCGUGGCUUCUAGAGUCUUCUAGAUGAUGUAAAAUUGCGCGGUGCGUUGAUAUACCUACGUAAUCCUGACAUGUGGGCCUUUCUUCCUUAUUUCCUGAUAACCCCCUGCAGAAAAAGAUAAACAACAAAACUCGUGGAAUUCUGUCAGAUCAAACCCUAAUUCUAGGUGUUGGUUGCAUAUUGGUCCUUUCUCUUGUUUAUUUGAUAAUUAAAAUUGAUACUAAAGAACCGUCAACAGUAUGAACAUGAUUAACUAAGUAAACUCUUUGAAAUAAUUGAAAAGGAAAGGAUAACUACCAUGUUUACCUCUUGGCAAGGCGUUCGGUAUUUUUAAGUCCUCCGAACGGGACUCUCCAAUUUCUUAAUCGUCCUGAGGUUCGUUGGGUGGCGUAGUCGGUACAUCCGGCAGCGCCUCCCCUUCUUGUAUAGUUAUCUUCAUUUUCCAUACCUGACUCGGUGCUUCAAUCUCCUCUGGAUAAUUCUGUUUAAACUCAACGUCUUCCUAUCUUACAACUUCUCCUUCAUAGUCUGCCCAUCCGUCCUUGAUGAUCUGCCUCCUCUGGUUGCGGUUGCGUCGUUUUCUUACCUGCUUAGAUUCUUCAAUGAUAUAGUUAGGGUCAGUAAAAUAACGACGUACCUUCUCUGAGGGGAAGUGCAUAUGGACUUCUCCGGUUCCAAUGUAGAUAAUUGCUUUAACGGUGCUGAGGAACGGUCUUCCAAGGAUGAUGGGUGGAUCAUACUCGUCUUCUCCCAUGUCAACAACUUGAAAGUCUGUGUAGACAAAGUGAUCGUCUAUUUUGACUGGGACAUCAGAUACUAUUCCUUUAACUUCUCGAAAUGUCUGAUCUGCCAUCUGGAGCUGAAUGCAUGUUGGUCUUAGUGGCAUGGUCCCGAACAAGAGCCGAUAGGUGACUGCGGCCAUUAUGUUGACGCCCGAUCCGGUGUCGCAAAUCGUCUUGUAGAAGUUGUAUCCAUUUAUGGAGCAGUAGAUGCUUGCAUUCCUGGGUCGUCCUUCUUGGUCAAAACGGUGACUUAAGUUGAUGAUCUUGGCCUCCAUGAACUACAGUGACCAUCUUAGCUGACUCGGUCCACACUUGCUUGUUCCUGUUUCUCCUGUUGGUCCUCUUCCUUGAUUCACGUCUGGAUUGAUCUGGAAUUUGUGUAGUCUUGUUCUUGAAGAAAAAUGUCUCCUUCUUCCCUUUGACGUAGAAACUGAUCUUGGCAGCACUAGCGUAGAUGAUAGCUCCCGUGGUGUUCAAGAAUGGCCUCCCUAGGAUGAUAGGUGCUCUCUCAUCAUUUCCGGUCUCUACCACUACGAAGUCUGCUGGGGCAUAUAAGGUACCAACUCGGACACAAAGGUUCUUCACUAUUCCUUUUGGGAAAGUUAUCGUCUGAUCUGCAAACUGUAAACACAUGGUUGUUUCUAGUAAAGGAUAUGUAAAGAAUUUUUCAUAGAGUACCCUGGGUAUAAUGUUGACGCUAGAGCCAAAGUCACAGAGUGCUUCUGGGAAGUCCACCAUGCCGAUGGAGAUCGGGAUGACGGGGCAUCCUGGAUCGCCUCUCUUGACCGGCAGACGGUCAGUAGAAAAUUUAGUGACAGGGUUACUCCAAUUACCUGCAUCAAACACGUCUACAAGAUUUGCAGAUUCUAAUCCUUCCGGUUGUGAUGGUAUACCGGGAUUAGUAGUAGGAACAGCACCAACUAUUUGAUUUAACUGAAAUUCAAUCAUUUUAUUAAAGCUAAUUUGAUUGUUGAUGGCAGUAGAGAAUUUAUCCAUUCUAUUAUUUAUAUUUUCUAGUAUUUUAUCAUUAGAUGCCAAUUUCUUAGAUAGAUUAUCCAUUAGCUUGCCUUGAUUAGACACUAACUCUCUCAAAGGUGGAAAAUUAUUAUUAUUGUUGUAAGAAUUGUUACCUUGAUAAUUACCUGAGUAGUUAGGCCUCUGUUGAUUCCAACCUUGAUUUUGUUGAGGACGGUUGUAGUAGUUGUUGUUGUUGUUGAUGAUGUAGUUCACAUCCUCAAGCAUCUCAGGGCAGUGGUUGCCUGAUUGUCCAGUGUCUCCACACUCCUCACCAGUCAUGUGAGAGUCGUAGAUGUGCAUAACUUCUUUCUUGUCUCCAGCUCUAUCAUCGAGCUUCUUCAUGAGCAGGUCCAGCUUUGCAGACAGCAUGUCUACCUCCUUCAGCUGAUGCAUACCUCCACCUUUCUUGCGUGUCUGGGUCCUCUCUUCAUUUCAGCUUUGGUUGGACGCCAUCUUCUCCACAAGAGUUGUGGCUUGUGGUAUAGUAAGUGAUAAGAAUGCUCCUCCAGCUGCAGCAUCCAUAGUCUCUCGGGCAUUGUUGCUGAGCCUAUGAUAGAAUGUCUGCAUCAAUAGCCAACUCUCCAUUCCAUGAUGGGGACAUUCUAGGAUGUAGUCUUGAAAGCGCUCCCAUGCUUCUGGAACAGAUUCAUCAUUUUGUUGCUGAAAACUUGUAAUCUUCCCACGGAGAGCUUUGGUCUUGCCCAUGGGAAAGAACUUUGUCAAGAAGUUUGUUGAGCAGAGUGCCCACGUAGUAUUCUUCUCCUUUGUAGCGUAGAACCACUGCUUCGCUCUUCCUAACAGUGAGAAUGGGAAGAGGCGAAGUAGUAUAGCGUCUUUGGAAACUCCUGCUAUGGUGAAUGUGUUGCAAAUCUCCAGGAAGUGUUGUAAAUGAGCACUAGCAUCUUCGUGUGCCUUCCCACAGAACUGGUUGGAUUGCACCAUGUUGAUAAGUCCAGGCUUGAGCUCAAAGUUGCCAUCGAUCUCUGCAGCAGGUCCAGUGCGGAUGUUGUCCGUAGUGGGAGCUGAGAACUCGCGGAUCGAUUUGUUCGCCAUGGCUUCGAAAUCUGAAGACAAGUUCCGGUGAUCUUCUUGAUUGGAUGAAGCUUCUUCGUGAAGUGUUGAUGAUCUCUUCUUGAGCUUGGCCCUCGUCUUCUUGAAUAAUGCUUCGGGAUUGUCAACAAAAUUUCCUGGAAGAUGUCUUCUAUUCAUACAUUCCCCUGCAUAAGAUAAAAUAGAAAAAUAUCGGGGUAAAACUGUAUGAGAGAAUAGAUAAGCUCAAUCAUAUUAGUGAAGCGAAUGAUAACUCAAAAUCUUUUAUUCCAUUCCUGAUUGGUAAUCAACCUUCCCCGGCAAUGGCGCCAAAAAUGCUUGUUGGGUAUUCUUAACAUCAUUACCAAAAGUAGACUAAGUUAUCUAAAUCUAGUAACGGUGCCAAAAAUGCCAAACCUAUCCCUUACACCACUUAAGCCAAGUUGUCAUCCCCAGCAUGAUAUAAGAGACGCGGUAUUGAAAUAUGCAAUUGCUCUUCUAAAUAAAUAAUGAAUAGGAUCUGCAAGCGCACAGAUUAAUACCGAUGCAGCAUUUUAACCGGGAAGUAUUCCAGGUAUCGUUAUUUAUAUUUUUACCACUGGGAAGGGAUUAGCGAUCAUCACUAUUGAUUACAGAAUAGAAUAUCAGAUUGAGCAUCUAUCAUUGCAUGUAUAAUUGAGAAUAUUAUAUCUAACUCUUCAUACAGGGAUAAGUGUCACAUAAAAGAUAUAUGAAAUAAUAUUAGUGACAAGGAUAACUAAUCUGAUCUAGCCACAUAAUAAAAAUGAUAAGCACCUCAAUUAGAUACUCUAGAAAGUCAUUAGCAUGGUAUUAGAACGAACUACAAGAAUAUUUCCUAAGUUAUUCUCAACUAUAUAGUCUAGCAUUAUCAUAGUUAGUGCAAGCAUACUUAGCAAUCAUUGUGAGACAAGACUGCGCCCAUGCAUAGUGAUAUUAGCAAGGAAUAUGAGAAACAUAGCAAUCACACCCCUGUAAUAAUGUUGCUCUACCAUCCCAAUACAAGAGAGGGGGACUAUAUAAGAAUCAAUGAAGCUGUCACUAUCACGAACCACCCCACGAUCUGGCAUACUGGGUACAAUCGCAGAUAAAUACGGUAUAAGCACCACGCCUACACAAUACCUAUCAUUUACCCAUGGAUCCGAUGGAUAAACGCUAUACGAUCCUAAGCAUGUAUAUAGAUCGAAUCUAACUAAGCCAAGUACAUAACUAUGAUAAACUAAGAACAAUAUAAUCUUGAAUAUAAGCAAGUAGAGCAAAGUCAUAAGCAAUAUAUUGAAGUAGAACAAAGUCAUAUUCAUAAUAUUGAAGAACAAAGAUAAUUAGAAAGCAAUUAGAAGCACAAUUAGAGAAUUACCAAGAAUCCUCCUGACAGAUCCGGAAACCAAUCGAAGAUUGACUCCUUCUAGUUCUAAUCCUAUGUAGCUAUGCUAAUCUAGAUGUCUAAUUGAUGUGGUGGCUCUAAUCUUGAUCAGAGGCUUCUUCUCCCUUGAUGGAACAAUGAAUUAGGGUUGAGAGGCUCUCUCCUCCAGGGGCCAGGGGGUCUGGUUUUAUAGUCCCUUCAAGUGAAUAUGGGCCAUUGGAUCAAACCGACAUAGAUUGUAUGGUUUAGAUUCAUCCUUUAGGUCGGUGGAGAUCUCCCGCAAAGCAGAGUCCUGAUUGGACACAGGAGGUGGGCGGGCGCCCAAUAGGACAGGGCGGGCGCCCUACCUCUGGCCCCGUUUUGCCUCCGCUUCGGUCUCGUGGCUUCUGGAGUCUUCUAGAUGUAAGAUAAUUGCGCAGCACGUUAAUAUCUUUACGUAAUCCUGACAUGUGGGCCUUUCUUCCAUAUUUCCUGAUAACCCCCUACAGAAAUAGACAAACACCAAAACUCGUGGAAUUCUGUCAGAUAAAACCCUAAGUCUAGAUCUUGAUUUCAUUUGGAUCCUUUUCUUUAUUUAUUUGAUAAUUAAAUUUGAUACUUAAGGACCGUCAACAAUGAUCACGGUUGGCUAUAUUUGCUAUCGUGGAAAUAACCAUGUGCUAAUAAUGAACUUGAGACCGGGCGGGAUGACGAUGGUGCAGCAACAAGGCAUGGAGGUCUUGGGUGUGAAUCUAUCCCCGUCUGUGUCGUUUAAGGACUGAAUCGCUGUACGUCCCCGUGUCAUGUUGAACGCAUGCCUAUCACUUAGUUGGCCAGAUAAGUCGUUCCGACCGCGAAGCCUACGAGUGCAUCUCCAGCCGGAUACCACGUUCGGUUCAAGUGCGCACCCCGGUUGGUAGCAAGGAUGUGCGGGGAGUCAAUGGCGUAAGACCGAGGUGUCAGGUUAGAGUCCUGACCCUGGCAGAUUGGCGGUCCCCGGGGGUGCGGCGCCGUAUGGACACGCGAAUUGGUCCGGAGUUGUGCUAAAGGUGAUCCGAGCUGCCGUCAUGAAGUAUGCUUGGGUGAGUGUUAGGAAUCGAUUCGAAUCGCCGUCUCUCCCGGAUAGUGAGAACUUGACUUGGGCAGCGGCAACGUAGAAUUCACUAAAUAAACUUAAUGGUUAUGAUGAGAAUGAUGAUGGCUAUGUGAUAAUCCGGAUAUGGUUAUUAUUGUAAUGCUUAAAGACUCAAGUGUAUGCUUAGAGUAGGUGCUAAUCUAGUGGAUAGUUGCUAAGUGAUAAACUUGCUGCUGAAAUAUAAUACAUGAAUUAUUUACAACAAAGGCUUUUAUGCAAAAGGUGAGUCAAACCAGUCCACAGAGAUCAGCCUUGCAUACUCCUUGGUGUCACUUUAUUUCUGGUUUAUGACGGGUAAGUCUAGCUGAGUACAUUCUCGUACUCAGGGUUUUAUUUACCCCUGUUGCAGAUGAUGUCGUCUAUCACGGCUAUUGCGCUAACUGUCAUCACCCAGCUGCGGAUGAUGAGUAGAUCAUGGGCGUGAUCACCUUCUUUAUCUUCAGUUAUGCUUUUGUUGGGACUUGACCAUAGAGCUGGCAUGUAAUAUAACUGUUGGUGUUGUUUCAAAACUACUUUUGUUUCCGCUACUGCGAUGGUUGUAAUAACCUCUUUUAAACUCUGAUGUGAUGUAAAACUAUGUUCUGUGAUGGAUGUUGUAAUCUGUGAUGGUGAUGCUUGAUCAUGUAUGAUCUUGGUUGUAUGUUGGUUGAAUCGAUGUCUUUUGAGAUUUCGUCGGACUACCGGGUUUAUAUGGGUUCAAGUCCAUUGGCUUGACUGCCUCUGUGGUCGCUAAUUCACUUGAAUUCUUAUAAAUUGGACGGUUCUGUUACAGCUGGUAUCAGAGCAAGAUUAAGCAUAUAACCAUCAUAGAUGUAUUUGAAAACAAAUGAAUUUGGUUUUCUCAAACUAAUUUGGCAAAUUAGGUUAUAAAUAGGGUUGUUUUAAAAAAAAAGGUUUUGAUAACUUAUACCAUGCCAGUGGUCAUGCCCUUUAUGCCCAUAUAAGGAAUGCUAGGUGGCUUAAUAUUACUAACAUGGGGUUUUUCCUUUCGUCGUCCAUAUGGUGUAUAAUUAUAUGGAUACCGCUUACUUAAGUGGUAAUGAAUGGAUCACAUACCUCUACGCCAUGGUAAGCUUGUUUGUUUUCUUUCGUCGUCCAUACGGCGUGAAAUUGUAUGGAUGCCACUUGCUUGAGUGGUAAUGUAUGGAUCUAUAUGCCUCUACGCUACGGUAAGUGUGAGCUGUGAGAGCUUGACUGUCCAACCGUCGGUCUAGGGGAGUGUUAGCUGUGGUUACUGGAAUAUUUACAUGUUUCACACAUGUAUAUAUGAAAGUACUUAAUUGUGGGUAGUAGGUGCAGCCAGGUAUACAUAUUUGAUGUAUAGGUGGGUGUAUCCAAAAUGGGUAGCGUGCUGCGAUAUAUGUUCGGGAAUAUAUAUCGGAGUACCUAGCUUGAGUGUUGAUAAUUGGUUUUACAUUUCUGCAUUUAUACUAUUGUGGGGCUGGGCUGAAAUGGAAUCUUCUGCAGGUACACUAACAACGAAACGUUUAGACCGUGUAGAUGCGUAUAAAGAGUGCACGUAUGUAUGCCACCGACUAUACCGUUAGAACUUUCUUCUAGGGAUGGAAAGGACGUAUGGAACGUGCAUGCAUCAUGAAUCAUUCAUACAUUCUUUAUGAAAUACUUGGGUAUUAAAUUCUGAAAAUACGAUUCUUUAUCUCUCCUUGUAAUUAAUCUCCCUUACUCAAAUGUGGUCUUUCUACAGAUGGCAGCCCCGCACGUGAGUGAGACUUUCCUGGACAUGUUUGGCACUCCUACUUUGUUGUGGAGGGUGCUAAGUUCAGUUGGAUAUGAGGAACCACCUAAGUAUACUUGGACUGAGGCCGAGCAUGCAGGGGCCUUACCUUGGGUAGAUGUCCAAAUUACAGUUCCCCCUUGUCCAAAUAACCCACAGUGGCUAGGUUGGUUAGUUGACUGUGAUGGCCAAACUCCUUGGGAGGGUGCCCAGGUAGCAGCCCUGGAGGUUUUGCUAGAGAUUUGCCAAGAGCAUGGUGAUGAGCUAGUGAAUGGCCCAGCGGGAUCCGUUCCCAGGGUGAGUGUAACUGACACAUUUGUGUCCCAGGUUGGGAAUGAGUCUUUAGAGCUGAGAGAAACCUUGCUAGGAUAUAGCUCUAGCCCUGCCAUGAGUGCCAUGUUAGCCGUACUUAAGCUGUACUAUGUGCGCCAGGACACCUACAUAGAUGCCAUGCUAGCGCUUCAACAAGCACAAGUUGGGCAGCGCAAACUGCGCAAGAGAGUGCGCAAGCACCGCAAGGCUUUUAUGGAUGCACAAGCUGAAAUCCAAAACUAUCACACCGCUUUGCAAGCCCGCCGCAAUCAAGUUGCAAACGCAGUUAGAGAGCGCAAUGAAGCACAAGCCCGCAUGAUGCAAAUGACUAGAGAGAGAGAUGAGGCUAUGCCCCUGGCUGAAAAUAGAGAAGCCGCUAGAGUUAGAGCCUUGUUCCAUGCUGAAAUGAGACAGGAAGAGCUGAUUACUAGGAUUGCUGAGCUGCAAUUAGAUGUCCACCGCUUAAAUAAUAUCAUAAAUCCUAUUCCACAUCCAGCCCCUUUUAAUCAUGAAGAAGCUCCUAGUGAGGAAGAUCAGGAUGAUGGCAUCGUUUCUAAUGGAGAAUCCGAGGAAGAUAUGUAGCCUAGCAAUGAUUUUAUGAUCAUGUAUCAGUUUCCAUCUCUUUAUGUAAUGGACAUGUAAUCUGAAUUUUAGUUGAGACUCUAUGUAUUUGGCCAUGGUGCCCCUCCUGUAAACCCUUAAGUUGUGACAAUGACUCUAUGUAACCCUAUGCACUUAUUUGUGAUGCUCCAUGUUUUAUGUUGAGCCUAAAUAAUUCCCUGCAAUGUCUUUAAUCUUUGUGAAAUUGUGGCUGUGAUUGACCGCGAGAAGAACCAAGUGUCAUGGCAGAUAUUUUUUUAUUGUACAUGGAUUAUUGCGGCUUGAUUUAUGUGAAUUUACUUCAUUAAAUUCCGUAUGGCAGCAAUUGAAGUUCAUGACAAUUAUAUCUGUCGCCUGAAACAAUCGCUUGGUAUGCCUUGUGCAGAUGGCUCGCAAUACUCGCUCCGGUCACAACGAGGUGCCACCGCCACCACCUCCUCCCCCGCCUACGCCUACUGAGCUAUUGGCAGCUCUUGUUGAGGGCCAGCGUAUGCUCAAUGAGGCUAUGCAGACUAUGGCGCAGCAGAACCGGGGUGGUCGCCAUGUCCGCCAAGGCGGAGAGGCAAAUCAGUACAGCAGUUUCAAGGAUUUCCAAGACACAAAACCACCGCUGUUCAAGGAGGCUGUUGAACCUCUAGAAGCUGAUGAGUGGCUUAACACUCUUGAACAGAAAUUCCGUUUGGUAAGGUUAACCGAAGAGCUGAAGGCGGAAUAUGCAGCCCACCAGUUGGAGGGCAAAGCAGGUGUCUGGUGGAGUCAUUACAGGACCAGCUUACCUGCCAAUGUUGUUGUGACCUAGGAUCAGUUCACAACUGCUUUCAGGAACACUUAUAUUCCACAAGGCUUAAUGACUAUCAAGCACACUGAGUUUAUGAAUCUGACGCAAGGCACUAAAAGCUUGACUGAGUAUCUUCAUGCUUUUAACAAUUUGUCUCGCUAUGCUCCUGAGAUGGUUCACACUGAAGUCAAGAAGCUCGCUAGUUUCAAGAUAGGGUUGGGACCCAAGUUGUCCAAGAACAUGGCUGGUAACAAGAGUACCACCUUUAAUGAGUUUGUGAGUGAUGCAUUGACUCAAGAGAACUCCAAUGCUGUGUAUGCCGUGUCCAAAAACCGCAAGAGGGCUUAUGAGGCAGGUGCUUCACAAUCCAAGGCUCCAGUGACAAGUAAACCGGCCUAUCGCCCACCCAAUGCUGUGACAAGGUACAGACCGCUGCAGAAAAAGUCAAAUGCGAAGACGGGAGUUCACAAGUCCUUCACAGUUGCUCUCCCAAGAGGUGCCACGGGUCAAGGAAGUCCCAAGAAUCCUCCUGAUAACCGUCCCUGCUUCAAUUGCAAGCAAGUUGGUCAUUGGGCGAGAGAUUGCCCUUAUCCUAAGAGAAAUGCUGCAUCUGGAGGCAAUAACCGUAUAGGUCGUGUGCACUACACCACUGUUGAAGAAAUCCCUGAGGGUGAAGCUGUCACCGCUGGUAUGUUCCUUGUAAAUCAACACCCUGCAGUUGUCUUAUUUGAUUCUGGAGCUUCACAUUCAUGUAUGAGUCAAGCAUUCGCAUCUAAGCAUGGGCAACAUGUCAUUGACCUUGAUAGUGGAAAAUUUUGCAUUAGUGCUGCUGGUAACCAAAUUUCCACAAACCAAUUAGUGAAGGAUGUGAAUAUUGCUAUUGAGGGUCGUAACUUUUCAGCAAAUCUGGUAAUUUUGCCGGGCUUGGGCAUAGAUGUUAUUUUAGGGAUGAAUUGGAUGAAAAAUAAUGGGGUACUAAUAGACACCUCUACGAGGGUAGUGAUGUUGCGAGAGCCUAAUGGCAAAGAAGCCUUCUUGGUCCAACUUCCCAAGUGCGAUGACAUUCUUCACACUACUAAUGCUAUUAGACCACUCACUGUGGCAGAGAUUCCAAUAGUGUGUGAGUUUUCGGAUGUCUUUCCAGAGGAUCUGCCUGGGUUGCCACCGGACAGGGACAUUGAGUUUAAAAUUGAUCUAAUUCCGGGUACCGCACCUAUCUCUAGAAGGCCAUAUCGAAUGCCACCCAAUGAAUUGGCAGAGUUGAAAAAGCAAUUGCAAGAACUCCUAGAGAAGGGUCUCGUUCGGCCUAGCUCUUCUCCAUGGGGUUGUCCGGCUCUCUUUGUUAAGAAGAAGGACAAGUCUCUACGUAUGUGUGUAGACUAUCAUCCGCUGAAUGCCGUGACUAUCAAAAACAAGUAUCCACUGCCUCGCAUUGAUAUCCUGUUUGAUCAAUUAGCCAAGGCCAAAGUAUUCUCCAAAAUCGAUCUGAGAUCUGGGUAUCAUCAAAUCAAGAUCCACCGUGAAGACAUUCCUAAAACGGCUUUCUCUACCAGGUAUGGGUUGUAUGAGUAUUUAGUCAUGCCCUUUGGUCUGACUAAUGCCCCUGCUCAUUUCAUGUACCUGAUGAAUGCGGUGUUCGUGCCUGAACUGGAUAAGUUUGUGGUGGUGUUCAUCGAUGAUAUAUUGGUGUAUUCUGAAAAUGCACAAGAACAUGAGAAGCACCUUCGGAUUGUACUCACUAGAUUGCGAGAACAUCAGCUCUAUGCCAAGUUCAGCAAGUGUGAGUUUUGGCUGAAGAAAGUGCCUUUCUUAGGCCAUAUUUUAUCCGAAGAGGGUAUUUCUGUUGACCUAUCAAAGGUGCAAGAGGUUCUCGACUGGAAGGCCCCGACUUCAGUGCACGAGGUUCGGAGUUUUCUCGGUCUAGCUGGUUAUUAUCGGCGCUUCAUUCCAGACUUUUCCAAAAUAGCUAAGCCUAUGACCAAGCUACUGCAAAAAAGAUGUGAAGUUUGUGUGGUCCGAGGAGUGUGAAGUUUCUUUCACCACUCUACGCCAUUUGCUGACCACCGCUCCUAUUUUGGCACAACCUGACAUUGAAAAGCCAUUUGAUGUCUUUUGUGAUGCAUCUGGCACUGGCCUAGGUUGUGUGCUUAUGCAAGAAGGCCGAGUUAUUACCUAUGCUUCUCGGCAACUGAGGAAACACGAAGCCAACUACCCUACUCAUGAUCUAGAGUUAGCAGCAGUUGUACAUGCAUUGAAACUCUGGAGACACUAUCUGUUGGGUAAUCUUUGUCACAUUUACACUGACCAAAAGAGCCUCAAAUAUAUCUUUACACAACCCGAGCUGAAUAUGAGACAAAGAAGAUGGCUAGAAUUGAUAAAAGACUACAAUUUAGAAGUACACUAUCAUCCAGGCAAAGCCAAUGUUGUAGCUGAUGCUCUCAGUCGGAAACAACAUGUUAGACCUCUCCUAGAGGAAGGCUUCAAUUUAUUGCAUCCUGCGGUCCUGCACAACAUUAUAGUCAGUUGCUCAUUAGAGAGUCAAAUCAUAGAGCUCCAAAAAUCUGAUCCUGGUAUUUUUCAUAUCAAGAGAAAGAUGCAAGAGCAAGACACCAAGCAUUUCAGGGUAGAUGAGAAAGGUGUACUGUGGUUUGACAAUCGACUAGUAGUACCCAAAGACCGUGACCUACACAACAAGAUCUUAGAAGAAGCUCAUUCUUCCAAGUUGUCCAUUCAUCCGGGGAGUAGCAAAAUGUACCAAGACUUGAGACCUCGUUUCUGGUGGACCAAAAUGAAGAAAGAGAUAGCAGCUUAUGUUGCUAGGUGUGAUACCUGGUGCAGGGUGAAGGCAGUUCACCUCAAACCUGCAGGUUUAUUGCAACCCUUGUCGGUUCCAGGGUGGAAGUGGGAAGAAAUCAGCAUGGAUUUCAUUGUUGGACUUCCCCUGACUCAAAAAGGACACAAUUCUAUAUGGGUGAUUGUUGACCGUUUAACCAAGUCAGCUCAUUUUAUUCCUAUACACUCUACAUACCGGCCAUCCGACUAUGCUGAGUUGUACUUCUCUCAGAUAAUUAAAUUGCACGGAGUGCCUCGCACUAUCAUUUCUGAUAGAGGCCCACAGUUCACUGCUCGCUUUUGGGAGCAUCUGCAUUCACUCCUUGGUACAAAAUUGGUUCGCAGUUCAGCCUAUCAUCCUUAAACCUCCGGUCAGACUGAGCGUGUGAAUCAAAUUCUAGAGGAUAUGUUGAGGGCAUGUGUUAUAUCUGCCAAGGGUGCAUGGGAGAAAUGGCUACCGUUAGCUGAAUUCUCUUACAAUAAUAGUUAUCAAGAAAGCAUCCAAAUGGCCCCUUUCGAAGCUUUGUAUGGCCGCAAAUGUAGAACUCCUCUAAACUGGGUCGAACCAGGUGAAAGGAGGUACUACGGAAUUGACUUCGUCAAGGAAGCUGAGAAACAAGUUCUCAUCAUUCAGCAACACAUGAGAGCUGCCCAAGCUAGGCAGAAAAGCUAUGCUGACCGAAGAAGAAAGCCAAUCGAGUUCGAAAUAGGUGACUUUGUGUACAUAAAAGUAUCACCCAUGAAAGGAGUAAAUCGCUUUGGUGUUAAAAGAAAACUUGCCCCUAGGUAUGUGGGUCCCUACCAAAUCAUUGAGAAGAGUGGUAAGGUAGCUUACAAAGUACAACUACCUCCCGAAAUGAGAGCUAUUUUCCCUGUAUUCCACGUGUCUCAACUCAAGAAGUGUCUUCGUGUGCCCGAAGAGAGAGUUGAAACAAGAGAUAUCAAGUUGCAGUCAGACCUAUCUUAUGAAGAAAAGCCUGUGCAAGUUCUUGAUGUCAAGGAACGGGUUACUCGUGGGAGAGUGAUCAAACUUUUUAGAGUUUUGUGGAACCGGCAAAAUGAGAGAGAUGCCACUUGGGAAAGGGAAGACUAUUUACAAGUAACUUAUCCCUCAUUCUACGAAAAGUGGUACGUCUUUCAAAUCUCGGGACGAGAUUUUUGUAAGGGGGGAGGGCUGUAACACUCCUAGUGUUAGCUUGCAUGUUAACCAUGAGCAUUGCAUCAACAUAAGCAUCAUCAUGCUCAUUCAUAAGCAUCUAUCAUGAUCACAUGUCCUCUUAUGUAUACCAUGUAUGAUUGAAUUGCUUGUGUGACUUGAAUUGAGUAACUAUAAGGGGUAACCAAUGCAAAUAAAUGUACAUUGUCUUCCAAAAUACUUCAAUCAUGUCUAGAAUAUCAUUUGGAGCAAAGUCCAUGUUGAAGGUUUUGGCCAAAAAUGCCCCUAGGUUAGGGUUAAACCUAGAAUGGCUUGUUUUGACUCCUAGACCUCUUUUCAAAGAUGUUUUAUGUAAGUAAUGUUAGAAACCUUGCAUGUCUUUGGUACCUGAAGCAAAGUUGUAGAGAAUUUCAUAAGCUACAAAAGUUAUGUUGAUGACUUUUUAUGAAAAAGCUUAGAACACAUCCAAAAAUUGCUCACAAGUCAAAAAUCAGGGCUGAUUUCAUACUUAGCCGAAUUUGGCUAAGUGUUGGAUCACGCAGUUUCGACCAAGGGUUGUUGGGAGCUUUGUAGUUUGAAAUCCAGACCGAGUUAGACUUUGGUCUUGUAAUCAAAGUUGUAGAACUCGUGUAGCUCUAUCCAAAGGAACAAGUUUGAGCCAAAACCAUCGAGUGAGCUGAGAGUAAAACGCCGGUGAACUUUGGGUUUCAGACACGGUCGACGACGACUGAAUCGUGCGAUACAGUUUCGUCAGUCGCCGGCCGGCCGACGCGUGGAUGACCCAUGGCGGCCGUACGUCGACGGCGACCCCGCCUGUCAGCCCCGGCGCCUUCACUUGGAUGCCACGACGCCACCCCGAGCCCCGGCCGUCCUCAUUUCGCCUCUCCAGCGCUCUCUCCCUUCUCCAUUUCGCCUCGGCGAGCUCCGCCGUGGAACGGCCGCGUCGCCCGAGCUCUUGUCGCCAUCUCCGGCCAAGCCAGCCCGCCAAAAGCUUCGCCAGAGCCUCCUCUACCUCGGCGUCACCUCCUUGGCCACUGUCGAGCAUGGGUAAGGCGGCAUUGCCGAGCUCCGAGCAGUUCUUCCUCGCCGGAGUUCCGCUCGAGCUCACCGGCAACGUGGCCAGGCCUCUCUGCUCCACCAUUUCCCUCCAUUCUUGUUCCUACCGCUUUCCCUUGGUUCACUGAUGCUCGGCAUGACGCUCUACCGCGUCGCCAUCGCCUGGAUCCGCCGGCGUAUCGCCGCGCAGCGCCGCCGCUCCGCCAUUUCCGACGGCGAGCACCCUAGAGUCCAGUAGAGCGCGCGUAAAGUAGGUCAACAGAGUCGCCUUGACGAGAGGAACACGUAGGUGCCCUUAGAUCCGGCCGAGACCUCGUCGUCGUCGAGCUUCGCCGGCGACGAGCAUCUCCCCUGUCCCCGUUUCACUGACGUGUGGGUCCCGGAUGUCAGUCUCUCUGUGUCACCCCCUCUGGUUCACUGUUGUGCAGAGCCAAAGCUGUUUUUGUAAAAUUCAUAUCUGGAGUUUUAGAGAUCCAAAUGUGGUGAUUCCAAUUUUGCUAGGUUCCAGCAGAAUUCUAGUUUUUAAUAAAAAUAUGAAACAUGCCAUGUUUUUGCAGAAAUAAAUAGAUAUAAAUUAAUCUUGAAUUUUCAGUGGGUAAUUUCAUCUUGAGAUCUAUUGAUCUGCUGGCCAUGCAAAUUUGGGGAGUUGUUACUUAUGUUAUGAUUAGGCUCUGAUAAAUUUUUCAUGAUUUGUGGAAGCCUGGUUGGGAAGUUAUAAUUAAUCCUUGCUUAAAUAGGAGAAUCUUGUGGUAUUUUUGAUAAUUAAAGUAUAACUCCUUUUAUGGUGAAACUUGCUGAGUGUUGUACUUAUGUGUGGACAAAGCUAGGAAAAAUCUGAAAUCUGUUGUUUGACACUUUUUGAUAGGAUUUCACAUUUAUGCCUUGCAUGCCUUUACUAGCUUGUUAUUUUUAUACCUCCCAAUGUGUAUGUGAAAAUGUUCUGAAAGUUUUACAGUGAUCUUAUGUUAGCAAAAGUAGCUUGCUGUAAUUUUCUUAGGAUUUUUGGAACACUUGGAGUAUAUGUUCAUUAAAUCACCUUAAUAAUUAAAUAAAUGGAAAAGGUGAUGAUAGAAAUAGUUUUAGACCUUGCCAUGAUGUUUUCUGGUGUUUCUUAGAUAUGUUCUAUCUAUUGGUGCUAUUGGUUUAUCCCUGUGAUAUAUUCUCAAUAUGUGCAAAAUAUUAUUUUAGCUAUUUUUGCCUUUCCUAGAGCAUUUCUAUACAGCUGAUGGCAAUUGAUUAGGAGCUAUGUGAAGAUUGUGUUUUCUGGGAAACUUGUCUACAACAAACUUGUAGCUAACUUACUGAUCUACUUCGUCUCCAAAUGUCAUGACAUUUGGUUGAGUAGUUUGAAAGUUAUACAUAUUUCAAGUAGCUGCUACAAAGUGCUUGCUCUCUGGAAUUUCCAGAGCAGCCAGCCAACUUUGUAUGUUUUAGCAUAUUUCGGUUGGGAAUCAUGCUGGGAUGUAUAAAGGUAAAUUGUAGACAAUUUGUUAAGCUUUCCAGAAAGUGCUUACUUGCUUAAUUUGGUUAAGUGAUACUCGAGUUAUAGCUGGAACUUGUGACUGGUUGGUUUGCCUACUAAACCAGUGACUGGGUAAGAGUAGCUAGGACUUGUUUAACUUGUCUAUUUAGUCUCUCUACCAGAAAAGAAGUUUGCACUUACUUGUUAAUCCAUGAUUCACUUAAUCUUAGAAGUUAUGCUCAUGCUAUACCUUGUUUUAUAUUCCUUUGGCUCCUCAUCAUGACAUCAUACAUCAUAUGUGCAUUCUCUAUAUUCAUUUCCUUGUCAUGCAUACAUAGGUGUACCCAAGGGAGUAACGGUGCUGGAGUUCGAGCUGCCGGAGCCGGAAGGACAGCAAGUGGAACUACCUCAGGGAGCUGAGGAGGAGGAGGAUUUGCCGGAGUGCCCUGACCACCGUCCCUCUACCUACGUUGAAGGCAAGCCCCGGAGCAUUAUAAGCCUCCUACUAUUUUGUUAAUUGUGUUCAGCUAUCAAUUGACUAUGGUUAUAUAUAUUGAUGCAUUAAGUGGUAGGCAUUGAUAUGACACCCUUGCUGCAUAAUGACUACCUUGUCCACUGCAUACCUCACCAAAGUAGGUCCAGGAUCGAAGUAUUGCUUAGCUAUGCUUAGCUCGGUAGAAGCCGGGUGAUUUCCUGUCACCUGCGAGAGAUAGGUGGAUGAUGAUCACGGUUGGCUAUAUUUGCUAUCGUGGAAAUAACCAUGUGCUAAUAAUGAACUUGAGACCGGGCGGGAUGACGAUGGUGCAGCAACAAGGCAUGGAGGUCUUGGGUGUGAAUCUAUCCCCGUCUGUGUCGUUUAAGGACCGAAUCGCUGUACGUCCCCGUGUCAUGUUGAACGCAUGCCUAUCACUUAGUUGGCCGGAUAAGUCGUUCCGACCGCGAAGCCUACGAGUGCAUCUCCAGCCGGAUACCCCGUUUGGUUCAAGUGUGCACCCCGGUUGGUAGCAAGGAUGUGCGGGGAGUCAAUGGCGUAAGACCGAGGUGUCAGGUUAGAGUCCUGACCCUGGCAGAUUGGCGGUCCCUGGGGUGCGGCGCCGUACGGACCCGCGAAUUGGUCCGGAGUUGUGCUAAAGGUGAUCCGAGCUGCCGUCAUGAAGUAUGCUUGGGUGAGUGUUAGGAAUCGAUUCGAAUCACCGUCUCUCCCGGAUAGUGAGAACUUGACUUGGUCAGCGGCAACGUAGAAUUCACUAAAUCAACUUAAUGGUUAUGAUGAGAAUGAUGAUGGCUAUGUGAUAAUCCGGAUAUGGUUAUUAUUGUAAUGCUUAAAGACUCAAGUGUAUGCUUAGAGUAGGUGCUAAUCUAGUGGAUAGUUGCUAAGUGAUAAACUUGCUGCUGAAAUAUAAUACAUGAAUUAUUUACAACAAAGGCUUUUAUGCAAAAGGUGAGUCAAACCAGUCCACAGAGAUCAGCCUUGCAUACUCCUUGGUGUCACUUUAUUUCUGGUUUAUGACGGGUAAGUCUAGCUGAGUACAUUCUCGUACUCAGGGUUUUAUUUACCCCUGUUGCAGAUGAUAUCGUCUAUCACGGCUAUUGCGCUAACUGUCAUCACCCAGCUGCGGAUGAUGAGUAGAUCAUGGGCGUGAUCACAUUCUUUAUCUUCAGUUAUGCUUUUGUUGGGACUUGACCAUAGAGCUGGCAUGUAAUAUAACUGUUGGUGUUGUUUCAAAACUACUUUUAUUUCCGCUACUGCGAUGGUUGUAAUAACCUCUUUUAAACUCUGAUGUGAUGUAAAACUAUGUUCUGUGAUGGAUGUUGUAAUCUGUGAUGGUGAUGCUUGAUCAUGUACGAUCUUGGUUGUAUGUUGGUUGAAUCGAGGUCUUUUGAGAUUUCGUCGGACUACCGGGUUUAUAUGGGUUCAAGUCCAUUGGCUUGACUGCCUCAGUGGUCACUAAUUCACUUGAAUUGUUAUAAAUUGGACGGUUCUGUUACAAGUUUCGGCAGCGAGAAGGUUAGUCUCGCUCUCCGAGGCAGCUGCUUGUAGCUGCGUUGGUUGACUCCGCUGACCAGAGGACUUAUUCAUGUAGGCUUGGAGGAGGAGGUCGCACGCCUUCUGUUGACGGUUCUUAAGUAUCAAUUUUAAUAAUCAAAUAAACAAGAGAAAGGACCAAUAUGCAACCAUCACCUAGAAUUAGGGUUUGAUCUGACAGAAUUCCACGAGUUUUGUUGUUUAUCUGUUUCUGCAGGGGGUUAUCAGGAAAUAAGGAAGAAAGGCCCACAUGUCAGGAUUACAUAGAGAUAUCCACGCACCGCGCAAUUUUACAUCAUCUAGAAGACUCCAGAAGCCACGAGACCGAAGCGGAGGCGAAGCUGGGCCAGGCCCAGGGCGCCCGCCCUGGAAGCCUGGGCGCCCGCCCCCCUGCUGGAGCCAAUUCAGGACUCCUUCGCUCAGGAUAUUCCACCGACCUAUUGGAUCAAGAAAAACAUAGUACCACCUCGGCUAUCGACCCAAAAACGCAUAGAAGGGGAGGACUAUAUAAGCGAGGCCCCCCUGGCCCCUGGAAGACAUGAAGAAAUUAUCAUAGAGACUGAGGGGUGCCCUCGAAGGAAAACCUCUUCUCUAAUUAAUAUUUCUUUUUAGGCUUAGCAAUCAAUGUAAGGUAGAAAUAGAUCUUCUAGUUUCUACUAGAUUGAGAGAGAUAGAGUGGAGGUGUAGAGUGGAGGAAGCCCGGCCUGUCGGUGUCUACUCCAAGCUUGUACCUGCGGGAUCAAGUUCUCCUAACCCGAAGCUUGAUCCUAGGAUUCUUCAGUAAUUCGACUUCUAAAUUCUAGUAAGUUCUUGUUUUAUUGUUCUUAUGGUUUAUGAGUUUACUUUAAUCUCUUCGCGUAGAGUUUAGAGUAAUCAUUGCUGGCGUAAACGUGGUGUUUAGGCUGGGGUACUCAUAGAUAUUCCCUGACUAGCUGGACCGUGGUAGUAGUGAGGAACGUGACAAUUCCGAGCUACCUUUGUAGAUCACAUCUCGUUAGCAGGAAGGAUAGGGUUUAUAGGUGCGGGUUGAACAUCCUUUGUGGUGUCUAGAUUCCGUUAGCCUCCCCAUUAGAACAAUAGAUCAUCCUUACCAAGGUUAGAAGGAGACUACGGUUGCAGUCUUCUCUAUUUAUCACUCACAUCGAAAGACAUUCUUUGUGCCUAAAGGUUAGUAGUAAUAGACCGGUUAGUCAGAUGCACUCUUUCUCCUAGUGGUAAAAAAAUAAAUACGAUACUCUGGAUAACCUCCCGGGUGAAGUGCUCACCAAUAUCCGUGCGCUUGCGGAUCAAUUCCUUAUUGCGUUCGCAAAUAUCAACAAGCAUUUCUGGCGCCGUUGCCGGGGAGAAAGACGGUUGCUGAGAUAACCUGUGUCUUGCUACUAGCUUGUAUCUAUACUUUUAUCUUUUCUUAUCUUUUAUAUUCUUUAUUUAUUUUUCUUUACUCUUACCUUAUGGAAAACCAAAAUUCUAAAUCGAUCCAUGAGUCUGCAAUCCCUUUAGCAACUGACCUUUUACCAUGGGAAUCAUCACAGCCUAUUCAAACACCCCAGUAUAAGUUAAGUUCUAGGUUGAUUGCCAUGAUUCAAAACUUAUCUUUUUCGGGAAAGGAAGACGAAAACCCUUACCUUCAUAUUAGAGAUUUUGAGCAAACAUGUGAUUGUCUUCGCAUGGAAGGCAUUUCUGAUAAAACUUUACGUUGGAAGCUUUUUCCUUUUUCUUUAAGGGGAGAAGCUAGACAAUGGUACAGUCAGAAGGUAAGUCAACAACAAGGUGAAUGGGGAGUUUUACGAGCCAACUUUUGUCUAGAUUUUUAUUCCCUUGACCGUAUAGCCGACCUUAGACUCGAAGUCCUAUCUUUUAAACAAAAAGAUAAUGAAACUUUGGGAAAAUCCUGGAAACGUUUUUCUCAUCUUUUAGAAUCUGGUCCAAACCUUAAUCUUGAAGACCCUGUUCUUUUAUUUCACUUUUUUCGAGGUCUUCAUAAAAAUCACAAACAAAUGCUGCACACAAUGUCUAGAGGUUCUUUCUUUCGCAUCCCUUCUAAUGAAGCUAGAGUGAUCCUAGAUAGAAUCCUAGAAGCUGAGAUGGAUAAUACCCUUCAUGAUGAAACCUACGAAGCCGAAGUAGACACUCUGCCAAAUUCUUCAUCUACUUUAGCUAUCCCAAGUUCUGAGCCUCAAGAGGAAGAAAUUCCACUACCGGACUUCAUGCUGGAUAUAGAAUCCGAUCUUUUUGCUGAUUUUGGAAAUAUUUCAAACUACCAUUCUAUUGACAAACCCCAAAACGGCCAGUUUAGCAUUUAUUUACCAAGUGAAUAUCAAUUGAGAGAGCUUAUCUCAGUAAUGAGUAGCGAAUGGUUGGAGGAAUCAGAGCUUUCCUCUGAUGUGAUCCGUUUGGACACACCCUCUAUAACUAUACGUUGUGCUUAUAAUUCUGAUCGAUUUAAUGCUCUUUAUAAUCCUGUUGUGGGGAUCAACAUUAUGUCUGAAUCGUUUGCACUUAAACUAUUUAAAAAUCUUAUCUUAACCCCCACAACAAAGGUCAUAAAGGAAUCUUCGGGACGAUUAGUCCCCAGUCUUGGAAUUAUUAAUGUCCUACCUCUUACGGUAGAAGGCUCCAUGGUGCACUUGAACUUCUAUAUCUUUGAUACAUGGGACUUCGACCUGUUAAUAGGACAACCUUUUAGAAGACUCCUUUAUGAAGGUCAUACUGGAAAGCUACACAUUUCUUUUGGAAAAACUUUUCAAUUCCCAAUGAUAAUUUCACACUCCUUAAAUAAUAAGGCCGAGUCAUAUCUUUUGCCUGAUCCUAUGGAGGAAGUAAAGGCUGCAUCUCUAGAGCUUUUAGAUGAACCAGACUUAGAAGACGAAACUCCUUUCUUCACAGAAGAAGAAGACGAACCUUCCGAGCCUGAACCCUUAGAUGAGUUUGCAGAAACACCUAGACCCCCCAUAGAACUUAAAACUUUACCACCUGGUCUUACCUAUGCUUUCCUAAACAAUAAUCCAGAGUUCCCUGUGAUCAUUAGCGAUAAACUCACUCAGGAUCAAACUCUACGAUUAAUGACCAUUCUUGAGAAACAUCACUCAGUUUUCGGCUACUCACUUCAAGAUCUUACAGGAAUCAGUCCUAUGAUUUGUACCCAUCGUAUUCCAACAGAUCCUUCUGUUACACCCACUCGAGAACCCCAACGUAGACUUAACAACACUAUGAGAGAGGUAGUUAAAAAGGAAGUUAUUAAGUUGCUGCAUGCAGGGAUUAUAUAUCCUGUGCUGCACAGUGAGUGGGUAAGCCCAGUACAAGUUGUGCCCAAAAAGGGAGGCAUGACAGUUAUUAUGAAUGAAAAGAAUGAGCUAAUUCCGCAACGCACCAUCACAGGAUGGCGGAUGUGCAUAGACUAUAGAAAAUUAAACAAAGCCAUGAGAAAGGAUCACUUUCCUUUACCUUUUAUAGAUGAGAUGCUAGAGCGGUUAGCAAACCAUUCGUUCUUCAGGGUAUCAUCAGAUCCCGAUCCAUCCUGAUGAUCAAAGCAAAACCACUUUUACAUGCCCUUAUGGAACUUAUGCUUACCGUAGAAUGUCUUUUGGGUUAUGUAAUGCACCAGCUUCUUUUCAAAGAUGUAUGAUGUCUAUAUUUUCUGAUAUGAUUGAAGAGAUUAUGGAAGUUUUCAUGGAUGAUUUCUCUGUUUAUGGAAAAACUUUUGAUAGUUGUCUUGAAAACUUAGACAAGGUUUUGCAAAGAUGUGAAGAAAAGCACUUAAUCCUUAAUUGGGAAAAAUGUCAUUUUAUGGUUAGAGAAGGAAUAGUGCUAGGACACUUAGUGUCUGAAAGAGGUAUUGAGGCAGACAAAGCUAAAAUUGAAGUAAUUGAACAACUACCUCCACCUGUGAACAUAAAAGGAAUUCGAAGUUUUCUUGGCCAUGCUGGUUUUUAUCGUAGAUUCAUAAAAGAUUUUUCAUUUAUUGCUAGACCACUUACUCUUUUGCUAGCCAAGGAUGCUCCUUUCGAAUUUGAUGAUGCAUGUCUAACAUCUUUCAAUUUAUUAAAGAAAGCACUCAUCUCUGCACCAAUCAUUCAACCCCCUGAUUGGUCGUUGCCUUUUGAAAUUAUGUGUGAUGCUAGUGAUUAUGCUGUGGGGGCAGUAUUAGGACAAACUAAAGAUAAGAAGCAUCAUGCAAUUGCUUAUGCCAGUAAAACUUUGACAGGAGCUCAACUUAAUUAUGCAACCACUGAAAAAGAGCUUCUGGCUGUUGUCUUUGCCAUAGAUAAAUUUAGAUCUUAUUUAGUUGGAGCUAAAAUAAUUGUUUACACUGAUCAUGCUGCAUUAAAAUAUUUGCUCACUAAAAAAGAUGCUAAACCUCGCCUGAUUAGAUGGAUCUUAUUACUCCAAGAAUUUGACUUAGAAAUAAAAGAUAAAAAAGGAGUAGAAAAUUUUGUUGCUGAUCACUUGUCUAGAAUGUAUUUUAAGAGUCCACAGGAAACCCCCAUCAAUGAUUCACUCCGGGACGACAUGCUCUACGGGAUUAACAGGUCUGACCCUUGGUAUGCAGAUAUUGUUAAUUUUAUGGUUUCAGGGUAUGUACCACCAGGAGCAAACAAAAAGAAGCUUACUCAAGAAAGUCGUUCACAUAUAUGGGAUGAGCCAUACCUCUUCCGAGUAUGCUCUGAUGGCUUACUCAGGAGAUGUGUGACCACUGAGGAAGGAUGGAAGAUCAUCGACAGAUGUCAUUCAUCACCAUAUGGAGGUCACUAUGGAGCAUUCCGUACACAUUCAAAGAUCUGACAGUGUGGAUUCUAUUGGCCUACAAUGUAUGAAGACACGAAGCAAUAUAUGAGAAGAUGUGGGCCAUGUCAAAGACACGGAAACAUAAAUACAAGGGAUGCAAUGCCACUCACCAACAACCUUCAGAUUGAGCUCUUUGAUGUCUGGGGAAUAGACUACAUGGGUCCAUUUCCUCCAUCAAAGAAGUGUGAGUACAUCUUGGUGGCAGUUGACUAUGUCUCCAAGUGGGUAGAAGCAUUACCUUGCAAGCAUGCCGACAACGUCAGUUCAAAGAGGAUGUUUGAAGAAAUUAUAUUUCCAAGAUUUGGAGUCCCCAGAGUAGUGAUGAGUGAUGGAGGAGCACACUUCAUCGACAAACGCUUCAAGCAAUAUCUAUCAAGACAUGGAAUCCGUCACAAUGUCGCUACCCCCUAUCAUCCUCAGACAAGUGGCCAAGCAGAGACUUCCAACAAACAAAUCAAGAAUAUUCUUCAGAAGACAGUAAAUGAAAUGGGAACGGCGUGGAAAGACAAGUUACCCGAUGCACUCUGGGCAUACCGGACAGCAUACAAGACCCCAAUUGGAAUGUCUCCAUACCAAUUGGUGUACGGGAAGACUUGCCAUCUACCUGUUGAACUAGAGUUAAAAGCACACUGGGCCAUAAAGAGAUGGAAUAUGGACCUAGAUGUUGCUGGAGAUUAUAGAAGAAUGCAACUAUCAGAAUUGGAAGAAUGGCGAGAGAAGGCAUAUCACAAUUCAAAGAUCUACAAAGAAAGAGUCAAGAGGUGGCAUGACAAGAGAAUCAAAAAGAAGGAGUUCACACCCGGAGAUAAGGUAUUACUUUUUAAUUCCAGGGUGAAGCUUUUCGGGCAUGGAAAACUCCGGAGCAAAUGGGAAGGACCAUUCAAGGUAAUCAAUUCAUCAUCCCACGGAGCUAUCACACUUCAAAAUAAUAAAGGUACGUUAUUCAAGGUAAAUGGUCAACGUCUUAAAUUAUUUUUAGAGCCCAAUGAGGAAUUUGAAGAAAUAGACGUAGUCCAUUUUUACCUUCCCAUAGAAAAUUAGAGCCCGACACUUUUGGUCUGAUGGUUUUGGGGCAUAUAUAUAUUUUUCUAAAUAAUUUCGCAUCUAGAAACGCGCUCGGAGAAGUGGGCCCACAGAGGGGCCAGAGAGAGGGCGGGCGCCCAGGUCAAGUGGGCGGGCGCCCUGCCCCUGUUCCCCCUCGGUCCCGACUUUCUCUGUUAUGGAAAAUGCACUUAGGGUGAUCCGAAUAACUCCUCGGAUGGAAAGUUUCCCACGCACAUCGAUGGGAGCAACCCGAACAACCCAUAGAGGCAUCCUUUUGACCCCUAUAUAAACAGACCCCUGACCUCAGUUUUCAAACACCAAGCCACCAAGCUUUCUCUCUUUCAAUUAGAGCUUGAUUAGCUCUCCUUCAAUUAAAAUUUUAUUAGUUCCUUGCUACUCCAAUGGCCGACAAGUACCACGACGAUUGGGAAGUCGUCCCCUUCAACCUCAACAUGGAGCCAGUGGAAGACCCCGAUGCCCGUGCUCUCGUCCCGGCCAACACAGAACGUCAGCUAGAAGCCAUGCCAUUACGUCAACGCAGCUCCGCCCAAUCUUACCAUGCUCAACCAGUUCUCACCGCACCACCACAAACCCUACUUCUCAAAGGACCAUCAUCCAAUACGAAGACCACUAUCAAGGUGCCAAUCGGCACAAGAGUCCUUCCACCUAGACCCAAUGAGAGGGUCGUUGGAGUCAAGACCAACCGAAGCGGCGAGAUCAGCAGCGUUCGCUACACUACGGAGGAGGAAAGGCCUUACUUUGAAGGGAUUAGAGCAUCCAAAGUCCGUUUCAUCCCUCCAAAGGCAGCCCCGAAGCACGCUCUCAAUGCUUUUGAGACACCUCCCAAGCGUCGCAAGACUAUAAUGGAUAUUGAUGAGGAAGUUCGCAGGCUAGAUAGAAUUAUCAUAGACCUCCAGUCCUCGAUUAAUUCCCUCACUAGGCAGCUCUCUAACCACAACACCGUUAUACUAGGCCUUAGGCAGGAUCUUGCCAGUGCCAACAAGAAGAUCAAGGAAUUAGAGCGCCGCUAAGUUAUCUAGAUUAGACCUUGAGGCAAUACAUCUUAGUUAUCUUUAAAUUCUGUUUAAGUUUGCUAUUAUUAGUUUGCUAUCAGUUUGCUAUCAGUCUUUUGUAAUAAAUGCCUCAAGAUCAAUAAAGAGUAUUAUUAUUAUGUCUUGUGUGUCUCUACUUUAUUUUUGUACAAGAAAGCAGAAAACAAGUAUGGGGGAGAUCCCUCAACAUGCCAAACACACUCCGACUACACCACUCCACCACUAAGGUACACACUCUGCACACUUUACUUUACACAUAUAUUUAUUUUGGAUUAUGCAGAUUUCUGUUUUCGACAUGAUAAAAUAAAAAGAUUAAAAUAUUUCUAAUCAUGAUUAAUCUCAAUCUGUGAUAUUUCCUGAAAACUUGCAAUUAGUAUAAAAUCAUUUAAAAAAAACCCUGUGUUACUUAAGUCAAUAUGGAAUAUGUGAUGGUAGAGUAUGAGUUUCUUAUUCUUGAUAUCAUGGUUGCUUGGAGAAUUUAUUUCAAAAUAUUCAAAUUUCUAGCUACCAUCCUCAGUGUUUUAUAUGCCUGAUAAAACUGAAAUAUUAAUUAUGAUUAUAAAAGCUAUCUGCUCUGUAUUGAGUUUGUUCAAAAUGAGUUAGACCCUUGUUGAGAGAUUUAUCAUGCUCCCAAGAUCAAGACACUAUUUCAGUAAGAUUCACUCUUCCGAAGUAUUAUUGCAUUAGAGGCAUGGGCUAUGCAAAAAUAGAAGAUAUUUCGAGGAAAUAAAAAGGAGCAAGUGCUCGACAACCUCGCAGAAAAAAAUGGACAAGUGUCCGGCAGUAGAAUUAGGGGUACCUCAGUAUCCACUUAAAAAAAAAUAAUAAUAAAAUAAAUGAUAGCCCAUGGUCCCUCUAAUAAGCAAUAUGCAGCAAGAGAUGACAAAGUUUUUAAUUUCCAAAGUCUUUGAUCUAAGAGUAUGACAUUCCCCUCCUCGGAUCCCGUUUUGAUCAGGCAAUAAAUGCAAAGUAAGUAUGCUUGAGAAUUUUUGCAAAAUUAAAACAGCCUCAGUGAGAAAUAUAUAAAAGAUAAUGAGUGAUCUGAGAGAACCUAUGAGGAUCAAAAGGUAUGCUAACUUUCUUUAAAAAUAUAUUCAAAAACUCCAAGUAACAGGAUUGAGAAGAAAGGAUCUUUACUCUUAAUCAUAUACAUCCCUGACUAUGGUACACAGUGAAUUUUUAACACCCUGCAAUUAUAAAGAGAAUGCUUUAAAAUGUUUACCCCAGAUAUUUUUCUUAACCAUCCUUUUCUCGAGGACGAGUAAAAGCCUAAGUAUGGGGGUAUUUGUUGACGGUUCUUAAGUAUCAAUUUUAAUAAUCAAAUAAACAAGAGAAAGGACCAAUAUGCAACCAUCACCUAGAAUUAGGGUUUGAUCUGACAGAAUUCCACGAGUUUUGUUGUUUAUCUGUUUCUGCAGGGGGUUAUCAGGAAAUAAGGAAGAAAGGCCCACAUGUGAGGAUUACAUAGAGAUAUCAACGCACCGCGCAAUUUUACAUCAUCUAGAAGACUCCAGAAGCAACGAGACCGAAGCGGAGGCAAAGCUGGGCCAGGCCCAGGGCGCCCGCCCUGGAAGCCUGGGCGCCCGCCCCCCUGCUGGAGCCAAUUCAGGACUCCUUCGCUCAGGAUAUUCCACCGACCUAUUGGAUCAAGAAAAACAUAGUACCACCUCGGCUAUCGACCCAAAAACGCAUAGAAGGGGAGGACUAUAUAAGCGAGGCCCCCCUGGCUCCUAGAAGACAUGAAGAAAUUAUCAUAGAGACUGAGGGGUGCCCUCGAAGGAAAACCUCUUCUCUAAUUAAUAUUUCUUUUUAGGCUUAGCAAUCAAUGUAAGGUAGAAAUAGAUCUUCUAGUUUCUACUAGAUUGAGAGAGAUAGAGUGGAGGUGUAGAAUGGAGGAAGCCCGGCCUGUCGGUGUCUACUCCAAGCUUGUACCUGCGGGAUCAAGUUCUCCUAACCCGAAGCUUGCUCCUAGGAUUCUUCAUUAAUUCGACUUCUAAAUUAUAGUAAGUUUUUGUUUUAUUGUUCUUAUUGUUUUAAUCUCUUCGCGUAGAGUUUAGAGUAAUCAUUGCUGGCGUAAACGUGGUGUUUAGGCUGGGGUACUCAUAGAUAUUCCCUGACUAGCUGGACCGUGGUAGUAGUGAGGAACGUGACAAUUCCAAGCUACCUUUGUAGAUCAUAUCUCGUUAGCAGGAAGGAUAGGGUUUAUAGGUGCGGGUUGAACAUCCUUUCUGGUGUUUAGAUUCUGUUAGCCUCCCCAUUAGAACAAUAGAUCAUCCUUACCAAGGUUAGAAGGAGACUACGGUUGCAGUCUUCUCUAUUUAUCACUCACAUCGAAAGACAUUCUUUGUGCCUAAAGGUUAGUAGUAAUAGACCGGUUAGUCAGAUGCACUCUUUCUCCUAGUGGUAAAAAAAUAAAUACGAUACUCUGGAUAACCUCCAGGGUGAAGUGCUCACCGAUAUCCGUGCGCUUGCGGAUCAAUUCCUUAUUGCGUUCCCAAAUAUCAACACCUUCGACAGCAGAAAGAGCAGCUCAGCCAAGAGCUUGCCAGUGCGCUGGAGACUGGGCGCCGAGCAGGGGAGGAGUUGGGUCAGAAGGACUGGGAGUUGUCUGGUAAUACGCGCCACCCCGUUAUCUGCCGCUAUACGCCCUUUUUUUUGAUAUGUUGAAAAUAACAUCUUGCUUGACUUUCAGUGCUCAAGGUGAACGCCAAGAAGCACCUGGACGAGCUGGUCAGGGACCGGGACUCCUGGAAGGUCAAUUGUUGUAAGAUCUGGAAAGGAGUGUCCCCGGUCCUGGACUUGAUCAGCCCCGAGCUCCCGGAGAGCCAGCCCCGCGCGCCGAAAUUGACGCCAGUUGAAAAGGCGCAAUGGGCGUGGGACUAGCUUCAGCAGUUCGUGAAGGAUGCUGGGGAGUUUGCUGGUGCGCACAUCCUUAGCAUGGUGCGCGCCCACGACCCCCUGGUUGAUUUGACCAGGCUGGAGAAGGGGUACCCCAAGGAGGUCGGCCCGCAGGAGGCGGACGAGCUUCGGGGUGGUCUGCUGGACUUGUCGUCGACGGUGAUCGGCGACAUCAAUCUAUGCGGAACGGCCACUCCCCCCGACCAGCCAGGUUCAGACAGGUCAGCCAGGGAGCUGUCGGGCACGUCUAUUGCGGGAGAUGGGCGGUCGAGGCCUGCGGUCUCGACCAGCCAGGCGCCGGUGGCCCCUACCCCUUCGUCCGGGCAGCAAGGCCAGGCGGGUGAUCAGCCCGAGCAGUAGGCCAGUAGGAUAGUCUGUAGGAGUAGACUAGUGUCCGCCCGUCAGGGUGUUUAUUGUAAACUUUGUAUGUAAAGUUUGUAAUAAAGUUUUGAAUUUGUCAUGACUACUAUUUUGAGCGCUGUGAAGUUGUCUUAGUGACGUGUCACUGUGUUUGAUUCAUGGUCGUUAAGAUUUUCCGUCGCAGAGGACAUUGUUGUUCUCCGCUGAAAGCUCUGCGUGUAAACAAAGUAUAGCCAAAAAAGAAAAAACUUUUAUUACUGCCAACUAUAAGAGACUUACAAGCAAAAGUUACUAGAACUUAUGGAUAAAAUCGGCGCAGUUUGUCUAUGUGCCAAGAGUUAGGCACGCGUGUUCCAUCUGGAUACGCCAAUCUGUAGGAUGUGGGUCGUGUGACUUCGGCGACCACAAAGGGUCCCUCCCAGGGAGUGGAUAGCUUGUGCAUUCCUUCCUGGCUUGUCUUCCACCUGAGUACCAGAUCGCCGACCACGAAAGAACGGUCCUUGACGUUUCUGUUAUGGUACCGCCUGACUGCCGCAAGAUACUUUGCUGUUCGGAGACAAGAAUUCAGACGCUUUUCCUCCAUGCAGUUGAUUUCGAGCUCUCUGGCGCUACCGGCUGUUGACUGGUCGAAGUUUUCAAUCCUAGGAGAACCGAAGGUUAUGUCGGACGGCAGGACAGCCUCGGUGCCGUAAACCAUGAAGUAGGGUGACACUCCUGUGUUCCGACUGGUCUGAGUUCGGAGGCCCCAGACCACGGCCGGUAACUCUUUCAUCCAUCGACCGGGUGCUCUGUCGUUCUCGGUGUACAGCCUUUUCUUUAGGGCAUCGAUGAUCAUUCUGUUUGCAUGCUCAACUUGACCAUUGGCCCGUGGAUGAGCUACUGACACAUAUUUUAUGACUAUGCCCCUGUCAUCACAGAAGUCCCAAAAUGUGGUGCCAGUAAACUGAGUACCCAGGUCGGUGAUUAUACUGUUUGGGAUCCUGAAUCAGUGUAUGAUUUGAUUAAGGAACUCCACAGCCUUCUCGGAGGUUGCUUUGACUAGUGGCAUGUAUUCAAUCCACUUGGAGAACUUGUCGAUUAGCACGAAAACGAACUUGAAGUUGCCAGGGGCCGGUUUAAAUGGCCCGAUCAUGUCAAGUCCCCACCAGGCAAAAGGCCAGGAUGACGGGAUAGUUUGAAUCUCAUGAGCAGGUACGUGGGUCCUUUUAGCGAAGAACUGGCACCCCUCACAGUGUUGGACCAGUUUUUCGGCGUCGUUGACCGCGGUUGGCCAAUAAAAUCCUGCUCAGAAAGCUUUCCCGACCAGCGUUCUGGAUGCAGCAUGGUUGCCGCAGGAUCCGGCAUGUAUGUCUUCGACGAGUUUGAUGCCAUCAGCUUGAGAUAUGCACUUGAGUAGUACUCUAUGCCGUAGAAGUUGGUUUCCCAUUUGCGAAUUUCUUUGCAGUUGAGAUCCAUCUUUUCGUGGGUCGCGUCCCACUCCUUGUUGAGCUGGUUUAUAACUAAGGCAGAGUCGCCAUAGACAUAGAGGCGUUUGACCCCCAACUCAACGGCUAAUCUUAUGCCGUGGAGGCAUGCUUCGUAUUCGGCGACGUUGUUUGAUGCCGGAAAGAGGAUCCUAAGGACGUAACGCAGUUUGUCCUUGUUAGGCGAUACGAAGAGUAUCCCAGCGCCGGCGCCGUUGAUGUUCAGUGACCCGUCAAAGAACAUUGACCAGUGGUCGGAGAUGUCAGGAACGGGAGGCUCGUUGAGAUCCGUCCAUUCAGCAAUGAAAUCGACGAGGGCCUGAGACUUGACUGUGGUGCGGCUCUGGAACUCUAGGGAAAAUGGGCAUAACUCCAUCGCCCAUUUUACAAUUCUGCCGUUGGCGUCUUUAUUGCGCAGAAUGUCCCCAAGAGGGAAACUGGUGAUUACCAAGAAUCGAUGGCCGUCAAAGUAGUGCUUCAGCUUUCUUGAUGUUAUUAGAAUAGCGUACAUGAGCUUCUGUAUUUGCGGAUACCUAGCCUUGGACUCGUUUAGGACUUCGCUUAUAAAGUAAACGGGUCUCUGGACCUUGUAGACGUGACCUGGCUCAUCUCGCUCGACCACUCUUGCCGUGGAGACAACCCUGUUGGUUGCAGCAAUGUAAAGUAGUAGGUCUUCAUUGGGCUGAGGUGCUGUAAGAACAGGCGGGGAAGUGAGGAAAGCCUUAAGCUGGGUGAACGCAGCAUCGGCUUCCUCUGUCCAGGAGAACUUUUCCGACGCCUUCAAGAGUUUGAAGAAAGGGAGGCCUUUUUCUCCUAGUCUUGAGAUGAAGCGGCUGAGUGCGGCCAUACACCCGGUGAGCUUCUGAAUAUCCUUGACAUUUUUAGGUGGUCGCAUGUCAAGUACUGCUUUUACUUUUGAGGGAUUCGGCCGUAUGCCGUCGCGACUGACAACGUUGCCAAACAGUAGACCAGAAGGAACACCGAAGAUGCACUUUUUGGGGUUAAGCUUCCACUUGUAUCUAUUAAGCGCCUUAAAGGUUCGGUCUAGGUUGUCGAUUAGGGUGCUUGCAUCCGUUGUUUUGACGACCAUGUCAUCGACAUAGGCCUCGACGAGGUCAUCACGAAUCUCGUCGUGGAGGCAUUGCUGGAUGGCCCGUUGAUAAGUGGCUCCGGCGUUUUUGAGUCCGAAUGACAUGGUCGUGUAGCAAUAUGCGCCGAAAGGAGUAAUGAAAGAUGGUUUUAUCUGAUCGUCUUCCUUUAGCGAGAUCUGGUGAUAACUAGAGUAGCAGUCUAGAAAAGAGAGGAGUUCGCAUCCGGCCGUUGAGUCGACCACCUCGUCGAUGCGAGGGAGACCAAAAGGAUCUUUAAUAUAGUGUUUAUUGAGAUCAGUGUAAUCAACGCACAUUCUCCAUUCAUUAUUCUUUUUGCGUACAAGAACCGGAUUGGCAAGCCAAUCGGGAUGAUACACUUCUUUUAUGAAUCCGGAUGUUAUUUCUGUCCUAAUAGCCUCCUUUUUGUCACGAGCGAACCAUCACAGCUUUUGCUUGAUUGGUCUUGCAGUCUUCGAGACAUUUAAGGAGUGCUCGAUUAGGUUUCGUGGGACGCCGGGCAUAUCUGCGGGUUUCCAUGCGAAAACACUUACGUUGUCCCUUAGAAACCUGUCGAGCGCGUCUUCCUAUUUGGGAUCGAGAUUGGCCCCGAUGAGGGCUGUCUUCUCAGGACUGCCGUCGACCAGUUGUACUUCUUUAUACUCCUUGGAUUUUAAAUUCUUCCUGGCAGUCUCCUGCUCGGGUAAUCGGAGCUGGUCGGGAGGCAGCUGCGCGGCUUGGGUUGUUGUUUCUGCCAUGCGAAUUGAGAGGUCGAUUGCCUCGGUGAUCUUGAAGCUUUCUUCUUCGCAGGUAUAUGCGGUGUAGACAUUGCCUCUGACGGUUAGGACGCCCUUCUCCGUAGGCAUUUUAAGGACUAGGUAUGAGUAGUGCGGGACUGCCAUGAACUUUGUCAGUGAUGGUCGGCCCAGUAUGGCGUGGUAGGUCCCGUCGAAGUCCGCGACCACAAAGUUGACGAACUCUGUCCGAAAGUGGUCGGGUGUGCCGAAUUGGACAGGCAAUGUUAUCUGUCCGAGGGGCACUGAACUCUGACCUGGCAAAACUCCCCAGAAUUGAGCAUCGUAUGGUUUUAGUUGUGCAGGAGAUAUCUUGAGAGCGGGCAGGCUGUUGCGGAAGAGGAUGUCAAUGGAGCUUCCUCCGUCCACGAGCACGCGCUCGAAUCUGAUGUUGUUGAUGCAAGGGUCCAGGAUUAGAGGAAAUGACCUGGCUCUGGGAUAGCGGCCCACUGAUCCUUCCUGCUGAAGGAGAUCUCCCUAUGCGACCACGGGGGAAAUUUCGGGUCUGCGAUCAGUCCGUCCGUGCUGUCUAUGUUGAGGCAGGCUCUUUUUAAUAGCUUUCUUUCUCGCUUAGAUUCGAUGGAGACCUUGCCCCCGAAGAUGGAGUCGACCACGUCGGUGGGGCUGACAUAUUGGUGUCGAGGGUCCCUAUCCUGGUCCUCGUCCUCGUCUUCGUGCUCGUGCCCGUCUCGCUGGCCGUUUUUCUUGGAGGAGUCGUCUUGGGUGGCCCGCCGUGUAUAGAUGUUUUUGAGGACGCGGCACUCUUCCAUGGUGUGAUUAGAUUUUGGAUGUAGUUGGCACGGUCCCUUCAACGUUUUGUUGUAGUCUUCUUGGUAGUCUCGCCGCCCGUUGGGACGCUUGACCGUAUUCACUUCGUGGUCGUGGUCGCGGGGGCGCUUUCCUCUGAAGUCGUCGCGAUUGUCGCGCCGCCGAUCCCAGCCUUCUCUAUGAUCGCGGUUGUCGGAGCAGCGGUGGUUUCUGUUGUUGAAACGACCGCGACCGUCAUCUCGCCGGGGAGGCUGGUCGGGACCUCUCGCAUCGUCCCGGAUUAGUUUCUCUGCAUCGUCGGCAUCGGCGUAAUUUUUAGCCGUGGCGAGGAGUUCCGCCAUCGUUGUUGGCCUUUUGCGCAACAGCUUGUUCCUUAGUGCUUCAUGGAAACGUAGGCCCUUGAUGAAGGCAGAGAUGGCCUCGUCGUGGGAAAUCUUCAGGACCUUAAGGCGCAUAUCCGAGAAUCGUCGGAUGUAGUCGCGCAAAGGUUCGUUUUUCCUGUCCCUUAUCCUUUCGAGGUCAUACUUGUUUCCAGGCUGUUCGCAUGUGGCGAUGAAGUUGUCGAUAAAAGCCUGGUGUAGCUCUUCCCAAGAGUCGAAGGAGUCCUCGGGCAAGCCAAGAAGCCACUGAUGACCAGCCUGGUCGAGGACUACUGGGAAGUAGUUGGCCAUGACGUGCUCAUCUCCCGCUGCUGAUCGGACGGCGAUUUCGUAGAGAGUGAUCCAGUUCUCUGGAUUUUCCUUGCCGUCGUAUUUUUUGAGUUUCUCAAGCUUGAAAUUGCGGGGCCACACGACCUGGCCGUGUGAGGAGAACUGUCUUAGGCCCGGGGGGCCGUGCGUUGCAUCGUACUCGAUACGGCUCAGGUUUUCGUGGACUGCUGUCUCCGUGGCGCGCCUGUUGAUGUGGUCCCGGGCAUCUUUAGGAGGGAUGUUAUAUCGAAGAUCCCUUGCUGGUUUACUUCUUGACCGCGCGUGCGGUUCUGCUCGCGGUGGCCGUCAGUGUCCCGACCGCCAUCGUCACGCCGUGAAUCUUUUCGAUGGUUGUCGGGGGAACGGCUACGGUGAUGCCUGCUGGGAGGCGGUGAGGUCUGGCUACGAUGUGUCUGGUCGGAGGUGGCUUCCGUAUAAGAGACGGCCUAGACUCUUUUGAGCAGAGUGGCUGUCUGUCCCAUUGCGGCGAUUAGGUGCGCUCGGAUGCUGGUUCGGACCCCCUGGCACUCAGGGGUAUCGGGGAGCCGAUCCAAAUUAGCCAUGGCGACAGCCACGUUGGCGCUUGGUGUUUUGUAGACUGGCUGGUCCCCGACCAUGUCAAAAGCGUCGCUGAGGUUAUGUGGCGGAAUUUGUCGUUCCUCAUCCGCGCGUCGCCGGGCGCGAUCGGCGUUACGCUGCUCGCGGAGCUGCCUCUGCUCGUCCGUUUCUCCAUCAACGACCGGCUCGUCGGUGCUGACGUUGAAAACAAUGUCUCCUCGCCGGGGGGGAAAUACCGGGAAACGGGAGAAACCUGGAGGAUGUGAAGGCAAAUCCAGGUUGUAGUCCUCGUCUUCGGAGUUUAUGACUUCGGUGGGGACAGAGCCGGUGCUCGAAUUUGUGCUGGAGGCCUAGCCAUCCCGUAGUUCUCGGAUUGUCACCAUGUUGACGUAGUGACCAGCAGGUCGUCCGUUCCUCUUUGGCAACCAACCCUCCUUGUUGAAAAGGGAUUGGACGUGCCGUGAGUAGAGAGAGGCCGAGUUGUUCAGGCCGCAGGGAUAAUCCUCCUCCGGGUUAGCCUUGAGUUUGACGGAUCGCCCUGAGGGGGUUGAGGUUAUCGUCAGAGACGCUCCUAGCCGUUCGUGUGUAGCGACACGAGUUGGCCGGUGGGAUUUGAAAAAAUACGUUGGGGCGGCUUGAUUAGGCUUGCGCAAGAUCCCAUCUACUAGUCGGGAAGCUUCAAGUAGCUUGGAAUCGGCGCGAUCGAGUGCCUGGAGAAGGCCCGAGCAGUCGAUCUUCUUUCCCUUGUAAAGCGAGAGCGGUGGUCGGGUGCUCGAAGCCGUCACCUAGGUGGUCGGAGCCGUCAUGAUCCCAGAUUGGAUCUAAGUUUCCUCCGGAAACGUGGUUGUGAGACCGCCGCCGCGCGUCGUCCACGUGAUCUGGCCGACGGUGAACGUGAGGCCUUCAGGCACGGCCGCGGAAGCUGGGAUUGUGACCAUCUUGUUUGCUGGAGAAGUUGAACGCACACCCCCUACCUGGCGCGCCAGUGUCGACGAAAGCUGGUCGGCAGUCUACCUUGGGGUAUACCCACGGUAGUAGUUUAUCGGUAGACGGUGCGCAAACUACGAACUCGAUGGUGACGCAAGACACGGACAAGCUUUUUAUCCAGGUUCGGCUGCCGAGUUGGCGUAAUACCUACAUCCUGCGUCUGAUUGUAUUGAUUUGUGUUGAGAGAAUAAUAUGUCCUAGGGGGGUCCCUUGCCCCUCCUUAUAUAGUCCGGAAGGCAAGGGUUACAGAUCUGGAAACUGAUCCUAGUCGGUUACAAUUGCCAUAGAUAGUUCAAUAUCGAUUCCUAUUCUAACCGACUAGAAUCCUGCUUGAUCUUCACGUCUUGUUUCCUUGCGCAAAACUCCAAGCUGUCGGAUCAAACCUUGAGCUUGUCUCGUAAUGGGCCAAGCCUCCUGGCCCAAGUCUAGCCGUAAGGGUAUAGGGGUUUAUACCCCCACACCUACUCCUUGAGAGGAGCUCGCUUCUUCACCUUCGUCAUCAGAAAUAUCGAUGGCAAAAGAGAAUAGGCUAUCUGGGGAGUGUUGUUCCAGAAAGGAAAUAGAGAUGAGCUAUCUGAUGGUCAAAUAUUAGUAAUAUAAUGGAUAAAGGUCAGGUAACUUACUUGCUUCAGAGCAAUUUCACGCCUCUGGCUUGGAGAUGCAAUCGGUACUACAGGUUGAUCGGCUAAGUUGCCGAUGGGAUAAUAUCAACUGAGAAAUUACAAGGAUGAUUAUGAUUUUCAAAAAUAAAAUUCAUCAGUGACAAUUCUAUGAUCAAUACUUUACAUUGAGGGGGUGCAGUGCUUGUUUGUUCUGGAGGAACAACCGAUGAUAUGCUCGGAUCGGCUGGAUCGGCAAUCCGCUCAGGCACAUCGGCCGGUGCUUCUUGUGUCUGGGGUGCUGGUCAAGGAGGAGACGGUACUUGUUGUGUCUGGGCUUCUGGUGACGAAGGGGAUGAUUCCACAUGAAUCGGUGACACAGGACGAGGAGGAGAAGAUGGUGCUAUCCUCUGGCACUUUGGUUGCGACUUGGUGCUCUUGGGGCCUUUUCUCUUGGCUUGGCUGGGCUGGGGGGCAUCAGCACUUGCUUGGGCACUUCUGGUGUUCGCCGAUUUGCCAGUUUGCUGUUACAACAACCAAGAUUUCGUGAGUGAAAGCAUAAAAAAUAUUAAUGAAAUUAUGUUGAAAGAUAAAAGUUACCGAUGAGGUUCCCACGGCAGUUGAUGUGCCCUGAAAAGAUUGUAUGAGUAUGGGACAAAAUCGGUAUAAGCAAAGGAAAUUAAAAGUCUACCUUGAAAGCCUGUGCCAGAGUGGUAGCGACAACCGAUGGGGACGUCUUCGACUGCUUGGUGGUCGUCUUCUUAAAGCGCAUGUUCCGAUGCGCCAAGGCCGCUAGACUUGGUGUGUUAUUACCGAUCAGAGAGAUUGGGCCUGAUGGAAGGAGUUCGAUCGGUCUUCCACUCCUGCUUACUGUUGGUGCUGGGUUAUCGACCUGUUAAAAUGAAUAUAGGUGAGUCAUCAAUAAGAUCAGAAGUAACAAAGGAACUGAGAUGUCGGUCGAAGACUUACAGUGUUAUCAAGCAUCUUAUAGUUGGGAUCGAUCAUGCCGCGGUAUGUCAGAGCCGAUGUGCUGAACAAGUGUUCCUUCCAUUAUUCCCACCAUUGUUUGUACAUCUGAGUAAUGAAGAGGGCUGGGAUCCAAGCAGAUAGAUCGAUAUCUGUCGUAUCGGCAUUUGGUUGAAGAUAGGCUAUCCUUAUCCACUCAAGUCCACUAGUUAUAGUCUCCCUUGGCUUCACCACAUCGGCGUAACAGAGUCUGAUCGGCAGCUGCCCAAAAGCCAGUAGACGAGGUAGUGUCGAUGGGUUAUAAAAUUCAUAAGUGGGUUGGUGUUCUUCUCACUGUCGAAACUAUUCACUGGGAUGGCCCUUGGAGUGAUGAUUGCCAUCAUCAAGUCGUUAUCUUUGUUGAGAGCAUCAUCAAAAUGGUGGAAGGUAGGCGGGAAUCUGGUUUCUGGAUCUUCAUAAGGCAUCCAUGCCCGCUGAUCUUUGGGAAGACCAUCAUACAAAGUCUGGAAGAAUCGACUGACGUGGUCUUCAUCACCACCAGUGCCAGGUAGAACUAUAGCUGCCUCACCAUAGUUCAGGGGUGGGCGAGUUGCCGAUUCUUCGUUAGCCAGUUCAUGGUCUUCAGAGAUAUCUCUAGGGGAUCGUUGUGCGAAGAGGUCGAACCGGAGGCGUUUGUGCAUGUGAACAUUAAGCCACAUGUGGAUAAACCACCAAGGGCCUCCUAGGUUGCCGACGGGUUCGCCUAACAGGAGCUUCUGAGCCACUUGAUGGAAAAGGUGAUAAGCAGAGCCUAGCUAGUAUCGGCCAAGAGGGAAUCGGCCACCAUCGGUUAAUUUCUCUGCUGCCGAUAGAUAAACAAAAGUUAGUCCUACCGAUCGGCCACAGAAGACAAAUUUAUCAAGCCACAUGUUCAGAAAGAUGGCAUGUUCCCUUUGCCGAACCGGUCGUGUCUUCUGAAACUUCUGGAUAUACCCUGACUAGCCGUCGAUGUUGCGAGUUUCUACUUUACGUUCGGCUUUGCUAUCGAACAGGUGACUAUCAUCGGCAGUUGCUAUUUUCAGACUGGUGAGCAUAAGUACAUCGGCAAGGGUAGGAGAAGGAGGGCAAUGGCCAAACAAGAAAGCAUUGAGGGUGUCUGACCAGAAAUACGAGGCCGCAAUCAGUAGUGAUUCAUUUCUUUCCAUAUCGGCAAUGGAUAGACUGAUGCAUUGAUCUAGCUUACGCUCACCCCAUUGGACUUCAUUUGAGUUUCUAACUCUAAUGAAUCAAUCCUUCCAUCCCUUAGUAGAGCUGGGCCAGGAUCGGAAGGUGUCUUUCCACAGAUCUAAAGAGAAAUUCUCAGCCCAAAAGGGGAUCCUAUUUGUUUCCGCAUUGAUCAGAUCGGUAGGAUCCGGGUUACCCAACGGCCUGAGACAUUGAAAGUGGGGUUGCUCGGUAGGGAUCACGAUUUUCUUAGUCAGUUCCUAAAGGUUUGAAGGUUGGAAGAACAGAAAAAGGAAAUAGAAGGAAAAAGAGGGCUAAGUAAAUAGAUUUGCAGGAGAUAAAAGUACGGCAAGAGAAAGAGAGGACAAGAGAGAAUUGACCUCAGGGACGGUGAAGUUGACAGCCAUUUCUUCCCGGAGAGGAAGAAGAUCGACGAUUUGAAGGACUGCUGGGGCUCGCUUGAGUUCUUGGGCUUCUCGAUCGAUGCCGCCACCAGGAAGAUGGGUUUGAAGAUGCAGAAUGGCAGGGUGGAGAAAGAGUGCCGAAGAAGGAAAUAUUUAUAGGAUAAAGUGAGCAGGGGCAUUUCUGACUUAUCUCUUUGCCAUAUCUGUAAAAAUCGAGGAUGUUCAGGUGGAAAUGGUAACUACUUGCACGAUAAUCAAGGGAUUGUGCAGGUCAUUUGACAGCGAGCGGUCAUGAUUUUAGGAGAUAUUUUACUAUGCAAGAUCUCCUAGUCGGCUCAUCGGCAAUCUUCUCUAACGGAAAUGUUGCCGAUGAGCGUAUAUUUAGGAGAUUCGGUUCGACAGGUUGAGGGAUUCGAGGUGCAUGCUGGAGAACCGGGCUAAGGUUGUUUGGAUUUGGUAAUUAAUUACUGUUAGGAGGGAGUAAUUGCGGAAAGACAUUAUUACUGAAGAGAAUUUCGGAGCAUUAAUGAUUUUAUACUACAAAAUUGCGGGGCAUGUGUUGACACCAUUUUUGGACACGUAUCUUUGGACACGUAUGUGGGAAUCAAUGAAGUAUAGAUCAGCAGGCGAAAGAGUGGUGACUGGUUCACAAAGGAGUUGCAGAUGGGUUAUGAUGCCGAUGAUGAAAUAGCAGAAUGUGGACAAGUCUAGGAGUGGUGAUUGAUCUAUGCCGAUGACCGAUACUGGUGGUUGCCGAUGGCUAUGAAAGGUGAUUUUCCAAUGAUAACAAAAGGAGGCGUAGGAAUUGUCGAUAGGAUGGUGGUGGUGUGCCGAUCGGCUGUGGUGGAUAAAUUAAUGUUUUCCAUAGUUAUUAGAGUUUGUUUUACAUACGGAUUCCGUUCGAUUAGGAAUUAGAGUCCUAGUCGUGUCUAAUUGUAACUCUUUUGGAUAGGGUAUAAAUGUAGACCCCGUAGCAAUGUAAGAAACAAUCACAAUCAAUCAAAGACAAGUUUUUACAUCUAUUCCAGCAUCUAUUUUUUCGACGACUUUGUCAACUCGCAUAUUUUCUUUUUACUUACGAGUUCUUAGGAAUUCCUCGAGUCAAUCUCGGCGAGUUCUCAAGUUCCGCAUGAAUACCUCUUCGUCGUGGCAUCCGGGCGUAUCGCUAUUGUCGGGACCAAAGUAUUCGAGUUAUCACCUUGGUCGAUUGUAAGGUUAAAUCAGCUGGCACGCCUUAAUAUUGAAUCGGGUAUUAGCCCUUUGUGUUUGCAGAUCUACUUUUGCAUCAACAACUUUAAACGGACCAACAUACCUUGAAGCUAGCUUUCCCUUCAUAUUAAACAUCUUCACACUUCUCAUUGGUGAUACUUUCAGGUACACAUAAUCACCCACUUCAAAAACUAGUUCUCUCCUACGCGUAUCCGCAUAGCUUUUUCUGACGAGACUGAGCAACUCUCAGGUUAUCCCGAAUAGUCUGCACCUGUUGCUCUGCAUGUCUAAGCACAUCUGUACCAAACACCUGAGUUUCUCCUAUCUGAUUCCAAAACAAAGGUGUCCUGCACUUACAACCAUACAGUGCUUCGAACGGUGCCAUCUUAAGACUUUGUUGAUAGCUGUUGUUGUAGGAGAAUUUUGCAUAUGGCAAACUCUUGUCCCAACUAGUCACAUACUGCAAAGCACAAGCUCUCAACAUAUCCUCCAGUAUCUAAUUGAUCCUCUCAGUCUGUCCAUCUAUCUGUGGAUGAUACGCUGUACUAAAGUUAAACUUAGUUCCCAAGGAAUCAUGCACUGCUUUCAAAAAGUGAGAUGUGAACUGAGUACAUCUAUCUGACACAAUCUUCUUAGGUACCCCAUGCAAACAAACAAUUCUCUCCAUAUACAGCUCAGCUAGGCGUUCUCCGGUGUACUUAGUCUUGACAGGUAUGAAAUGAGCAACUUUAGUCAAACGAUCUACUAUCACCCAUAUUGAGUCAUACCCUCUUUGUGUGCGUGGUAAACCCACUAUUGCAUAAUAACACAACCCAAACCCAGACGAGAAGCAUCACAAUAAAUGGAGAAACUCUUACUUAGAUCUUCCAAUAGAAACACAAUUGCAGUAGUCAAUCUCUUAGCAUUCUUCUCCAAUAGAGCAGUCAUAGGCUUUGCAAGUUUUGAGAAUCCUUCAAUGAAUCUCCGAUAGUAACCAACUAAACCAAGAAAACUGCGAAUUUCACAUACAUCUGUAGGUGUUUUCCAAUUAAGCACAUCUUUCACCUUACUAGGAUCCACUGCAAUACCACCAUUAGGGACAACAUGACCAAGAAAAGAAACUUCUUCCAACCAAAACUCACAUUUACUACGCUUAGCAUACAGUUUAUGUUCUUUGAGUUUCUGUAAGACCAAUCUUAGGUGUUCAGCAUGUUCUUCCUCGGUUUUAGAGAAUACUAGAAUAUCAUCAAUAAAGACCACCACAAACUUAUUAAGAUACUCCACAAAUACUUUAUUCAUCAUGUACAUAAAGUAAGCUGGUGCAUUGGUCAAACCAAAAGACAUAACUGUAUACUCAUACAACCCAUACCUUGUUGUGAAAGAUGUCUUUGGUAUAUCUAAAUUUUGAAUCAUCAAUUGAUGAUAACCAGAACGCAAAUCAAUCUUAGAGAACACACAAGCACCUCUUAACCGAUCAUAUAAGUCAUCAAUCCUAGGCAGUGGGUAUUUAUUCUUGAUAGUGACCUCAUUAAGUGACCGAUAAUCAACACACAUCGUCUGACUACGAUCCUUCUUAUCAACAAAGAUAACUGGUGCAUGCCAUGGUGAUGAACUAGGAUGAAUGAACCCUUUAUCUUGCAAUUCCUUAAUUUGUUUCUUAAGUUCUUCUAGUUCAUUGACCCCCAUUCUAUAUGGUCUUAUAGCUAUGGGUGCAGUACCAGGUAGUAAUUCAAUAAUAAAUUCAAUGUCUCGGUCAGGUGGCAUACCGGGCAAUUGAUAUGGAAAGACAUCCGGAAACUCAUCCACUACCAAAUUAUGAGGAUCAACAUCAUCAUUCAGUUGGUUCACUUCAGCUGUGAGUGGUGCUUGCACUGUUACAUCAACACUGAUUCGUUCUCCCUUUGGUGUUGUCAGAGCCACUACUCUCUCUUUGCACCUAGUAUCUGUCUCAUAUAGCUUCAUCCAAUCCAAACCCAAGAUCAUAUCUAUGCCUGAAGUUCUCAUAACCAUGGGACUGAUAGGAAAAUCUACCCCCUUAAAGAAAGACUUGCUGAGGGGCAACAAUAAGAAACUGGUAUAGUCCCUCCCGAUGAAUUUACUAGCAUAGGGGUUUUCAUGGCAACUAGUGGAAUGCUAUGAACUCUAACAAAUGCGUGUGAAAUGAAUGUAUGCGAAGCUCUAGAUUCAAAUAAAAAUGUAGCAGGGAUAGAGUUGAUACUGAACGUACCUAUCGUGAUUUGUGGUCCCUCCUGAACUGUUUCUGUAGCCACAUUGUUCACCUUUGCCGAACUAGGAGUAGGUCCCUCCUGAACUGUUUCUGUAGCCACAUUGUUCACCCUCCUGAACUGUUUCUGUAGCCACAUUGUUCACCUUUGCUGAACUGUUUCUGUAGCCAUGCUGCUGUUGAUUAUGGUUACGCUUCUGGAAUGGAGGGCGCUUGUUCCCACUUUGGGAUUGAUUCUGGAAAUGCUGAUGUUGCUGGUUGUUGAUAUUUGGGAACGCAAUAAGGAAUUGAUCCGCAAGCGCACGGAUAUCGGUGAGCAUUUCUCCCGGGAAAUUUUCCAGAGUAUCGUAUUUAUUUUUUUACCACUAGGAGAAAGAGUGCAUCUGACUAACCGGUCUAUUACUACUAACCCUUUAGGCACAAAAAAUGUCUUUCGAUGUGAGUGAUAAAUAGAGAAGACUACAACCUUAGUCUCCUUCUAACCUUGGUAAGGAUGAUCUACUGUUCUAAUGGGGAGGCUAACGGAAUCUAGACACCACAAAGGAUGUUCAACCCGCACCUAUAAACCCUAUCCUUCCUGCUAACGAGAUGUGGUCUGCAAAGGUAACUCAGAAUUGUCACGUUCCUCACUACUACCACGGUCCAGCUAGUCAGGGAAUAUCUAUGAGUACCUCAGCCUAAACACCACGUUUACGCCAGUAAUGAUUACUCUAAACUCUACGCGAAGAGAUUAAAGUAAACUCAUAAACCAUAAGAACAAUAAAACAAGAACUUACUAGAAUUUAGAAGUCGAAUUACUGAAGAAUCCUAGGAACAAGCUUCGGGUUAGGAGAACUUGAUCCCGCAGGUACAAGCUUGGAGUAGACACCGACAGGCCGGGCUUCCUCCAAACUACACCUCCACUCUAUCUCUCUCAAUCUAGUAGAAACUAGAAGAUCUAUUUCUAAUUUACAUUGGUUGCUAAGCCUAAAAAGAAAUAUUAAUUAGAGAAGAGGUUUUCCUUUGAGGGCACCCCUCAAUCUCUAUGAUAAUUUCUUCAUGUCUUCUCCAGGGGCCAAGGGGGUCUCCUUAUAUAGUUAUCCUCCUCUAUGCGUUUUUGGGUCGGUAGGCGAGGUGGUACUAUGUUUUCCUUGAUCCAAUAGGUCGGUGGAACAUCCUGUGCGAAGAGAGUCCUGAUUGGCAUCCAACAGGGGGCGCGCGCCCUGGUCACCAGGGCGGGCGCCCUGGGCCUGGCCCCUUUCUGCCUCCGUCUUCUUCCUGUGGCUUCUGGAGUCUUCUAGAUGGUAGAAAAUAGCGCGGUGCGUUGAUAUCUCUAUGUAAUCCCGACAUGUGGGCCUUUCUUCCUUAUUUCCUGAUAACCCCCUGCAGAAAUAGAUAAAUAACAAAACUCGUGGAAUUCUGUCAGAUCAAACCCUAAUUCUAGGUGUAGGUUGCAUAUUGGUCCUUUCUCUUGUUUAUUUGAUAAUUAAAAUUGAUACUUAAGAACCGUCUACAAAUACCCCCAUACUUAGGCUUUUACUCGUCCUAGAGAAAAGGAUGGUUAAGAACAAUAUCUGGGGUAAAACAUUUUAAAGCAUUCUUUUUAUAACUGCAGGGUGUUAAAAGUCCACUGUGUACCAUAGUCAGGAAAGUUUAUGGUUAAGAGUAAAGAUCCUUUCUUCUCAAUCCUGUCACUUGGAGUUUUUGUAUAUUUUUGAAAGAAAGUUAGCAUACCUUUUUAUCCUCAUAGGUUCUUCUCAGAUCACUCAUUAUCUUUUAUAUAUCUCACUGAGGUUGUUUUAAUUUGCAAAAAUUCUUAAGCAUACUUACUUUGCAUUUAUUUCCUGAUCAAAACGGGAUCCGAGGAGGGGAAUGUCAUACUCUUAGAUCAAAGACUUUGAAAAUUAAAAUCUUUGUCAACUCUUGCUGGCAUAUUGCUUAUUAGAGGGACCAUGGGCUAUCAUUUUUUUUCUCUUUUCUCUCUUUUUUUUAAGUGGAUACCGAGGUACCCCUAAUUCUACUGCCGGACACUUGUCCAUUUUUCUGCGAGGUUGUCGAGCACUUGCUCUUUUUUAUUUCCUCGAAAUAUCUCUAUUUUUGCAUAGCCCAUGCCUCUAAUGCAAUAAUACUUCGGAAGAGUGAAUCUUUAUGAAUAAAUGUCUUGAUCUUAGGAGUAUGAUAAAUCUCUCAACAAGGGUCUAACUUAUUUUGAACAAACUCAAUACAGAGUAGAUAGCUUUUAUAAUCAUAAUUAAUAUUUUCAGUUUUAUCAGGCAUAUAAAACACUGAGGAUGGUAGCUAGAAUUUUGAAUAUUUUGAAAUAAAUUCUCCAAGUAACAAUGAUAUCAAGAAUAAGAAACUCAUACUCUACCCUCACAUAUUCCAUAUUGACUUAAGUAACACAGGUCUUAAAAUGAUUUUAUAAUAGUUGCAAGUUUUCAGGAAAUAUCACAGAUUGAGAUUAAUCAUGAUUAGAAAUAUUUUUAAUCUUUUUAUUUUAUCAUGUCGGAAACAGUAAUCUGCAUAAUCAAAAUAUGUAUAUGUGUAAAGUAAAGUGUGCAGAGUGUGUACCUGAAUCGUGGAGUGGUGUAGUCGGAGUGUGUUUAGCAUGUCGAGGGAUCUCCCCCAUACUUGUUUUCUGCUUUCUUGCACAAAAAUAAAGUAGAGACACACAAGACAUAAUAAUAAUAAUACUCUUUAUUAAUCUUGAGGCAUUUAUUACAAAAGACUAGUAGCAAACUGAUAAUAAUAAACCGAUGAUAAUAGUAAACCUAAACCGAAUUUAAAGAUAGAUAACUAAGAUGCAUUGCCUCAAGGUCUAAUCUAGAUAACUUAGCGGCGCUCUAAUUCCCUAAUCUUCUUGUUGGCACUGGCAAGAUCCUGCCUAAGGCCUAGUAUAAUGGUGUUGUGGUUAGAGAGCUGCCUAGUGAGGGAAUUAAUCGAGGACUGGAGGUCUAUGAUAACUCUGUCUAGUCUGCGAACGUCCUCAUCAAUAUCCAUUAUAGUCUUGCGACGCUUGGGAGGUGUCUCAAAAGCAUUGAGAGCGUGCUUCGGGGCUGCCUUUGGAGGGAUGAAACGGACUUUGGCUGCUCUAAUCCCUUUAAAGUAAGGCCUUUCCUCCUCCGUAGUGUAGCGAAUACUGCUGAUCUCGCUGCUCCGGUUGGUCUUGACUCCAACGACCCUCUCAUUGGGUCUAGGUGGAAGGAUCCUUGUGCCGGUUGGCACCUUGAUGGUGGUCUUCGUCUUGGAUGAUGAUCCUUUGAGGAGUAGGGGUUGUGGUGGUGCGGUGAGAGCUGGUUGAGCAUGGUAAGAUUGGGCGGAGCUGCGUUGGCGUAAUGGCAUGGCUUCUAGCUGUCUCUCUGUGUUGGCCGGGACGAGAGCACGGGCAUUGGGAUCUUCCACAGGCUCCAUGUUGAGGUUGAAUGGGACGACUUCCCAAUCAUCAUGGUACUUCUCCGCCAUUGGAUCAGCAAGGAACUAAUCAAGCUCUAAUUUAAGGAGAGAAGGCUUGGUGGCUUGGUGUUUGAAAACUGAGGUCAGGGGUCUGUUUAUAUAGGAGUCAGAAAGUGCCUCUAUGGGUUGUUCGGGUUGCUCCCGUUGAUGUCCGUGCGAAACUUUCCAUCUGAGGGAUUAUUCAGAUUACCAUAAGUGCAUUUUCCAUAACAGAGAAAAUCGGGACCGAGGGGGAACAGGAGCUGGGCGCCCGCCCACCUGAUCUGGGCGCCCGCCCUCUCUCUGGCCCCUCUGUGGGCCCACUUUCCCGAGCACGUUUCUAGAUGCGAAAUUAUUUAGAAAUAUAUAUAUAUGACCCAAAAACAUCAGACUAAAAAGGUCGGGCUCUAAUUCUCCAUGGGAAGGUAAAAAUGGACAACGUCUAUUUCUUCUAAUUCUUUAUUAGGCUCUAAAAAUAAUUUAAGACGUUGACCAUUUACCUUGAAUAACGUACCUUCGUCAUUUUGAAGUGUAAUAGCUCCGUGGGAUGAUGAAUUAAUUACCUUGAAUGGUCCUUCCCAUUUGCUCCGGAGUUUUUCAUGCCCGAAAAGCUUCACCCUGGAAUUAAAAAGUAGUACCUUAUCUCCGGGUGUGAACUCCUUCUUCUUGAUUCUCUUGUCAUGCCACCUUUUGACUCUUUCUUUGUAGAUCUUUGAGUUGUGAUAUGCCUUCUCUCGCCAUUCUUCCAAUUCUGAUAGUUGCAUUCUUCUAUAAUCUCCAGCGACAUCUAGGUCCAUAUUCCAUCUCUUUAUGGCCCAGUGUGCUUUGAACUCUAGUUCAACAGGUAGAUGGCAAGUCUUUCCGUACACCAAUUGGUAUGGAGACAUUCCAAUUGGGGUCUUGUAUGCUGUCCGGUAUGCCCAGAGUGCAUCGGGUAACUUGUCUUUCCACGCCGUUCCCAUUUCAUUUACUGUCUUCUGAAGAAUAUUCUUGAUUUGUUUGUUGGAAGUCUCUGCUUGGCCACUUGUCUGAGGAUGAUAGCGGGUAGCGACGUUGUGACGGAUUCCAUGUUUUGCUAGAUAUUGCUUGAAGCGUUUGUCGAUGAAGUGUGCUCCUCCAUCACUUAUCACUACUCUGGGGACUCCAAAUAUUGGAAAUAUAAUUUCUUCAAACAUCCUCUUUGAACUGACAUUGUCGGCAUGCUUGGAAGGUAAUGCUUCUACCCACUUGGAGACAUAGUCAACUGCCACCAAGAUGUAUUCACACUUCUUUGAUGGGGGAAAUGGACCCAUGUAGUCUAUCCCCCAGACAUCAAAGAGCUCAAUCUGAAGGUUGUUGGUGAGUGGCAUUGCAUCCCUUGUAUUUAUGUUUCCGUACCUUUGACAUGGCCCACAUCUUCUGAUAUAUUGCUUCGUGUCUUCAUACAUUGUAGGCCAGUAGAAUCCACACUGCCAGAUCUUUGAAUGUGUGCGGAAUGCUCCAUAGUGACCUCCAUAUGGUGAUGAAUGACAUCUGUCGAUGAUCUUCCAUCCUUCCUCAGUGGUCACACAUCUCCUAAGUAAGCCAUCAGAGCAUACUCGGAAGAGGUAUGGCUCAUCCCAUAUAUAUGAACAACUUUCUUGAAUAAGCUUCUUUUUGUUUGCUCCUGGUGGUACAUACCCUGAAACCAUAAAAUUAACAAUAUCUGCAUACCAGGGGUCAGACCUGUUAAUCCCGUAGAGCAUGUCGUCCCGGAGUGAAUCAUUGAUGGGGGUUUCCUGUGGACUCUUAAAAUACAUUCUAGACAAGUGAUCAGCAACAGAAUUUUCUACUCCCUUUUUAUCUUUUAUUUCUAAGUCAAAUUCUUGGAGUAAUAAGAUCCAUCUAAUCAGGCGAGGUUUAGCAUCUUUUUUAGUGAGCAAAUAUUUUAGUGCAACAUGAUCAGUGUAAACAAUUAUUUUAGCUCCAACUAAAUAAGAUCUAAAUUUAUCAAUGGCAAAGACAAUAGCCAGAAGCUCUUUUUCAGUGGUUGCAUAAUUAAGUUGAGCUCCUGUCAAAGUUUUACUGGCAUAAGCAAUUGCAUGAUGCUUCUUAUUUUUAGUUUGUCCCAAUACUGCCCCUACAGCAUAAUCACUAGCAUCACACAUAAUUUCAAAAGGCAACGACCAAUCGGGGGGUUGAAUGAUUGGUGCAGAGAUGAGUGCUUUCUUUAAUAAAUUGAAAAAUGUUAGACAUGCAUCAUCAUAUUCGAAAGGAGCAUCCUUGGCUAGCAAAAGAGUAAGUGGUCUAGCAAUGAAUGAAAAAUCUUUUUUGAAUCUACGAUAAAAACCAGCAUGGCCAAGAAAGCUUCGAAUUCCUUUUAUGUUCACGGGUGGAGGUAGUUGUUCAAUUACUUCAAUUUUAGCUUUGUCUACCUCAAUUCCUCUUUCAGACACUAAGUGUCCCAGCACUAUUCCUUCCCUAACCAUAAAAUGACAUUUUUCCCAAUUAAGGAUUAAGUGCUUUCCUUCACAUAUUUGCAAAACCUUGUCUAAGUUUUCAAGACAACUAUCAAAAGUUUUUCCAUAAACAGAGAAAUCAUCCAUGAAAACUUCCAUAAUCUCUUCAAUCAUAUCAGAAAAUAUAGACAUCAUGCAUCUUUGAAAAGAAGCUGGUGCAUUACAUAACCCAAAAGACAUUCUACGGUAAGCAUAAGUUCCGUAUGGGCAUGUAAAAGUGGUUUUGCUUUGAUCAUCAGGAUGGAUCGGGAUUUGAUGAUACCCUGAAUAUCCAUCUAAGAAACAAAAGAACGAAUGGUUCGCUAACCGCUCUAGCAUCUCAUCUAUGAAAGGUAAAGGAAAGUGAUCCUUUCUCGUGCCUUUGUUUAGUUUUCUAUAGUCUAUGCACAUCCGCCAUCCUAUGACGGUGCGUUGCGGAAUUAGCUCGUUCUUUUCAUUCAUAAUGACAGUCAUGCCUCCCUUUUUAGGCACAACUUGUACUGGGCUUAUCCACUCACUUUGCGGCACAGGAUAUAUAAUCCCUGCAUGCAGCAACUUUAUAACUUCCUUUUUAACUACCUCUCUCAUAGUGUUAUUAAGUCUCCGUUGGGGUUCUCGAGAGGGUGAAACAGAAGGAUCUAUUGGAAUACGAUGGGUACAAAUCAUAGGACUGAUUCCUGUAAGAUCUUGGAGUGAGUAUCCGAACACUGAGUGAUGUUUCUCAAGAAUGGUCAUUAAUCGCACAGUUUGAUCUUGAGUGAGUUUAUCGCUAAUGAUUACAGGGAACUCUGGAUUAUUGUUUAGGAAAACAUAGAUAAGACCGGGUGGUAAAGUUUUAAGCUCUAUGGGGGGUCUAGGUGUUUCUGCAAACUCAUCUAAGGGUUCAGGCUCAGAAGGUUCGGCUUCUUCUUCUGUGAAGAAAGGAUUUUCGUCUUCUAAGUCUGGUUCAUCUAAAAGCUCUAGAGAUGCAGCCUUUACCUCCUCCAUAGGAUCACGCAAAAGAUAUGAUUCGGCCUUAUUGUUCAAGGAGUGUGAAAAUGUUAUUGGGAAUUUAAAGGUUUUUCCAAAAGAAAUGUGUAGCUUUCCAGUAUGACCUUCAUAAAGGAGUCUUCUAAAAGGUUGUCCUAUCAACAGGUCGAAGUCCCAUGUAUCAAAGAUAUAGAAGUUCAAAUGAACCAUGGAGCCUUCUACUGUAAGAGGUAGGACAUUAAUAAUUCCAAGACUGGGGACUAAUCGUCCCGAAGAUUCCUUUAUGACCUUUGUUGUGGGGGUUAAGGCAAGAUUUUUAAAUAGUUUAAGUGCAAAAGAUUCAGACAUGAUGUUGAUCCCCACAACAGGAUUAUAUAGAGCAUUAAAUCGAUCAGAAUUAUAAGCACAACGUAUAGUUAUAGAGGGUGUGUCCAAACGGAUCACAUCAGAGGUAAGCUCUGAUUCCUCCAACCAUUCGCUACUCAUUACUGAGAUAAGCUCUCUUAAUUGUUGUUCACUUGGUAAAUAAAUGCUAAACUGGCCGUUUUGGGGUUUGUCUAUAGAAUGGUAGUUUGAAAUAUUUUCAAAAUCGGCAAAAAGAUCGGAUUCUAUAUCCAGCAUGAAGUCCGGUGGUGGAAUUUCUUCCUCUUGUGGCUCAGAACUUGGGAUAGCUAAAGUAGAUGAAGAAUUUGGCAGAGUGUCUACUUCGGCUUCAUAGGUUUCAUCAUGAAGGGUAUUAUCCAUCUCAGCUUCUAGGAUUCUAUUUAGGAUCACUCUAGCUUCAUCAGUAGGGAUGCGAAAGAAAGAACCUCUAGACAUUGUGUGUAGCAUUUGUUUGUGAUUUUUAUGAAGACCUCGAAAAAAGUGAAACAAAAGAACAGGGUCUUCAAGAUUAAGGUUUGGACCAGAUUCUAAAAGAUCAGAAAAACGUUUCCAGGAUUUUCCCAAAGUUUCAUUAUCUUUUUGUUUAAAAGAUAGGACUUCGAGUCUAAGGUUGGCUAUACGGUCAAGGGAAUAGAAAUCUAGACAAAAGUUGGCUAGUAAAACUCCCCAUUCACCUUGUUGUUGACUUACCUUCUGACUGUACCAUUGUCUAGCCUCUCCCCUUAAAGAAAAAGGAAAAAGCUUCCAACGUAAAGUUUUACCAGAAAUGCCUUCAAUACGAAGACAAUCACAUGUUUGCUCAAAAUCUCUAAUAUGAAGGUAAGGGUUUUCGUCUUCCUUUCCCGAAAAAGAUAGGUUUUGAAUCAUGGCAAUCAACCUAGAACUUAACUUAUACUGGGAUGUUUGGAUAGGCUGUGAUGAUUCCCAUGGUAAAAGGUCAGUUACUGAAGGGAUCGCUGACUCAUGUAUCGAUUUAGAAUUUUGGUUUUCCAUAAGGUAAGAAUAAAGAAAAUAAAUAAAGAAUAAAAAAGAUAAGAAAAGAUAAAAGUAUAGAUACAAGCUAGUAGUAAGACUCAAGGUUAUCUCUGCAACCGUCUUUCUCCCCGGCAACGGCGCCAGAAAUGCUUGUUGAUAUUUGGGAACGCAAUAAGGAAUUGAUCCGCAAGCGCACGGAUAUCGGUGAGCAUUUCUUCCGAGAAAUUUUUUCCAGAGUAUCGUAUUUAUUUUUUUACCACUAGGAGAAAGAGUGCAUCUGACUAACUGGUCUAUUACUACUAACCCUUUAGGCACAAAGAAUGUCUUUCGAUGUCAGUGAUAAAUAGAGAAGACUGCCACCUUAGUCUCCUUCUAACCUUGGUAAGGAUGAUCUACUAUUCUAAUGGGGAGGCUAACGGAAUCUAGACACCACAAAGGAUGUUCAACCCGCACCUAUAAACCCUAUCCUUCCUGCUAACGAGAUAUGGUCUGCAAAGGUAACUCGGAAUUGUCACGUUCCUCACUACUACCACAAUCCAGCUAGUAAAGGAAUAUCUAUGAGUACCCCAGCCUAAACACCACAUUUACGCCAGUAAUGAUUACUCUAAACUCUACGCGAAGAGAUUAAAGUAAACUCAUAAACCAUAAGAACAAUAAAACAAGAACUUACUAGAAUUUAGAAGUCGAAUUACUGAAGAAUCCUAGGAACAAGCUUCGGGUUAGGAGAACUUGAUCCCGCAGGUACAAGCUUGGAGUAGACACCGACAGGCCGGGCUUCCUCCAAUCUACACCUCCACUCUAUCUCUCUCAAUCUAGUAGAAACUAGAAGAUCUAUUUCUACUUUACAUUGGUUGCUAAGCCUAAAAAUAAAUAUUAAUUAGAGAAGAGGUUUUCCUUCGAGGGCACCCCUCAAUCCCUAUGAUAAUUUCUUCAUGUCUUCUCCAGGGGCCAGGGGGGUCUCCUUAUAUAGUCCUCCUCCUCUAUGCAUUUUUGGGUCGGUAGGCGAGGUGGUACUAUGUUUUCCUUGAUCCAAUAGGUCGGUGGAACAUCCCGUGCGAAGAGAGUCCUGAUUGGCAUCCAACAGGGGGCGGGCGCGCAGGUCACCAGGGCGGGCGCCCUGGGCCUGGCCCCUUUCGGCCUCCGUCUUCUUCCCGUGGCUUCUGGAGUCUUCUAGAUGGUAGAAAAUCGCGCGGUGCGGUGAUAUCUCUAUGUAAUCCCGACAUGUGGGACUUUCUUCCUUAUUUCCUGAUAACCCACUGCAGAAACAGAUAAACAACAAAACUCGUGGAAUUCUGUCUGCUCAAACCCUAAUUCUAGGUGUUGGUUGCAUAUUGGUCCUUUCUCUUGUUUAUUUGAUAAUUAAAAUUGAUACUUAAGAACCGCCGACACCGGUUGCGGUUCCACAGGCUAACUGGUCCCUGGAACCUUAGCUGAUAGCCUUGCUGAGAACUGAAACGCUGACGGUUGUUGCUCCCAGAACCUUGUACCAACAUCCUUCUCUUCCUAUCCUGCCCCUUGCGCAUGUUGUCCAACAUUAUAGCAUGAUUCACCAGAACUUGGAAGGUAGGAUAAGUGUUUCCUACCAGUUGCAACCUGAGUUCAUAGUAUAGGCCUUUCAUGAAUAAGCGCUGCUUAUCAGCAUCUUCUCUGACAUCAUUUGGAGCAUAGCGAGCCAACUGUUCAAAUGUGUCAUGAUAUUCUGCUACAGUCAUAGAGCCCAUCCUGAGAGAUCUGAAUUCUUUUUGCUUGAGCUCGAUCAUUCCCUCAUUUAUAUGUCGAGCUUUGAAGUCUCUGCAAAAUUCCAGCCAUGUGACAGGAGGAGCAUUGUUGGGACGAGCAGCUUGAUACGACUCCCACCAGGUCUGGGCUGCCCCCUGUAGCUGUCCAGAAGCAUACAACACCUUCUCCAAGUCAUUGCACUGUGCUAUGUUCAGUUGCCUCUCCACAGCACGUAACCAAUCAUCUGCCUCCAUAGGAUCAGCUGAGUGUGUAAAUACCGGAGGUCUUCCCUUCAUAAACUCCCCACGCUUGUCCCUCACAUGAACAGGUGGUGGUGGUGGUGGAGGUUGCUGUUGUAGGUGCUGCAUGAAGACAUGCAUCAUCUCAUUCUGGGUUUGCAUGAGCUCUUCCACAGUAAUUGGGACACUGCCACCCAUGCCAUGGCCUCUGCCUCUGCCUCUUCCCCAUGCUGCCAUCUGCAUUCCAAGGUAUAAAAACAUGUCUUGGUGACGUCCAGCAUGACAAUUACAAGAGAUAACAGAAUCUAAAAUUUUCUGGGUAACAUCCAACAUCAGCAGAUCAGAAAAUCAGUCAUAUCUUAAGUUCCAGAACUCAAAAGGACACAUGCUGUACACCAUUGGAAACAUAAUGAAACUAUCUUCAACUUUCGUUUAGAUCACAUUAACAGAUUCCAAAGUUAGGUUAAUCAAAAAUUGGGUACAACCAAAACUGUUCCAGAAUUCCAGACUGCGCAGAAACCUCAACUUUAAACAGUCAUAACUCACAGCUCAUAAUAGAUAAUAUGGUCAUUCUUGCGGCACUGGAUAGAUAUUGAAGUCUACUUGUUUCCAGAAAAAUUUGAUGAACAUUGCAUGAACAGAAUUUGAUUUAUACCAGAAUCAAUGCAGACUGCUCCAGAAAACAGCAAAGGACAGAAACAGGAUAUGACCCCAAACCACUAUUUAUUUAUGUUCUUACUUAAGGUUCUUAACUAGGAAACUUGUGGACAUUCCCACAAAGUUCCAGCACUCAUUACAAAAAUCCAAAUCACACAUAAUCAUAAUAACAAUCCAGCAAACACACCAAGUUCAUACCACACUAACAAAAGACUCGAAAUAACUCGCAAACUACUAACGUUCCUAUUACAUAGCUCUUGUGUGCCUAGAGAUUAUAUCAACUAGAAUUGUUGGAUAUGUGGCUUGCAAACACCCCUUUAGAGCUAGAGCAAAAAGCUUUGCUUUGUUAUUUACUAACCUAUUGCUCUAGUGAGUUUGUAGAAUUUUUGAAUAGGCUAUUCACCCCCCUUUAGCCAUAUUAGGACCUUUCAACUGGUAUCAGAGCCGUGGUCACCGUUUGUGAAGGCUUAACAACCUCGGUGCUCAAAUUAUGGCUCAAAUAGUGUUCAACCAUGUUGGGGGCAAACCACCGUUCUUUGAUGGCACAAGUUCUUUUGACUAUUGGAAGAGAAAAAUGAAAAUGUACCUUGGAUCAAUCAAUGAUAGAGUGUGGGAAGUCACGGAGAAUGAUUUUGUGAUCCUUGACCCCGCCAACCCCACCGACAAUGAGAGAGCCAACAAACAAUGCAAUACUAUGGCUCUCAACACAAUUUACAAUGGCAUUGAUUCAAAAGUGUUUGAACAAGUCAAAGAUCUUGAGAAAGCAAGUGAAGUGUGGACAAGGCUAGAAGAAACAUAUGGGGGCACUACAAUGGUAAAAAGUGCCAAGUUGUAUAUGCUCAAGGACAAGCUAUCCAACUUCAAGAUGAAGGAUGAUGAGUCUAUACCGGAGAUGUUCUAUAGGCUCCAAGUCAUCAUCAAUGAUCUCAAGGGCCUUGGUGAGAAAGUGAAGGAUGAGGACUUCAUUCACAAGUUCUUGAUGUGCUUGCCUAAGAGGUUCAAAACAUUGAGAACAAUCAUCUUUAGAGGUGGAUUGACGGGUGUAUCUCCGAAUGAGGUACUUGGAGAUGUCAUGACCGAAGACCAAUACAAUGAUAUUGAUGAUGAUGAGGUCAUGAAGAAAGAUGAUGAUGAUAAGAAGAAGAGCGUAGCAUUCAAAGCUAGCUCUUCAUCCAAGAGCAAGAACAAGGGCAAGGCCAAGAAGGAAGAAUCAAGUGAUAAGGAGUGCUCAAAUGAUGAUAGUGAUGAUGAAGCACUAGCACUCUUUGUCCGUAAAUUUGGCAAGAUGAUGAAGAAGAAAGGCUACCAUACAAGAAAGAGAAGGGUCAACUCCAAGAAUAAAGAACAAGUGAGGCUAUGCUACAAGUGCAAGAGCCCCGAUCAUAUUGUGGCGGAUUGUCCAUACAAUAGUGAUCAUGAUGAGCAUGAGAAGAAGAACAAGAAGGAGAAGAAAGAAAAGAAAGAGAAGAAGAUGGUUUUCAAGAAGAAGAAGGGUGGAUCUUAUGUUGUGACAUGGGGUAGUGAUGCUUCUUCGGAUGAUGAUACUAGUGAUGAUGACAAGGCAUCCAAGAAGAAGGCACUUGCAAGCAUUGCUAUCUACAAGCCAUCACUCUUCAACACUCCUUCAUGCUUCAUGGCCAAGGGCCACAAGGUACAAUAUGAUGAGAGUGAAAGUGAAAGUGAACAUGAACAUGAUAGUGAUAGUGAUGAUGAAAAUGAAUUCACUAAUGAACAACUCAUGGACAUGUUAGAACAAACCGAUUCUCUUAUUCAAUCUAAAAACAAGAAGUGCAAAGAAUUGGCCAAGAAGUUAAAAGCUCUUGAGCAAUCCUUUGAUGAGCUCAAUGCUAAUCAUGAGAGGCUAGUGGAAGCCCAUGAGAAGCUUGGCAAGGCUCAGACCAAGAUUGAGAAAGCUAACUCCUUGUUGUUAGAAGAGAACAAGGAAAACGUUGUUGUAUCAUGUGAUGUGGGCACAACAUGUGACUUAAUUAAAGAAUCACCCAACCUACCUAUUGUUGUUGCCACUAACUCUUCUUGUAGGUCUUGAUCCACCACCACCAACUCUACCUCCACUUCUAGUGUUAGUGUCACUUGUGACACCUCACUAAAGGUUGAGAAUGAGACUCACAAGAGAGAGGUGGAUGAGAUCACACACGCCCUAGGCAAAGCCUAUGGUGGUGAGGCCCGCUUGCUAAAGUGCUUGGGUAGCCAAAGGUUUUCUCUCAACAAAGAGGGAUUAGGCUAUACCCCCAAGAAGGGCAAGAAAGCUUUUGCAACUCAGAAGCCUAGCUUUGUGAAGAGCAAUGGUCAGUAUUGCAACAAAUGCAAGCAAGUUGGGCACCUAGAGCUUAAUUGCAACAAAAUGAACAAGAACAAGAAAAAUGCUAAUGCACCAUACAUUCCUUUUAAUUCUUGUUAUGUGCUUACCUAGGGUGAGAAGGGUGUGCAUGCUAAGUUUGUUGGUACACCAAUUGUGGGUCCAAAGAAGAAGGCCAUUUGGGUACCAAAAAGCUUAGUCACUAACCUCCAAGGACCCAAACAAGUAUGGGUACCUAAGAAACAUUGAUUUGUUUUGUAGGUAAAUUAUAAAGCCGGAGGAAGGCAUUGGGUGCUUGAUAGUGGGUGCACACAACACAUGACCGAUGAUUCAAGAAUGUUCAAUUCAAUCAAUCCAAAUGAUGACAAUGGUAUUGAUAGUAUCACAUUUGGUGACAAUGGCAAAGGCAAGGUCAAAGGGCUUGGUAAAAUUGCUAUAUCCAAUGACUUGAGCAUUUCCAAUGUGCUACUAGUAGAGAGCUUGAACUUCAACUUGCUAUCCGUAGCUUAACUUUGUGAUCUUGGUUUCAAAUGCAUAUUUGGAGUUGACGAUGUAGAAAUCAUAAGUGUAGAUGGCUCUAACUUUAUAUUCAAAGGCUUUAGAUAUGAGAAUCUAUACCUAGUUGAUUUCAAUGAUAGUGAAGCUCAAUUAUCAACAUGCUUGCUCACUAAAUCUAGCAUGGGUUGGUUAUGGCAUAGAAGGCUUGGUCAUGUUGGAAUGAAACAAUUAAACAAGUUAGUCAAGCAUGAUCAUGUUAGAGGCUUGAAAGAUGUCACAUUUGAGAAAGACAAGCUUUGUAGUGCAUGUCAAGCCGGAAAGCAAGUUGGCAACACUCAUCCAAAGAAGAGCAUCAUGAGUACAUGCAAGGCAUUUGAGUUGUUGCACAUGGAAUUAUUUGGACCAACCACAUACACAAGCAUUGGUGGAAACAAAUAUGGAUUUGUGAUAGUGGAUGAUUUCACAAGAUAUACAUGGGUAUUCUUUCUUGGUGACAAGAGUGAUGCUUUUGCAACCUUCAAAUCAUUUGUCAAGAGAAUACACGAUGAGUUUGAAACAACCAUCAAGAAAGUGAGAAGUGACAAUGGAAGUGAAUUCAAAAAUACAAGAGUUGAUGAGCUUUGUGAUGAAUUUGGCAUUAGGCAUCAAUUCUCGGCCAAGUACACUCCUCAAUCAAAUGGUCUUGUUGAGAGGAAGAAUAGAACCUUGAUUGACAUGGCAAGAUCAAUGUUGAGUGAGUACAAUGUGAGUCAUUCUUUUUGGGCCGAAGGAAUCAACACGGCUUGCUACUAUAGCAACCGACUCUAUUGUCACCCAAUGAUGGAGAAGACUCCAUAUGAGCUCUUGAAUGGAAGAAAGCCCAACAUUGCAUACUUUCGGGUUUUUGGUUGCAAAUGCCACAUAUUGAAGAAAGGCACUAGAUUGAGUAAAUUUGAAAAGAAAUGUGACGAAGGAUUCUUGCUUGGUUACUCUACUACUAGCAAAGCUUAUAGAGUUUGAAAUUUGGCUAGUGGAACUCUUGAAGAGGUGCACGAUGUUGAGUUUGAUGAAACAAAGGGCUCUCAAGAGGAAGAUGAGAAUCUAGAUGAUGUGAGAGGGACUCAAUUGGUCGAUGCAAUGAAGAAUAUGGAAAUUGGUUAUUUAAGGCCUAGAGAGGUGAUUGAUGUUGAAGAUGACAAAGAUCAAGUGCUUCCUACCUCUAAUGUGCAAGCUAGUGGUUCUCAUGAUUUAAAUCAAGCUAGUACAAGUACUCAAGUGCAAUAUCAACAAGCUAGUACAUCAUCUCAUGAUCAACCCAGUGCAAGAAAUCAAGUGCAAAUACUCCAACCAACAAAUAUUGCAAGAGAUCAUCCAUUGGAUCAUAUCAUUGGUGACAUUCAAAGAGGAGUGCAAACUAGAUCAAGAUUAGCAUCAUUUUGUGAGCAUUUCUCCUUUGUGUCUCACAUUGAGCCAAAGAAGAUUGAUGAAGCAUUGAGAGAUGUCCAUUGGGUUAAUGCUAUGCAUGAAGAGCUUAACAACUUCAAGAGAAAUCAAGUAUGGGAAUUAGUUGAGAGGCCUAGUGAUCACAAUGUCAUUGGUACUAGAUGGGUCUUUCGCAACAAGCAAGAUCAAGAUAGGAUAGUUGUAAGGAACAAAGCAAUAUUGGUAGCACAAGGCUAUACUCAAGUUGAAGGUCUUGACUUUGGUGAAAUAUAUGCCCUGGUUACAAGAUUGGAAGCAAUUAGGAUCUUGUUGGCCUAUGCUUGUGCUCAUAACAUCAAGUUAUACCAAAUGGAUGUGAAAAGUGCAUUUCUCAAUGGCUAUAUCAAUGAAGAAGUUUAUGUUGAGCAACCUCCCUCUUUCGAAAAUGACAAGAAACCCAACCAUGUUUACAAGCUAAGAAAGACAUUGUAUGGUUUGAAGCAAGCACCAAGAGCAUGGUAUGAGAGAUUGAGAGAUUUCUUACUCUCUAAAGGUUUCAAGAUGGGCAAGGUUGACACCACUCUCUUCACCAAGAAGAUUGGCAAAAGACUUGUUUGUGUUGCAAAUAUAUGUUGAUGAUAUCAUAUUUGGAUCAACCAACCAAGAAUUUUGUGAGGAGUUUGGAAACAAGAUGGCUAAUGAGUUUGAGAUGUCAAUGAUUGGAGAGCUUAGUUACUUCCUUGGUCUUCAAAUCAAGCAAUUGAAGAAUGGCAUAUUUGUGAGUCAAGGCAAGUACAUAAAAGACAUGCUCAAGAAGUUUGGUAUGGAUGAUGCAAAAUCAAUUAGUACACCAAUGGGAACAAAUGGAAGCCUAGAUAGUGAUACAAGUGGAAAUAUGGUGGAUCAAAAGUUGUAUCGGUCUAUGGUUGGAAGCCUACUCUAUGUGACCGCAUCAAGACCGGAUGUCAUGUUUAGUGUAUGCAUGUGUGCAAGAUUUCAAGCCUCACCAAGAGAAAGUCAUUUGAAAGCAACAAAGAGAAUAUUGAGGUACUUGAAGCAUACACAAAAUGUUGGUUUGUGGUAUCCCAAAGGUGCAAAGUUUGAACUUGUUGGAUAUUCUGACUCGGACUAUGCGGGAUGCAAAGUUGAGAGAAGAAGCACGUCGGGCACAUGUCAACUAUUGGGAAGAUCACUUGUCUCAUGGUCAUCCAAGAAACAAAAUAGUGUUGCACUAUCAACCGCCGAAGCGGAGUACAUUGCGGCCGGUAGUUGUUGUCCACAAAUCCAAUGGAUGAAUGCAACUUUGAAGUAUUUUGGUAUCAAUUUCAAACAAGUGCCACUGCUAUGUGACAAUGAAAGUGCUGUGAAGCUCACCAACAAUCCGGUUCAACACUCAAGAACAAAGCAUAUAGAUGUCCGCCAUCAUUUCAUAAGAGAUCACCAACAAAAAGGGGACAUUUGCAUUGAGAGUAUAGGCACCGAUGAUCAACUUGCCGAUAUAUUCACCAAGCCACUUGAUGGGAAGAGGUUUUGCAAGCUAAGGAAUGAAUUGAACAUACUUGAUUUCUCAAAUAUGUGUUGAUGCACCCCCAUUACAUGACAUACCUCUCCUUCGAGCAAAGCAAGGUGAAAUUGUUUGACAUGUCAUCCAUCUUUGCUAAGGACUUGUUUAGUGCAUCUAGUCAUUUCUUACAUGUCUUAGGAUCAUUGAUGAAAAUCAAAUGAAUUUGAUGCUUAUAUGGUACCACUAUUGCUUCUAUGCUUGACUUGAUCUAGUGGUAGCAUAUGACAUGUUUGUGGGCUUGCAAUCCUAGUGUUUGAUCUAGAAUAUGAGCUAUAAGUGUUUAACUCAACAUGGUACAAGAUAACCCUUAUUUGGAGGUGUGAAGAAGCUUGUCCUUGGAUCAAACCGAGUUAAAUAUCUUAGUCAAGUAAUCUAGAUUGGACCAAUCUGGGAAAAUGAUCUCACGUCACAUGGUUGCACACUAACCUAACUAAAAUUUGAGCUCACCUUUUGUGAUCUUUGAUGACAAAGGGGGAGAGAGAAUUUCCCAAAGAUGUGCUAAAAGGGGGAGAAGUACAAAGAUAGGGGAGUAAAUAAAAGAAGGGGAUCAAUUAAAAUAUUCAAGCACACAAGUAGGGGGAGCAAGCUCAUAAACUUGUAUGUUGAAUUUGUAUGUGCAUCACAUAUGGUUGCUUGCAUUUGCAUUAGCUUUAGAAGCUUUCUCUCCAAUACCUUGCUUGUGUGGUGUAUGCUAGUUGUAGGCUUGAUUGAUGAAAUGAAGAACUAGCAUGCAUAGGUAGUGUAACUACACUUUUAGUUGUUUCACAAGUGAUACUAGAACCUUGUUUAUAUUGUUGAUCUCAUGGGGUGUUCUAGUUUUGUGAAUGUCUAGUUACUAAUGGUGCUAAGGAUGGUGUAUAUUGGCAACUCCAAUUGGUAUCACGCUUCAAAGGUCCAUUCUUUACACCUUAGCAUCAUUUGGUAGAAAUUGACUCCUAUAUUUCCUAUUCAAGCAUAUGUGCAAGCUUUCAAAUCCAAACUCUUAGCACAUAUGUAGGGGGAGCAAUUGCUACCAAUUUGGGUUUAUGAAACUUGUCCAUAAUCUUUGCACAUGGUAAAUGUUGGGUAUUUUAAAUGCAAACAGAAAAAUCCGCAAGCGCACGGAUACCGAUGUAGCUUUCACCCGGGAGUAUUCCAGAGUAUCGAUUUUCCACAGGGAACGUGAGUGUACUAAUUAAGAUUCAAGAUCGCCCAAGGAUAACUAUAUAAUUAUUUUUGGUGGGAAGAGAGGAAGUUUCCUGAGAGUUCUCUAGCUGAUCUAAGAAUCAAGAAUUACUUCAAGAUUAUCUAUUUCGGGACAUCAGAACACUAACCACAGAAAGAGAUGAGAAGGGGGCAAGGAAACUCCGACUACGGUCCUACAAACACCGAUUCGAACGAGGUGGAAUACGUCGACCGAUAGGGCUGUCACUACCCUAAGGCUACCACAACAAUCCGCACGAUUGGGUGCAAUUCCAGGUAAUUGCGAGACUAAACACCACGUGUAAUCUAUUAAUUACUACUCUAAUGUUUCAAAGAUUAGAGCACUUGAUGCAAGCGGGAAUCCAAUAAAUAACUUGAAUGUAAAUAAAGGUAAUUAGAGAACUCAGGAGUUAUGAGUUGAAGAACCUGGAGAACGAUGAAGAACGAACCAGUUGCUGCAAAAGUACAAUGUUGAGGAAGAUCCGACAGAUCCGGCUCCUCCUCCGCUCUCCUCUUCUCUCUCCUUAUUUUCUAGAUUACAACUAGAACUAACUAGAACUAGAACUAGAGGAACUAGAACUAGAACUAGAUGAACUAGAACUAGAUCUAGAUGAACUAGAGGUAGAACUAGAAGAACUAGAGGGAUCCUCUCUACUUGGAUGAAGAAUUGAAACCCUAGCUUUGAUUCUGUAGAAGAGGUAUGAUCUCCAGGGGCCAGGGGGUCUGGUUUUAUAGUCCCUUCAAGUGAAUCUGGGCCAUCGGAUCAAACCGACAUUAAUCGCACGGUUUUCCUUGAUCCUUUAGGUCGGUGGAGCAUAAUCCGCGAAACGUGUCCUGAUUGGGCACUGUAGCUGGGCGGGCACCCAGGAGAGUUGGGCGGGCGCCCUACCUCCGAGCCCGAUUUCCUUCCCGUUCGUUCCCAUGGCUUCUGGAGUCUUCUAGAUGGUAGAAAAUUGCGCGGCACGUUAAUAUCUCUAUGUAAACCCGACGUUUGGGCCUUUCUUCCAUAUUUUCUGAUAACCCCCUGCAGAAAUAGACAAACACCAAAACUCGUGGAAUUCUGUCAGAUAAAACCCUAAGUCAAGGUGUUAGUUGCAUUUGGAUCCUUUUCCAUGAUUAGUUUAUGGUUAAAUGUGAGCAUUAAGGACCGUCAACAGUAAAAUGCUUGGACAAGCAACAUUAAUCCAAGAAAAUUUCUAUUGAAAAUCUUUGUAAAAAGGGUUGUCAUCAAUUACCAAACAGGGGGAGAUUGAAAGCCCUAGUUUGGUUUUGGAUAAUUGAUGAAACCCUAGUAAUAACCUCUAUGCUAAGUGUGUGCAGACAUAAUGAGGUUGGUACAUGCCAAGUGAUGAAGCAAGUGAUGAUCACGGUGAUGAUGGUGAUGACCACAAGGUGAUCAAGUGCUCAACUUGGAAAAGAAUAAAGAGAAAAACAAAACCAAACCCUUUGGAGAUCAAGGCAAAGGUAUUGCUUAGGGUUUUGGUUUUGGUGAUCAAGACACCAUAGAGGGUGUGAUCACAUUUAGGAAUAGAUAGCCGUACUAAUAAGAGGGGUAAUCUCGUUGUGAAAACGGUUGUCUAAGUGCCACUAGGUGAUUGGAUUCCGUGCAUAUGCAUUAGGACCUAGUGAACUAACUAAGUAACCCUUGAAAAAUGUUUUGAAAUAUGCUAACACACAUGCACAAGUGUGGAGACACUUUGGUGUUGGCACAUGGAAGCAAGGGAAGAAGUUGAGGAUCUUUUCGUGCAGCGCGUUCAGGCCGGACGCGUCCGGUAUGAGGUCAGACGCGUCCGAGUUGAGGCACCGGACUCAGGAACAGUAACCACCUAGAGUCUGGUGUGUUUUGUCUGGUGAGAUCGCUUCUCGGUGAAAACUCUCUGAGUUUGCAUCAGGUGCACACCGGACGCAUCCGGUGUGACACGGGAUGCGUCCGAGUUAGCAUCCGGUGCAAGUUCUUCGUGCGAAGCUCCCUGAGUUUGGGUCUUGUGCACAACGGACGCAUCCAGUGUGACACCGAACGCGUUCGGUUUUUCAAAAGUGAGUGUCCGGUGCCUUGUCAGUGUCAGAGGCAACGACUACUUUUCUAAUGGUCAAGAGCACCGGACGCUGGUCUGGAUCAUACCGGACGCGUCCGGUGUGAACUAGGACGCGUCCGGUGUGGACGCAGACUGUGGGGUAAACUACCAUCGGCUAGUUGAAGCUUGGGACUUCUAUUUAUAUGCCUUGGCUGGUUCUUGCUCACUCUCUUGACUCUCUAACUUGUUGAUACACCUUGUGAGCAUACUCCCACACUUCCCACUCACCUUGUUCAAGAUUUGUUCAUACAAAGUGAGAUUGGGAGAGAUCCUAGUUGCAUUUGCUUAGAGUUUGAGCAUCUAGUGGCACUAGUGAUCGUUGAGCAGUGGGUUUGCUUGUUACUCUUGGUGGUUGCCGCCACCUAGACGGCUUGGAGCUGCGGACGAGCUUUGGCACGAGUUGGUGAUUGUUCGUGGCCAUCUCUCGGUGAUUGUGAGAGGUUUGUGCCUACCUCGGCAGAGAGCCAAAGGCAACAUUAGUGGAUUGCUCGUGUCAUUGAGCUACCUCACUUGUGGGUAGGUUCUUGUGGUGUCCUAGUGAGGACGAGGUUCGUGCUACACCUCUUAGCCACCGAACCACCAAGUGUUGGUCGACACAUCGGGGACGUAGCGUGCCGGCAAGCAUGUGAACCUCGGGAGAAAAUUGUGUGUCUCCAUUGUAAUUGUUCAUUGGAUUUCUCCCAGUGAUUGGACUUCAUAUUAUUGAUUGGUUCAUCCCCUCUACGCGGUGGUAUAAAGAUCAAACCAUCUCUUUUUACAUUCCCGCAAACUAGAGUAGCUUACUUACUUGUAUAGAAACUUUAGGUAGCUCUCUAGUGUAAGUAGUGACACAGCUCUUGUGUGCCUAGAGAUUAUAUCAACUAGAAUUAUUGGAUAGGUGGCUUGCAAACACCCCUUUAGAGCUAGAGCAAAAAGCUUCGCUUUGUUAUUUACUAACCUCUUGCUCUAGUGAGUUUGUAGAAUUUUUAAAUAGGCUAUUCACCCCCCUCUAGCUAUAUUAGGACCUUUUAGGUGGUCAAUGUAGCACUUCACCAGGAGUAUUCCAGGUAUCGUAUUUUCCACGAGGAACGGGAAGUGGACUAACUAGACCAAUUGAGUCGUCGGAUGAUGAUCAAAGGGCUUAGGAUUGGGUGCAGAGGUAUUUGUGGUAUUUGGCUUCUAGCUAAGCUAUCCUAAGUAUACUGAGAGUUAACUCCCUUCCUACUGCAGCCGAUAGGUGAAAAGGGUGUGGUGAAACACUUCCCUGGGCAGCUAAUAUGCAGGCCAACUAUUAUUUGCAUCUUGCCUAACAACACACUGAAGAGAACUCCUAAUGUCCAGUAGAGGCCUGUCACGCUUCGCUGCUGGCGUUCUUCAAGUGUGACAAGAAGUCAACAAGGGCAGACUUAGUCUAGACACAACGUCUACACUAGUUCUACUACUCUAGACCCAGCUAAGGUUUCGAGCACUUCACACAAGGCAAAGCAAUGUACCAGUAGGCCGGUUGUAUACUUAAAAUAAACUAAGACAAAAAGUAAAUACUGGAAGUACUCAGAUGAAAGGCAACUAGAAGGAAGACUUACUUGAAGACAAGCAUCCACUGAGGCGCUUCUGGAAGAAGACUCCCAACAAGCUGGGACUCCUCCUCAGGGAACUCCUCACUCUCUUCCCUCUAUUCUCAUACUAGCUAAGAGUAGCUCUUCUUAAGAUACAUCAUUGUUAACUAGGUUCUCUAAGGGGGUAUUUAUAGGGGGGAGAUGGAGUAGGGGCUAUUCCAGUGCCACAUUAGCGAUCCGUGUGCUCCCUCUUCUCCACUGCUGGAUCAAACCGACUUUGGAACCACCAUAUGAUCAACGGUUGGGACUUCCAUCACAUGUUCAUCAUGGGGAAUGUCGAUGGGAGUGAACUGACUCAAGAUGGGGCCCACAUGUCGGUCGGUCGACCUACCUAAUGACAAGUGGGAUUAGUGUUGUCUUCUAGAAGGAGUCCCAUGUCGGUUGGUGCAAACUAGGUGGCUGGAUGGCCCCAUAGUGGUGUCAGUCGACCCCACUUUGGUAGAACCAAAGGUUCAUCUUCUGCAUGUGACUUCCUGUUGAAAUUCUGAGCACAGUGGUGGUGCUAGGCCCACAAAGGUGGGGUCGGCCGACCCCACUAAUGUGCCCAUCCUUUGCACAUUGUCUCCAUAAGCUCUGAGAUUGAUGAAUGUGAAGUUGGUUUUCUAAUUGGCCAUUCAGGGGUGGUAGUCCAACCUUCAUAUAGAGCUUCUUAACCCUAAAGAGUAGUCGAUGGCACACCUGCAUCCAAAUGAUGACAUAUACAUGUGGAACCAAGUUAUUUGUACCUAAGUCACUAUGUGUUUGGUGAUUUUUUCCAGAAAGAAUGUAUUGUUGAUGGUUUUGAUGGAGUAAAAAUAGGGCUUAUCUACCAUCAAUAGCCAUUCAGAUUAUGUAAUGCUAUAGCUUCUUUUCAACGGUGCAUGAUGUCUAUUUUCUCUAACAUGAUCGAGAAAAUCAUGGAGGUGUUCAUGGAUGACUUGACCUUCUAUGGCACAACCUUUGAUGACUGUUUGGAGAAUCUAGACAAAGUCUUACAAAGAUGCGAAGAAAAGUACUUAGCCCUGAACGGGGGAAAAUGCCAUUUCAUGGUACGGGAAGGAAUAGUGCUAGGACACAAGGUAUCCGAAUGUGGGAUAGAAGUGGAUAGAGCAAAAAUAGAAGUUAUUGAACAACUUCCACCUCCCACAAAUGUGAAAGGAAUCUGAAGCUUUCUAGGCCAUGCGGGGUUCUAUAGGCAUUUUAUCAAAAACUUCUCUCAAAUCACUAGACCCCUCACUAGACUAUUGGCUAAGGAUGGACCUUUCAUCUUUGACAAUGAGUGCUAUGAAUCUUUCCAAACACUCAAACAAGCACUCAUUUCAUCUCCAAUCAUCCAACCACCUGAUUGGAUGCUGCCUUUUGAAACCAUGUGUGAUGCUAGCGACUUUGCUAUUGGUGCCGUUCUUGGCCAAACAAAGGAUAAAAAGCACUAUGCUAUAUCCUAUGCUAGCAAAACCUUAACUGGACCAAAGCUCAAUUAUGCUACCACUAAAAAGAGCUAUUGGUAGUUGUCUUUGCAAUAGAUAAGUUUAGAUCUUACUUACUUGGAGCACAGGUAACCAUUUAUUUAGACCAUGCUGCUCUUAAAUACCUCCUCACUAAGAAAGAUGCUAAACCUCGGUUGAUCCACUACAUUCUUUUACUCCAAGAAUUUGAUAUUGAAAUAAAGAUAAGAAAAGAGUAGAGAAUUUAGUAGCCAAUCACUUGUCUAGGCUCCAGUACAAGGAAACACAUGAGUUACCCAUUAAUGACUAUCUAAGGGAUGACACACUCGUCGCGGUAACACUCUCCAACCCAUGGUACACGGAUAUUGAGAAUUACAUGGUUGCAGGAUAUGUUCCACCAUGAGGAGAUAAGAGGAAGCUCAAAUAGGAAGCUCAAUGCCACUUAUGGGAUGACCCAUAUCUCUAUCAGUUUUUUUCUGAUGGAUUAUUAUGGAGAUGUGUCCCAAUGGUUGAAGCAAUUAAAAUCAUAGAGAGGUGUCAUGCAUCGCCAUAUGGAGGAUAUUAUGGAGCACUCCGUACGCAUGCAAAGAUCUAGCAAAGUGGAUUCUUCUAGCCUACGAUGUGUCAAGAUACAAAGGAGUUUGUUAAAAGAUGUGCUAGAUGUCAAAAACAUGGAAACAUUAAUGCUCGGGAUGCAAUGUCACUUCAGAACAACCUCCAAGUAGAGUUGUUUGAUGUUUGGGGAAUCGACUACAUGGGACCAUUCCAAAGAUCUGGAGAUGCUGAAUUUAUCUUGGUGGCAGUAGACUACGUGUCCAAGUCGGUAGAAGCAUUACCAUGUCGAGCUGUCGACUCCAAGCAUGCUAAGAAGAUGUUCCAUGAAGUAAUAUUUCCAAGAUUCAACAUACCAAGAAUGGUCAUACGUGUUGGAGGAUCACACUUCAUUGAUAAGAGCUUCAAAUAAUUCCUGACAGAAUAUGGAGUCAAGCAUAAUGUUGCAACUCCAUACCAUCCUCAAACCAACGGUCAAGCAGAAACAUCAAAUAAGCAAAUCGAAAACAUUAUGCAGAAGACUAUGGAUGAGAUGGGAAAGAAAUGGAAGUACAAGCUCUAUGAUGCACUAUGGGCAUACCAGACUGCAUACAAAACACCCAUAGGCAUGUCACCUUAUUAGCUUGUAUAUGGAAAAACAUGCCACUUGCCUAUUGAAUUAGAAUUCAAAGCUCAUUGGGCAAUCAAGAACAUGGAUCUCCAUCUAGCCGGCAAGAAUCAGCAGAUGCAAAUAUCUGAGCUGGAAGAAUGGAGAGAAAAGUCUUAUCAUAGCUCCAAGAUAUACAAAGAAAGAACCAAAAGAUGGCAUGACAAGAGAAUAAAGCACAAGGAAUUCAUGCUUGGAGAUAAAGUUAUAUUAUUCAACUCAAGAGUAAAGCUCUUCGGUCAUGGAAAGCAUAGAAGUAAAUGGCAAGGACCAUUCAAAGUGAUUGAUGCUAUAUCUCAUGGUGCCAUCACGAUCCAAGAUGAUACAGGUAACACAUUCAAGGUAAAUGGUCAACGUUUGAAUGUUUUUCUUGACCCGAAAAUAUAGAAGAAAUAGAUGUGAUUGAGUUCUUGCAAUUUAAAGACCCAAUAUAAAUUUCAAAAGGGCUCUAGACAACUAAAACUUUUUGGACUAACGCUUAAUCAUUUCCACAAGCUUUGUUGUCUAUUUGAGUUUACAAGUUUUACAGGAACAAGAAGAGCUAACAGGCAGAAGGACAUCCUCUCCCUUGUCGAAUUGUUGUCCACAUAAGUCAAGUGUUGUUUCUAAUAGCAAGUACCCACUACAAUCUAGGAGGAUUAGUACGCCUUCACUGCCUGUUAGCAAAUUCAGACCAUGUCAACAUCCAGCUUGGAGGAGAGCAUCCCGUGUAUACCGAGAUAAGUAUUCCUCACUCAUCUAUUUAUUCUUAGCGCGUUAUGAUAAGAUAAAACUAAGAAGAUGAAUAACCUUAGAAAAUCAAUAAAUACUUCUUUAUUUAUCUUUCAUAAUUAAUUUUGCAAGCUAAGGAGAUCUCUUAGUGAAUCUGUUAUGAUGAAUAGUUGCUCUGCCGUAAUUCCUUGCAAGUACCUAGUUUUCAACCUUGUACUCUCAUGAGUUUUAGACACAACUGUUUAGACUUAAGAUUUUGCUCUGAGCCUAAAACUUUUGGGUAGCAGAUGCUUGAUCUAAAUCAAGGUAGUCGACAUAUAUGAUAUGGGAAGGUUUUUGAGUUGCUGUCAAUCUUGUUCCUAGAGAUACUAGAGUUCUGGAGAAUUUAAUUUGAAAAUUUUAAUUGCUACAUGAUGAGUUCCUUUAUGACGAGAGUUCAGUAUUCCUACCACAGCCAAAUACUCAUGUUUACUAGAUUAGGAAAGCCUCUCACUUAUAUUUCAUCCUAUAAGCAUUGAGGGUACUUAAGUUGUGUAGACCAUAAGGGACUAGUCAUGUAGUUAAAGUCAAAUAUUAUGUGCUCUCCAUCCAUUAAUCUUAGCUACUUAUGUCCUCAUAAGUAUGAAACCACUUACAUUCACUAUGUGCUACUUCUAUUCCUAGAAGUACCACCCACAUAUACGCACUACACUGUGUGUUGUUUCUAUCCUAGAGACACGCACUUAUGCUGCUCCUAUCCUGGGAGUAUGCAUUCCUUAAUUCACCCUACACAUUCCAUGUCCAUUAAUGUUCUACUCCUACACUAGGAGAAGACACCCAAAAAAUAUUCAUUAUUUCUUAUUCUACUUAUCCAAUAAAGCUUCAGUUACUCCUAUUGAUACUCCCUAUUUCUAUUAGUGCAUUAAAAGGGUUGGCUGAUCUAAAAAAAGAGAGAAAAUGAAAGAAAGAGGACAAAGGUCCCAAAAGAAAAGAAAGAGACAGCCAAGUCCUUAUUUUUAGAAUAGAGAGGUAUGUUAUUGCCAAGGAGCAAUUACAGAAUUAGAUGUUCACCAUCAGUCAUCACCCCUCAUAACCACUUUUGUUAUUAUCAUUCAUUGCACUCAGAUGCACACAUGACUUAAUUGUGUAAUUAGUUUCUAUGGAUCCAUGGUUUAACUAUGCAAUACAUGCAAGUAGCCUUGAAUUAUCUCUCCCACCUAUGAGCUCCACAUAAACCUAUUAGAAGUAGGGUGAGAGAGAGAGAAGGCAAUGCCUUAGUCAUAUAAAUACCACAUAUUCUGAGAGAAGAGAGAAGUCAUGCUUUACACUUGCCUUGAGAGGAUCCAAAAAUAGCACAUAUGAGAGACUAGAAAGGGUCAUACAAGGAAUCUCUGAGUUUAUUUGAAACCUUACAAAAACUACAGAAUAAUAGUUGAUCAAAGGGCGAGAAACAUAGCGCUCAACUUAACAGUUUUGUCUUUCAACUGCUCAAGACCUAAGUGACACCUAUAAGCCUAAUAGUGAAAGGUAAUAUGGGUAUGUUUUGAGUCAGAAUAGUUCACUCUAAUCUGGAGGAGAGUCCUUUUUUGAACGCAUGUGUAUUUGUGAGGCAUGCAAGCAUUAUAGCAACUAUAGAUCCAUCACUGAGUCUACCUUUCUUCAGGGACGAGUAAAAGGUAAGCUUGGGAGAGUUUGUUGAUAGUAGAUAAGUACUCUUUUUAACCAUCAACAUAGCAUGAGAAAGGACUUAAAUUAGAAUACUAUCUAGCUAUAGGGGUUAUCACUAACAUAAUUCCACAAGUUUAGGUGAUUACCUAUUUUUGCAGGGGAUUAUCAGAAUAGAAACAAAAGGAGGUCCACAUGUCAGAUUUACAUAGAGAGAAUACCACGAACUUCAACUCUAGAGUAAUCUAGAAGGUUCCAGGAGGCUCUAGACCAAACGGGAGCUCGAAUCGGCUCGAUGGCCGGGCGGGCGCCCCACCUGUCAGGGGCGGCGGCCUGGAGAUCUCCACCAAUCACAGCCAACCUCGCAGAUCCUGCCUCCACCGCCUUUGAGGAGUAAUCUUGAGCGCACGUUUAAGUUGGUUUGAUCCAAGGGUUGUGGUGCUUCCUAGGGAGCUAUAAAUACAACCUUGACCCCCUGGAGGCAUCUCCUUCAUUAGCUACAUCUACAACAGAAAUUAGGGUUUCAUCUAGUAGAGAAGUAGAGGUUCCUCUAAUUCAUCUAGUUCUAGUUCUAGUUCAUCUAGUUCUAGUUCUAGUUGUCUAGUUGUAUCUAGAAAAUAGGGAGAGAGGAGGAGAGAGCUAAGGAGGAGCAAAAUUUGUCGGAUCUUCCUCAACAUUGUCCUUUUGCAGCAUCUGGCUCAUCGCUCAGCAAUCUUUAGGUUCUUUAAUUAUUUCUAGGUUUAGUUCUUAUUUAAUUCUUACUUUAUUAUACUUACUAGAUAUCCGCUCGUAUUGAAUGCUCUAGUUAUCCUAGGUAAUUAGAGUAGUAAGCGCUAGUGUAGACAUGGUGUCUAGACUAGUGUUUACCUGAGUUUGCGCCCAAUCCCACGGUUAGUUGUAGUAGCCCCAUGGGUGACAACCCUGUCAAGUCUUUGUAUUCCACCACAUUCAGGUUGGUGUUUCAUAGAGCUUUUUGGCAGCCUUCUCCCGACUACUUUCUUCCUAGUCUUUUUUGAGAGUCAAAAAGGUACUACUGCUCCACGGUAAGUAUAGUAUAGUAAGCCUAAUCUUUAUCACCCAAUCAACUUAGAAAACUCUAGAAUGUUCCUCUCUACCCACCAAAAAUAUAUAUAUCUUUCUUAUCUUUAUCCUUAGACGACCUUGAUUCUCUAGUACACUUCACGUUCCUUGUGGAAAUCGACACUCUAGAAUACUCUCGGUUGAAAGCUACAUCGGUAUCCGUGUGCUUGGGGAUUUGUGUUUAAAAUACCCAACAGCAAGCCAUAUCCUUCUCCAGUUUAAAGACUGAUUGUUAAGGAAUCUUUUGUGUAUCUCAAUAUAUGGAGUAUAAAAUGGGAAAGGACAAUUGUAUAUUUCUAGUGUAGAAAUAGCAUGGGGCUAGAAAUGGGAUAUAUGGAUGCUUUUGCAAAUUUCCAUGUUACAGAAUAAGCAAUAAUUUUGGUGGUUGCAAACUUCCAGAAUGGAUGGUAGGCAAUAGUGAUAGGUGUAAGUGGGAUCUUGAUCAAAAAGGCAUGACAAGUUUCUCUACUUAGAUCAAUAAGGUCUAAUAAAACUCACACUAACAAGAGAUUUUUAUGGUGGCUUCCUAUCUAAUGGAUGUGUAUAUCUUGCUAAUGGUAGGAUAGGGAAAAACACCAUAAAGGAACUUUGGUAGGAUUUGUGAUUUUCUUUAAAAAAACUCUAGACCUUAUCUUAACUCUUCUUCAAAAAAGUCAUAAGAUUUACUCUAACUCUACUACACCUAAUCUUACUAAGCAUAACUAAGAUCAAGCAUAUGCAACCCACAAAACUUAGAUUUAUAGCGAACUUUAUUCACUACAAGACUAUAGUGGUAGGAAUUGCAUAGCAGACUUGUGCAUCGUUUUUUAGAGCAAUGAUUCAUUAUUUCCAACAUAUUAACAUGGGUUCAAUAGGAAUUGAAAUAGGAUUACUUUUCCGGUUAAGCAUAAUAAAUGGCUAUAUAAUCAAGCUAACCAUGUCCUUAGUAGGAUAGAACAAUGAAUGUAAUGGUAGAAAAGUAAAGGAGCAAUAAUAAGAACGUACCUUAGUGGGGAGAUGACAUCACCCAAGGUAGCUUGUUGCUGGGUGUAGAGCUUAUUCUCUUAGACUAAUAACCUUUUUUUAUUUAUCCAAAAAAAGAAAAACCUAACUACUACUUCAUGAUAUAGCUUAAGGCUAUUCAUAUUUUAUUUAAAGUGAAAAUAUAAAUGAGAUAACAUAAAGUCCUUUCAUGAUUGUUUCAAGGACCUUUUAUUAUUAUUGUUUUAUUUAUUUUGUUAUUAUUUAUUUUUAGUUCUUUAUUUCUCUAUUUUUCUUUUUUUAAAUUGCAUGCUUAAAUUUUUAUUUUGUUUUUAUAAUUUUUAUAUGCAGAUUUAAAAUGAUCCUAAUUCUAAAUGUAAUGAAAGGAUAGACCUAAUCUAAAUGCAAUGCAUGAUUUAAAAGAUAAACUUAGAUGCGAAUUGUAAAUGCAGAAUUAAAUGCAGAGAGAGUAAAACAUAGCUUAAAACCACUAGGGUUCUUCCUAAGCCGGAAGUUCGUCUUUUGGCGGCUUUUUCUUGAGGGGAUCUUCUUCUUCUUCCUCUUUCGACAUGGCCUCCCCCUUGUCAGGAGUCACACAAGAGGCAGUUGAUGAGGGUUCCUUCUUCUUAUGCCAUCCUCUUCUCCUUGAUAUUGGGUUCUUGAAUUUAGCCAUUUUCUUAUUGGUACAUGGUUUCCUCAAGUUUCUUGCUUCUUUUUCAUCGGGUUGCUUUGCCUGCAAGUUAGUGGCAUACUGAAAGCCCUAGUUUGGUUUUGGAUAAUUGAUGAAACCCUAGUACUAACCUCUAUGCUAAGUGUGUGUAGACUUAAUGAGGUUGGCACAUGCCAAGUGAUGGAGCAAGUGAUGAUCAUGGUGAUGAUGGUGAUGACCACAAGGUGAUCAAGUGCUCAACUUGGAAAAGAAGAAAGAGAAAAAGAAAACCCUAUGGAGAUCAAGGCGAAGGUAUUGCUUAGGGUUUUGGUUUUGGUGAUCAAGACACCAUAGAGGGUGUGAUCAUGUUUAGGAUAGAUAGUCGUACUAUAAAGAGGGGAAUUCUUUGGCUAAGCGGUUAUCAAGUGCCACUAGGUGUCAUUAUUCAUGUGCAUGCAUUUAGAACCUAGUGAGCUAACUUAACUCCUUCGAAGAAAAUGGUUGUGAAAAUGCUAACACACGUGCACAUGUUGGUUUACACUUUGUGGUGUUGGCACACUUUGAGAAGGAGGUGGAGUUUGAAGGGUAGAGACAAGUUCAGCGGGCGGCGCUUUUUGAGAAAAUGAAGUGCAUAUUUUCUAUUGCGAAGGUGGGAAAUUUGGAGAAGUCGUGGGUGUGUUUCUCGCUGAGAAACACUCACCGGACGCUUUCCACUAAGGCACCGGACGCUGCGUCUGAGCGUCCGGUGCAGACAGUGCCUGGCCUAGUUAGGGUAAGGCACCGGAUGAUAGGCAUCGGAUGCUGGCUUGAGCGUCCGGUGGUGCACGUCCGGUGUGCGGGCAUUUUGCGACCCUCUCUGCGCAUGGGUCCGGUGAACACCGGACGCUAAGGGUGCGUCCGGUGGCUUGCAUCCGGUGACCCUGCGAGUUUGCGGAGCUCUCUGCGAAAGAGUCCGGUGUGCACCGGACGCGUCCGGUGCCAACUUGCUCAGCGUCCGGUGCUCUGCAGGUUACCGUUAGACUCUGACACGCGGCUGACGUUGGAGCACCGGACGCUGGUGUUGAGCGUCCGAUGCCCCUUUAAGAGCGUCCGGUGACCCCGUGUUUUGCCCAGUGAAAGAGCCAACGGCUCUAUUUGUUUGAGGGGCUAUAAAUCUGUGUUUGGCCGGCUUGAGGCUAAUACUCUUGGCAUUCUAACAUACUUGACAUCUUUGUGAGCCUAAGCAAACACCUCCCACUCAUCUCCUUCAUAGUUUAAACAUCUUUGUGAGAUUGGGAGUGAUUCCAAGUGCAUUUGCUUGAGUGAUUGCAUCUAGUGGCACUUGGGGAUCGUUUUAGCUGCGGUUUUCUUGUUACUCUUGGUGGUUGCCGCCACCUAGACGGCUUGGAGCAGUGGAGGAGCAUUGGCACGAGUAGGUGAUUGUUCGUGGCCAUCUCCCGGUGAUUGUGAGGGGUCCUGUACCUUCCCCGGCGGAGAGCCAAAAGGUAACUCUAGUGGAUUGCUCGUGUCAUUGAGUUACCUCACUUGUGGGUAGGUUCUUGUGGCAUUCUAGUGAGGACGAGGUUCGUGCUACACCUCUUAGCCACCGAACCACCAAGUGUAGGUCGACACAACGGGGACGUAGCGUGCCGGCAAGCACGUGAACCUCGGGAGAAAAAACUUGUGUCCCAUUGUGUUUGUUGAUUGGAUUUCUCCCGGUGAUUGGACUUCAUAAUAUUGUGAUUGGUUCAUCCCCUCUACUCGGUGGUAUAAAGUUCAAACACUCUCUCUUACUUUCUUGCAAUCUAGAGUAGCUUACUUCUUGUAUAGAAACUUUAGGUAGCUCUCUAGUGUAAGUAGAGACUUAGCUCUUGUGUGCAUAGUGAUCAUAGCAACUAGAAUUGUUGGGUAGGUGGCUUGCAAACACCCCUUUAGAGCUAGAGCAAAAAGCUUCACUUUGUUAUUUACUAACCUCUUGCUCUAGUGUUUUUGUAGAAUUUUUAAAUAGGCUAUUUACCCCCCUCUAGCCAUAUUAGGACCUUUCAAGUGGUAUCGGAGCCGUGGUCACCGUUUGUGAAGGCUUAACAAACUCGGUGCUCAAAUUAUGGCUCAAAUAGUGUUCAACCAUGUUGGGGGCACACCACCAUUCUUUGAUGGCACAAGUUCCUUUGACUAUUGGAAGAGAAAAAUGAAGAUGUACCUUGGAUCAAUCAAUGAUAGAGUGUGGGAAGUCACGGAGAAUGACUUUGUGAUCCUUGACCCCGCCAACCCCACCGACAAUGAGAGAGCAAACAAGCAAUGCAAUACAAUGACUCUCAACACAAUCUAUAAUGGCAUUGACUCAAAGGUAUUUGAACAAGUCAAAGAUCUUGAGAGAGCAAGUGAAGUGUGGACAAGGCUAGAAGAAACAUAUGAGGGCACUACAACGGUAAAAAGUGCCAAAUUGUAUAUGCUCAAGGAUAAGCUAUCCAACUUCAAGAUGAAGGAUGAUGAGUCUAUACCGGAGAUGUUCUAUAGGCUCCAAGUCAUCAUCAAUGAUCUCAAGGGCCUUGGUGAGAAAGUGAAGGAUGAGGACUUCAUUCACAAGUUCUUGAUGUGCUUGCCCAAGAGGUUCAAGACAUUAAGAACAAUCAUCUUUAGAGGUGGAUUGACCGGUGUAUCUCCCAAUGAGGUACUUGGAGAUGUCAUGACCGAAGAUCAAUACAAUGACAAUGAUGAUGAUGAGGUCAUGAAGAAGGAUGAUGAUGACAAGGAGAAGAAGAGUGUAGCAUUCAAAGCUAGCUCUUCAUCCAAGAGCAAGAACAAGGGCAAGGCUAAGAAAGAAGAAUCAAGUGAUGAGGAGUGCUCCAAUGAUGACAGUGAUGACGAAGCACUAGCACUCUUUGUCCGCAAGUUUGGCAAGAUGAUGAAGAAGAAGGGUGGAUCCUAUGUUGUGACAUGGGAUAGUGAUGCCUCUUCGGCUGAUGAUUCAAGCGAUGAUGACAAGUCAUCUAAGAAGAAGGCACUUGCAAGCAUUGCUAUCAACAAUCCAUCACUCUUCAACACUCCUUCAUGCUUCAUGGCCAAGGGCCACAAGGUACAAUAUGAUGAGAGUGAAAGUGAAAGUGAAAAUGAACAUGAUAGUGAUAGUGAUGAUGAAAAUGAAUUCACUAAUGAGCAAUUCAUGGACAGGCUAGAACAAGCCGAUUCACUUAUUCAAUCUAAAAACAAGAAGUGCAAAGAAUUGGCCAAGAAGUUAAAAGCUCUUGAGCAAUCCUUUGAUGAGCUCAAUGCUAAUCAUGAGAGGCUAGUGGAAGCCCAUGAGAAGCUUGGCAAGGCUCACACCAAGCUUGAAAAAGCUCACUCCUUGUUAUUAGAAGAGAACUAGGAAAAGGUUGUUGUAUCAUGUGAUGUGGGCACAACAUGUGACUUAACUAAAGAAUCACCUAACGCACCUAUUGUUGUUGCCACUAACUCUUCAUGUAGGUCUUCAUCCACCACCACCAACUCUACCUCUACUUCUAGUGUUAGUGUCACUUGUGAUACCUCACUAAAGGUUGAGAAUGAGACUCUCAAGAGAGAGGUGGAUGAGCUCACUCACGCCUUAGGCAAGGCCUAUGGUGGUGAGGCCCGCUUGCUAAAGUGCUUGGGUAGCCAAAGGUUUUCUCUCAAUAAGGAGGGAUUAGGCUAUACCCCCAAGAAGGGCAAGAAAGCCUAUGCAACUCACAAGAUUAGCUUUGUGAAGAGCAAUGGUCGGUAUUGCAACAAAUGCAAGCAAGUUGGGCACCUAGAGCUUAAUUGCAACAAAAUGAACAAGAACAAGAAAAAUGCUAAUGCACCUUACAUUCCUUCUGAUUCUUGUUAUGUGCUUACCAAGGGUGAGAAGGGUGUGCAUGCUAAGUUUGUUGGUACACCAAUUGUGGGUCCAAAGAAGAAGGCUAUUUGGGUACCAAAAAGCUUAGUCUCUAACCUCCAAGGACCCAAACAAGUAUGGCUACCUAAGAAACAUUGAUUUGUUUUGUAGGUAAACUAUAAAGCCGGAGGAAGGCAUUGGGUGCUUGAUAGUGGGUGCACACAACACAUGACCGGUGAUUCAAGAAUGUUCAAUUCAAUCAAUCCAAAUGAUGACAAUGGUGUUGAUAGUAUCACAUUUGGUGACAAUGGCAAAGGCAAGGUCAAAGGGCUUGGUAAAAUUGCUAUAUCCAAUGAUUUGAGCAUUUCCAAUGUGCUACUAGUAGAGAGCUUGAACUUCAACUUACUAUCCGUGGCUCAACUUUGUGAUCUUGGUUUCAAAUGCAUAUUUGGAGUUGAUGAUGUAGAGAUCAUAAGUGUAGAUGGAUCAAACUUGAUAUUCAAAGGCUUUAGAUAUGAGAAUCUAUACUUGGUUGAUUUCAAUGCUAGUGAAGCUCAAUUGUCAACAUGCUUGCUCACUAAAUCUAGCAUGGGUUGGUUAUGGCAUAGAAGGCUUGGUCAUGUUGGAAUGAAACAAUUAAACAAGUUAGUCAAACAUGAUCUUGUUAGAGGCUUAAAAGAUGUCACGUUUGAGAAAGACAAGCUUUGUAGUGCAUGUCAAGCCGGAAAGCAAGUUGGGAACACUCAUCCAAAGAAGAGCAUCAUGAGUACAUGCAAGGCAUUUGAGUUGUUGCACAUGGAUCUAUUUGGACCAACCACAUACACAAGCAUUGGUGGAAACAAAUAUGGAUUUGUGAUAGUGGAUGAUUUCACAAGAUAUACAUGGGUAUUCUUUCUUAGUGACAAGAGUGAUGCUUUUGCAACCUUCAAAUCAUUUGUCAAGAGAGUACACAAUGAGUUUGAAACAACCAUCAAGAAAGUGAGAAGUGACAAUGGAAGUGAAUUCAAGAAUACAAGAGUUGAUGCUUUUGCAACCUUCAUCCAAGUAUUUGGUGACAAUCUAGAUUGAUGAGCUUUGUGAUGAUAAGCAUUUGGUGGAAACAAAUAUGGAAGUGAAUUCAACAAUACUAGAGUUGAUGAGCUUUGUGAUGAAUUUGGCAUUAGGCAUAAAUUCUCGGCCAAGUACACUCCACAAUCAAGUGGUCUUGUUGAGAGGAAGAAUAGAACAUUGAUUGACAUGGCAAGAUCAAUGUUGAGUGAAUACAAUGUGAGUCAUUCUUUUUGGGCCGAAGCAAUCAACACGGAUUGCUACUAUAGCAACCGACUCUAUUGUCACCCAAUGAUGGAGAAGACACCAUAUGAGCUCUUGAAUGGUAGAAAGCCCAAUAUUGCAUACUUUUGGGUUUUUGGUUACAAAUGCUACAUAUUGAAGAAAGGCACUAGAUUGAGUAAAUUUGAAAAGAAUUGUGAUGAAGGCUUCUUGCUUGGUUACUCCACUACUAGAAAAGCUUAUAGAGUUUGGAAUUUGGCUAGUGGUACUCUUGAAGAGGUGCAUGAUGUUGAGUUUGAUGAAACCAAUGGCUCUCAAGAGGAAGAUGAGAAUCAAGAUGAUGUGAGAGGCACUCCAUUGGCCGAUGCAAUGAAGAAUAUCGACAUUGGUGAUUUAAGGCCUAGAGAAGUGAUUGAUGUUGAAGAUGACAAAGAUCAAGUGCUUCCUACCUCUAAUGUGCAAGCUAGUGGUUCUCAUGAUCAAAAUCAAGCUAGUACAAGUGGUACACAAGUGCAAGAUCAACAAGCUAGUACAUCAUCUCAUGAUCAACCAAGUGCAAGCAAUCAAGUGCAAAUACUCCAACCAACAAAUAUUGCAAGAGAUCAUCCAUUGGAUCAUAUCAUAGGUGAUAUUCAAAGAGGAGUGCAAACUAGAUCAAGAUUAGCAUCAUUUUGUGAGCAUUUCUCCUUUGUGUCUCACAUUGAGCCAAAGAAGAUUGAUGAAGCAUUGAGAGAUGUUGAUUGGGUAAAUGCUAUGCAUGAAGAGCUUAACAACUUCAAAAGAAAUCAAGUAUGGGAAUUGGUUGAGAGGCCUAGUAAUCAUAAUGUCAUUGGUACUAGAUGGGUCUUUCGCAACAAGCAAGAUCAAGAUGGGAUAGUUGUAAGGAACAAAGCAAGAUUGGUAGCACAAGGCUAUACUCAAGAUGAAGGUCUUGACUUUGGUGAAACAUAUGCCCCGCUUGCAAGAUUGGAAGCAAUUAGGAUCUUGUUGGCCUAUGCUUGUGCACACAAUAUCAAGUUAUAUCAAAUGGAUGUGAAGAGUGCAUUUCUCAAUGGCUAUAUCAAUGAAGAAGUUUAUGUUGAGCAACCUCCCGGUUUCGAAGAUGACAAAAAAACCAAACUUGUUUGUGUUGCAAAUAUAUGUUGAUGAUAUCAUUUUUGGAUCAACCAACCAUGAAUUUUGUGAAGAGUUUGGCAACAUGAUGGCUAAUGAGUUUGAGAUGUCAAUGAUUGGAGAGCUUAGCUACUUCCUUGGUCUUCAAAUCAAGCAAUUGAAGAAUGGCACAUUUGUGAGUCAAGGCAAGUACAUAAAAGACAUGCUCAAGAAGUUUGGAAUGGAUGAUGCAAAGGCAAUUAGCACUCCAAUGGGAACAAAUGGAAGCCUAGAUAGUGAUACAAGUGGAAAUAUGGUGGAUCAAAAGUUGUAUCGGUCUAUGAUUGGAAGCCUAUUCUAAGUGACCGUAUCAAGACCGGAUGUCAUGUUUAGUGUAUGCAUGUGUGCAAGAUUCCAAGCCUCACCAAGAGAAAGUCAUUUGAAAGCAACAAAGAGUAUAUUGAGGUACUUGAAGCAUACACAAAAUGUUGGUUUGUGGUAUCCCAAAGGUGCAAAAUUUGAACUUGUUGGAUAUUUCGAUUCGGACUAUGCGGGAUGCGAAGUUGAAAGAAGAAGCACAUCGGGCACAUGUCAACUAUUGGGUAGAUCACUUGUCUCAUGGUCAUCCAAGAAGCAAAAUAGUGUUGCACUAUCAACCGCCGAAGCGGAGUACAUUGCGGCCGGUAGUUGUUGUGCACAAAUCCAAUGGAUGAAGGCAACUUUGAAGGACUUUGGAAUCAACUUCAAGCAAGUGCCAUUGCUAUAUGAUAAUGAAAGUGCCGUGAAGCUCACCAAUGUUGGGAAUUUUAAACGCAAACAAAAAAAUCCGCAAGCGCACGGAUACCGAUGUAGCUUUCACCCGGGAGUAUUCCAGAGUAUCGAUUUUCCACAAGGAACGUGAGUGUACUAAUUAAGAUCCAAGAUCGCCCAGGGAUAACUAUAUGAUUAUUUUUGGUGGGAAGAGAGAAAGUUUUCUGAGAGUUCUCUAGUUGAUCUAAGAAUCAAGAAUUACUUCAAGAUUAUCUAUUUCGGGACAUCAGAACACUAACCACAGAAAGAGAUGAGAAGGGGGCUACGAAGCUCCGACUACGGUCCUACAAACACCGAUCCGAACGAGGUGGAAUACGUCGACCGUUAGGGCUGUCACUACCCUAAGGCUACCACAACAAUCCACAGGAUUGGGUGCAAUUCCAGGUAACUGCAAGACUAAACACCACGUCUAUUCUAUUAAUUACUACUCUAAUGUUUCAAAGAUUGGAGCACUUCAUGCAAGCGGGAAUCCAAUAAAUAACUUGAAUGUAAAUAAAAGUAAUUAGAGAACUCAGGAGUUAUGAAUGGAAGAACCUGGAGAACGAUGAAGAACGAACCAGAUGCUGCAAAAGUACAAAUAUUGAGGAAGAUCCGAUAGAUCCGGCUCCUCCUCCGCUCUCCUCUUCUCUCUCCCUAUUUUCUAGAUUACAACUAGAACUAACUAGAACUAGAACUAGAGGAACUAGAACUAGAACUAGAUGAACUAGAACUAGAUCUAGAUGAACUAGAGGUAGAACUAGAAGAACUAGAGGGAUCCUCUCUACUUGGAUGAAGAAUUGAAACCCUAACUUUGAUUCUGUAGAAGAGGUAUGAUCUCCAGGGGCCAGGGGGUCUGGUUAUAUAGUCUUUUCAGAUGAAUCUGGGCCGUCGGAUCAAACCGACAUUGAUCGCACGGUUUUCCUUCAUCCUUUAGGUCGGUGGAGCAUAAUCCGCGAAACGUGUCGUGAUUGGGCACUGUAGCUGGGCGGGCACCUAGGAGAGUUGGGCGGGCGCCCUGCCUCCGAGCCCGAUUUCGUUCCCGUUCGUUCCGGAGUAUUCUAGAUGAUAGAAAAUUGCGCGACAUGUUAAUAUCUCUAUGUAAACCCAACGUGUGGGCCUUUCUUCCGUAUUUCCUGAUAACCCCCUGCAGAAAUAGACAAACACCAAAACUUGUGGAAUUCUGUCAGAUAAAACCCUAAGUCUAGGUGUUGGUUGCAUUUGGAUCCUUUUCUAUGAUUAGUUGAUGGUUAAUUGUGAGCAUUAAGGACCGUCAACAAGCUCCCCCAAGCUUAAUCCUUGCUUGUCCCUGAGCAAAGAUGGACUCAAGAGUUUCUGCAGUGGUUUCAUGCCUUAAAGAUACAAAUGCAUUCAAACAAGAUAUCAUCUCUGGGUUAGAGUAAACUGUUAAGACUUAAAACUUACUCAUAUUACCUUUCACCAUGGGGUUUGUAACCGUCACUUCUGUCUUGAGUAGUUAAAAGAUAGAACGGUCUAAUCAAACGCUAUGUCUCUUGUUCUUUGAUUAACUAUAGCUCUGGAGUUUUUGUAGAUUUUCAAAUAAAACUUAGAGAUUCCUUGUAUGACUCUCUCUAGUCUCUCUUUUGUAGUAUUUCUGGAUCCUUACCAAGGCAGUGAUGGUAUAUGCCUUCUCUCAAAGUAUGUGGUAUUUGCAGUAUGAAGUAUAGUGGCAUUGCCUUCUCUCUCACCCUACUCUAAUAAGGUUUUGAUAUCUGGAGCUCAUAGGUGGGAGAUAGCUAAUACAUACUUACAAGACAUUUAUUGCAUAGUCAAACCAUGGAUCCAGAAGAACAAGUCAAUAAGUCAAAUCAAGAUGUGCAUGUGUGGCGAAUGAAUGGUGUAUGGUGAUGAUGGUGACAACAAUGGUGAAAGUCUAAUUCUACUUGUGCUCUUUUGAGGGGAUACAUACCUUUCUUGCUCUUUUGGAACUUUUUGAGGAGAAUGAGAUGCUCUAUAUUUUCUUUUUCUUUUCUCUCAGGUGGGUAUUUUGUAUCCCUAAUUCUACUGUCGGACACUUGUCCAUUUUUACCUCUCGUCUCACUUUUUCUUUUCUUUUGAGGUUUCGGGCACUUGCCCCUUUUUAUUUCCUCGUAUCUCUUUUUUUCUUUCUUUUUUUAGAGCACUCAUCUCCUGAAAUAAUAUAGCAAGUGGUAGUAACCAAGAUAACUUGAGCAUUCAUUUCAAAGGGGAAAACAGAAAUAGGAGAAUGUUUUUAGCUAUUCUCUCCCGGAUUAGGAGUAGAAUAUUUUUGGAUGGUUUUGGAGAUGGAAAUGAGUGGAUGUGCAAGUGAAUCUUGAUUUAACCACAUGACAAGCUCCUAAGGGUCUACACAGCUUGACCACACUCAAUGCUCAUAAGCAGUAAAAAGUAAAUGUGUGGCUCAAAGUCUAGCAAGCAUGUAUAUAUGGCUGUGGUAGGAAUUUAAACUCUCAUCAUACAGGAACUCAUCAUGCAACAUUUUAAAGAUUUUUCAAAGAUAAAAUUCUCCAGAAUUCUAGCAUCUCUAGGAAUAGAUAAACAGCAGCUCAACCUUCCCAUCUCAUAUCCGUUAACGACUUAGACUUUAGAUCAAGUACUCUUCCCACAAGUUCAGGUUUAGAGCAAAUCUUAAUUAAUAACAGUCAUGCCUAAACUUGAGAGAGAUUUUAAUUUUGAGAACUAGUCAUGGCAGAGCAACUAUUCAUUAUUUCCAUGUGAGAGCUUAUCAUGAGGGUUCAUAGCAAACUUUAUUUAUUUAUUUAUUUAGCAAUCUAAGCAAAGAUAUAUAUAUAUAUAUAAGCACAAAAUCUUUAUUUGGGUUUUUAUGAUUAUGCAUCUUUUAUUAUUUGAGUAAAGUAUAAAGAUGAGUAGAACACUUAGCUGGAUAAAUGGGAGUGCUCUCCCCCAAGCUGGAUUUUGACGUAAUUCCUUGUGAUGUAGCUAGCAGGUAGCGGAGAUGUAUUUGAAUGUCGGCAGCACCCUGACAGCGAUUAGGAUGUCCUCUGUCUGCUAGUCUUCUUUGAUCCUUGAAUUCUGUGGAGCUCAAAUAGACAACAAAGCUUUGUGGAACUGGUUAAGUGUUAGCAUAAGUAUCUAGCCUUUAUCAUGUUGAGCCUCCUCAAUAAAUGUUACUCUCUUUAGUAGGAUCAUAAAUUUAUGUUUAUAAUUUUAUUUUUAUAGGAUAGGAAUAUAUUUAUUUUAUUUUUUUAUGCCACCACAGUGAAUGUACUUAUGGGUUUUAUGCCAUGAGCAUACUCACAUGGGGCUUACUAUUUUAAACAUUUUUAUUUUCUUUUCAAGAUGAUGUGAACCUGAUUAACUAAGCAAACUAUUUUAAAUAAUUGAAAGGAGAAAGAUAACUACCAAGUUUACCACUUGGCAAGGCGUUCGGUGUUUUUAAGUCCGGGACUCUCUGUUUUCUCAGUCGUCCUGGGCUUCGUUGGAUGGCGUAGUCGGUGGUUCCGGUGGCGCUUCUUCUUCAUGUAUAACUAUCUUCUCUUUCCACACCUGACUCGGUACUACGAUCUCCUCAGGACAGUUCUAUUCAAGCUAUAUGGCUUCAGACCUCACUACUUUUCCUUUGUAGUCUGCCCAUCCGUCCUUGAUGAUUUUACCUUCUCUGGUUGCGGUUGCGUCGUCUCCUUCUUGUCCUGACCUGCUUAGAGUCUUCAACUAUAUAGUUUGGGUCAGUACAAUAGCGGCGUACCUUCUCAGAGGGGAAGUGCAUGUGGACUUCUCCGGUUCCAAUGUAAAUGAUUGCUUUAACAGUGUUGAGGAACGGUCUUCCAAGGAUGAUGGGUGGAUUGUACUCAUCUUCAACCUUUCGGAAUGUCUAAUCUGCCAUCUAGAGCUGAAUGUAUGUCGGUUUUAGGGGCAUGGUUCCGAACCGGAGCUGAUAAGUGACUGCGGCCAUUAUGUUGACGUUAGAUCCGGUGUCGUAGAGUGUCUUCUAAAAAGAGUAUCCGGUGAUUGUGCACUCGAUGCUUGGAACACCAGAGUUGUCCUUCUUGAUCAAGAAAGGCGACUUGAGUUGACGAUCUUGACCUCCUUGAGCUGCAGUGACCAUCUUAGCUGACUCGGUCCACACUUGCUUGUUCCUGUUCCUACUGUUGGUCCUCUUCCUAGGUUCAUGUCUGGAUUGCUCUGAGAUUUGUGUAGUCUUAUUCUUGAAGGUAAACGUCUCCGUCCUUCCCAUGAUGUAGAAACUGAUCUUGGCAGCACUAGCGUAGAUGACAACUCCCGAGGUGUUCAGGAAUGGCCUUCCUAGUAUGAUGGGUGCCCUCUGAUCAGUAUCAGUCUCUAUCACCACGAAGUCUGCUGGAGCGUAUAAGGUACCAACUCGGACGUACAGGUUCUUCAAUAUUCCCUUUGGGAAACUUAGUGUCUGAUCUGCAAGCUACAAACACGUGGUUGUUUCUAGGAAAGGACGUGUAAAGAAUUUUUCGUAGAGUACCCUGAGCAUAAUGUUGACGCUGGAGCCAAAGUUGCAGAGUGCUUCUAGGAAGUCCACCAUGCCGAUGG